UGGCACCAGGUCACGAUAGUACGAGGAGAAGUCAAACCACCGGGAGAUUUGGUGGUGAGAGAGGUAACAUAUCUCUGCGGAGAGAAAUUCAUAGAGAGGAAGAGCAAUCCCCGGCAAGACAGAUUUUUGACAAGGACGACGGGGUGGCGAAUGCAGAGGAAACAGAGUUGAGGCAACACUUGCAUGAUGUAGAGCAAGAGCGGGAUCAAGUUGCAGCAUGUGACCCUGGUUGUGCAGUGCAGCUGGAGGAGGAAGUGCGCAGACUAGCGCAGAUAAUUGAUGACAUGCAAGAAAGGAGCAGAGCUCCUGGUUGGAGGAUAAUGCUGGACGGAGAAUCACCGCUCGCAGCAGAGAUCAUGAGGGCAGUUAUUCCAAGAGAUUUCUGCCUCCCAGACCUUAGAUAUUCGGGACGAACUGAUCCGCUGGUGCACAUAGAGCGCUUCAACGACAUAACCGGGGUACAAGGAUUAUCUCAAUCCCAAAGGUGCAGGGUGUUCCCACUAUCCCUUGAGAGACGUGCACGCGAGUGGUACAUAAAACUUUCUCGGGGGAGCAUUAAAACCUUCGAGCAGAUGUGCCAGGAAUUUACAGAGCAGUUUCGUGGGGCAAUGACACCAGAAGAUAACAUGAUGGAGUUGAAAAACAUGAAGCAGGGGGAACAAGAAACCCUUCGGAAAUUCAUCAAGAGGUUUCAUCGUACUGUCCUUGAUUUGGGAGCCUUCAACGAUCCUCAAGCAUUAAGGGGAUUGAAAGAAGGGGUGAAGAUAUGAAGGCUGUGGUACAACUUGAGAAGCUCAGUUAUUCAGACGUAUGCAGCCGCAUACGAGCAGGCUAAGAGGGACAUUGAUAUUGAAGAGGAAAAUGUAGCACGGAUUAAGACAGACCAGCUAGAAGGGUUGGGAAAGAAAGAGAAGAAAACAUUACCAGGGAAUGGGCCGAUCAGGAGGAGGGACCACCAGGCCUCAGGUAGUGGUGCAGGAGGUUGAGUAACCGCUUACCAGCCUCAUCAGAGGCCACCACAGUAUCAGCGCAGCAGGGCACAACCUCAUCGUUCCCCAGCAAGGGAGCCUUGGAAAAGACAUGACUCGACAUAUGGUGGUCUUCAUCAACACUCCCACGGUAGUAGAGGGAGCAAACCAGAAGCGCUGCCACCACCUCCAACUCAGAACGGAGCAAAUAGAGAAAGGGCAGUGCACAUGAUCGACCAGAACCAGGACUAUGGGCGGUAUACUUCCUUGAAGAUGUCCCUGGACGAGGUGUACGAGGCCAUAAAGGACCGGUGAUUGCUGUACCUCCCUGCCCCAAUAACAAAGCUACCCAGCAGGAGGGAUAGGCGACGCUAUUGUAAGUUCCGUGGCACUCAUGGCCAUACCACUGCAGAAUGCAGAGAUCUCAAGACCCAGGUUGAAGAUUUGGUGAGAAAUCGGUACCUGGACGAGUUUAUAGAUGAGACUUUUCCGAUGGUGGCCUCGACAUGUGAAGGGGAGCAGAGUGAUAGAAACUUGAGGCGCGAGCAGCCUGCAGUAAGGGUGAUAGCUGGGGGCCCAACAUUGGCCGGAGAUUCCAACAGAUCGAGGAAAAAUUAAGCUAGAUACGCCAUGACUAGUAAAGAGGUAUUCUUCAACACCCCAGCAGACAAACGAGCAAGAGUCAGGCAAGUGCCAAUCAUGUGGACGGAUGAAGAUGAAGAAGGGAUUCUAUACCCCCACGAGGAUGCUUUAGUCAUCAAGGCUACUGUUGCAAGUAAGAAGUUUGACCGGAUACUGGUUGAUACAUGGAGCUCAGUUGAUGUGUUAUUUAAGUCAACUCUGGAGGAGAUGGGAAUAGCAGACCGGAAGUUGGGGUACACCAAUACCUCCUUGAAGGGGUUUGGAGGAGGAAAGCUGGUCCCUCUGGGCGUGGUCGAGCUGCCUAUCACAAUUGAGAGCUCCCCGACAGAAAGGACUAUGAUACUGGACUUUGUGGUGGUGGAUGAAGAAGGUCCUUACCAGAUGAUCAUAGGUCGUCCAUUUCUGAGGAUGAGCAAAGCGGUACUGUCCAACCAUUAUCUGGCUCUCAAGUACCGGGUGAAUGAAGUAGUUGGAGUGGUACGAUGAGACUAGAGAAUCACACGAAGUUGCUACUCCUUGGCAGCAAGGGAAGCAAUGCAGAUAACAUCCCUUGAUACCCGAGUGGAAAACAGGAACGGCAGACAAGAACCUGUAGAGGAGCUGGAGACAGUAAGCCUGGGACCAGAGAAUCCGAAAAAAAUGAUCAGAAUCGGGUCGAGACUUAAGGAAGAGCAGAAGCAGGAGUUGGUGAAAUGCUUACAGGCUCAUGCAGAUGUGUUUGCUUGGACACAUGAAGACAUGCCAGGGAUUGAUCCUGAAGUAGCAUGUCAUAAGCUGGCAAUAAAGAAAGGUGCUCGGGCAGUAAGGCAGAAAAGGUGGUGCUUCAACCAGGAGAGGUAUGAGGCUAUAAAUGGCGAGGUGGAGAAGCUCUUGAGAGCAAGGUUCUUUCGGGAAGUCAAUUAUCCUUAGUGGAUAUCGAAUGUGGUGUUAGUAAAGAAGGCAAAUGGCAAGUGGAGGAUGUGUGUAGAUUUCACAGAUCUCAAUAAGGCAUGCCCGAAAGACAGCUUUCCUUUACCAAAGAUCGACCAGCUAGUAGAUUCAACGGCUGGACACGACCUGCUUAGCUUCAUGGAUGCGUUUUCGGGAUACAACCAAAUUCCCAUGUAUGAGCAGGAUGAGGAGAGCACAGCUUUUAUUACUAACCAGGGUUUAUUCUGUUACAGGGUAAUGCCAUUUGGUUUUAAAAAUGCUGGGGCCACGUACCAGAGGCUGGUGAAUAAAGUCUUUAAGCCAUUGAUUGGGAGAACCAUGGAGGUGUACGUGGACGACAUGAUAACCAAGUCGAAAAUCCCGAAGGAACAUGUCGGAUACCUCGAGGAGACAUUCGGGCUUUUGAGGAAGUAUAAGAUGAAACUCAACCCGGAAAAGUGUGCUUUUGGGGUCGAGUCAGGGAAGUUCCUUGGAUUCAUGGUGAGCCAUAGGGGGAUCGAAGCAAAUCCUGAGAAGAUCCAGGCGAUCGUGCAGAUAAGGUCUCCUCGUAGCCUGAAGGAGAUGCAGAGCCUCACGGGGAGGUUGGCGGCAUUGAGCCGAUUCAUAUCCAAGGCUACUAAUAAGUGUCAGCCAUUCUUUCAGUACUUGCAGCAAGCACCUCUGCUGUCCACACCGAGGGAUGUGGACAAGUUAUUUUUGUAUUUGGCGGUAUCAGAUCGGGCCGCAAGUUCUGUUAUGGUGAGAGAGGAAGAAGGGGUUCAGUAUCCGAUAUACUGCACCAGCAAGGCCCUGCACGACGCUGAGACCAGAUACCCAUCGUUGGAGAAAUGGGCACUUGCCCUUGUGGUUGCUGCUCGGAAGCUGAGGCCAUACUUUCAAGCAUUCCCAGUCUCGGUAAUAACAAACCAGCCAUUGCGUCAAACUCUGCACAAGCUAGAUGCUUCUGGUCGGCUCGUCAAGUGGACUAUAGAGCUGAGCGAGUUUGACAUAAACUACAAACCCCGAGCAGCGAUAAAGGCUCAGGCGAUGGCCGAUUUCGUAGCAGAAUUCACAGAGCCCAAAAUAUGUUUGGACCAGCAAGAUGUAGCUACAGACAGCGACAAAGCCCGAGUAUGGCAGAUGUCUGUAGAUGGGUCAUCCGGGGAGCAGGGAUCAAGAGCAGAAAUUAUUUUGGAAGGCCCAGAAGGGGAGGAGAUCUCUUAUGCUGUAAAGUUAGAAUUCGCAGCCACAAAUAACCAAGCAAAGUACGAAGCCCUGAUAGCAGGUUUGGAAUUGGCUAAGGCAGUGAACGCAGAUAGAGUGAAGAUCAGAACUGAUUCCUAGCUGGUCGUAAAUCAUGUUAGUGAAAGAUUUCAACCGAGAGAGGAGAAGAUGGAGCAGUACCUGAAGAUAGUCAGGCAUAUGAUGGGGAAAUUUGAAGCGGUUGAGGUGAUACAAAUCCCCAGGGAGCAGAAUAGUCGAGCAGAUAUUUUGGCGAUGAUGGCAGCGGUAGCAGACCCAAAAAUGCCAAAGUCGAUCCAUCUGGAGGUGAAGUCCAGCCCGAGCAUCGAGCAGAAUUUGGGGGUGCUGCGGAUAGAACAAAAAUGCUCGUGCAUGGACCCGAUAAUUUCGUACUUUAGAGACGGGGUAUUACCACCAGAGAAGCUGUGAGCUCGGAAGAUUAGAGCGCAGGCCUCGAGAUACACGAUGAUUGAUGGGGUACUAUAUCGGCGAGGAUAUACGCUACCUUUCCUUCGGUGUUUGGAUAAAGACGACGCGGACUACGUACUAAGAGAAGUAUAUGAAGGAAUUUGCGGAAAUCAUUCUGGUGGGAGGUCCCUGGCCCACAAGGUUCUAAGGCAGGGAUAUUUCUGGCCGACAAUGCACCAGGAUGCGCAGGAGAAGACUAGGAGCUGUGUAAGCUGCCAGAGUUUUGCGAGUUUCUCCAACCAACCACCAGAGAAGCUCACCUCUAUGGCCUCCCCCUGGCCAUUUGCUCAAUGGGGAAUUGAUCUGAUCGGCCCGUUGCCAAAGGGACGAGGAGCAGCAACACAUGCAAUAGUUGCGAUAGACUACUUCACGAAGUGGAUAGAGGUAGAAGCCCUUAGCAGGAUCACAGAAAAGAAAACAACAGACUUUGUGUGGAGAAACCUGGUCUGUCGAUACAGAAUCCCUUAUGCCUUGGUAACGGAUAAUGGCAAGCAGUUCGAUAAUCACAGCUUCAGGGAUUUCUGCCAGAACCUCGGGAUAGAGUUGAAGUAUUGCUCGCCUGCUCACCCUCAAUCUAAUGGACAAGUAGAAGCAGCCAACAAGACCAUCAAGAGGCUUUUGAAAACCAGGCUCGGAACAAAAAAGGGUGCAUGGGUUGAUGAGCUGUCAGGUGUUCUAUGGGCAUACAGGACAACCCACAAAACAGCAACUGGGGAGACACCGUUCGCCUUGGCUUUCGGACAUGAAGCGGUCGUACCAGCCGAGAUAGGAACGACCACGCACCGGACAGACCAUUUCAAUGAGCAGGAGAACGACGAGCAGAUGUGUUUGAAUCUAGAUCUGCUAACGGAAAAGAGGGAGCAAGCAGCCGAGCGAUCAACCAUUUACUAGCAGAGGGUUGCUCGGUAUUAUAACCAGAAGGUGAAUGUACGACAGUUCAAGGUCGGAGAUUGGGUGUUAAGGAGAGUGAAUCAGAACACGAAAGACUCGGCUCAGGGAGUACUUGGACCAAAUUGGGAGGGGUCAUAUAGGGUCAAGCAGCUAGUUGGACCCGGAGCUUACAAGCUGGUUCGCUCGGAUGGCCACGAGGUGAAACGCCCAUGGAACGCAGCACACCUCAGGAAAUAUUUCCAGUAAAAAUUGUCAAUGUUUUCAAGUUAUUUCUGUUCGUGUUUGUGGUUAUUUAUUUUAUGUCAAAACAAUUUCAUGUAAGUUGAAUCCUGCAAUUAAUGAAACGUCGAGGAAUUUCAUUCACUUGAAACAGUGAAAAAUUUACCAAGGCAUGCAAAGGCUCACAAAGUCUCAAAGCCUGUUUAUGGCGAGACCAGAAGCCAAGCGUGCCAGGAUCUGCUCGACCACGUGAAGGCGAGCAGAAUCCCAAUCAUUGAAGAAUUUACUAAGGCAUGCAAAGGUUCACCAAGUCUCAAAGCCUGUUUAUGGCGAGACCAGAAGCCAAGCGUGCCAGGAUCUGCUUGACCACGCGAAGGCGAGCAGAAUCCCAAUCAUUGAAGAAUUUUCUAAGGCAUGCAAACGCUCGUCAAGUCUCAAAGCCUGUUUAUGGUGAGACCAGAAGCCAAGCGUGCCAGGAUCUGCUCGACCACGCGAAGGCGAGCAUAAUCCCCAAGCAUUGAAAUAUUUUCUAAGGCAUGCAUGCAAAGGCUCGUCAAGUCUCAAAGCCUGUUUAUGGCGAGACCGGAAGCCAAGCAUGCCGGGAUCUGCUCGACCAAGUGAAGGCUAGCAGAUUCCCCAACACUGGGAAAAUUAUCUAAGGCAUGAGAAAGCUCGUCAACUCUCAAGGCCUCCUCUGUGACGAGGUCAGAAGCCAAAUGGAUAAAUAAAUUAAAAUUCCAAUGCGAGAAAGCAAAUAAGAACAAUUUUAUUAAGCUCUUAAAAGUCUGCAAUGCUGUUACAUCCAAUGUUCAAAAAGCAAUUACAACGCAAGACAAGUUCAGGAGGAUGGCGGAUCAGUAAGCCGAGCAUCUUCGGUUGGCUGGUCCACUUCAGGGGCGGGGGGGUGUCACCAGUUGCGUCCGGGGGGGGGUUACUCGCCUCUCCAACAUCAGCAGGGACUGCACGAGGAGGAGAGUUUUCCUCCUCAACCACGAUUGGUUCCACUUGUUCGACAUCCUCUCUCACCGCUUCCUCAUCCAUGUAUUGAGCAACACCAGCUGCAAGGUCAUCCAUCUUCAGAUCCGGAUGCUGCUUCCCAAGGACGGCCAUGAUGCAGCGAUAAGAAUGUCGAAGUCCCUGGUCGUAUUGGUUGCCAGCCUCCUUCUCCAAGUUCUCGACCUGAACCCGGUAGGAGUCGCGGAGAGAUUCGAGCUGAGCCUCGUACAUAGCUUUCUGCCUUUGCAGAUCCUCUUUGACCUUAGUCAGCUCUUCCUCGAGAGUAAUAGCUUUUGCUUGAGCAAGAGAUUCUUGCUCUAUCAACUUCAGAUUCUCGAGAUUCAGCUCCCCUGCUUUCUUCUCGGCAUCGUCAGCUCCGGUCAUCGCCGACUGAACGUCCUCUUUCAUCUUCCUAUCAUAACGGCCAACCUUGGCUUUAUAAUAGGUGGUCAUGCAGCUGAGAUGGAAAGCGCUAUACUGCAUCGCUCCCACCAGCUCGCCUAGGGUGCAGCCGUCAAAGUCCUCCAGGUCCUUCUUGCUCACGAGUUUGGAAAGCUCGUUGAGAUAGGGGGCCAAGUGUUCUGCUCGGCUGUCAGAUAAACGAGAUUUAGACCCGACAGGAGGAGAUGAGGAAGCAGGAUCAGUGGCUGCUCCACUAGUCUCUCCAACUUUGGCAGAAGGAGGAGGUAGAGUCUUCAAGGGAGGAACCUGCUGCACAGUGUUCACCCGCUUCGCAGUGGGAGCGUCCUUGUUCUGGUCCCUCUUCGCAGUUUGAGGUCGAUGACGUUUCCGAGUCAGAGCUCCAAUCACAGCAUCAUUCAUCUUAUGGCCGGGGGGCACCAAACAAGACUCGAGCAGGUUAUAAGUGGUUAUUAGCUCUCGGCUCGAGCAGGAAUUGGCUAGUACAGCCUCGACCCGUUUGAGGUGGUCGGGUUUGAGUGGGAAGUGAACACCCCAAGAACCUGCAAUACAAAUAGACAUUUGGUUAGAGACAAACCAGUAAAGCGAGAGCAAUUAUGGAUACAAGACAUCUAAAGCGAGCAGGCAACCUAGGACCACAAAACGGGGUGGGACGCGACAAUCAUUCCCGUCAAUCUGUGCAACUUGACCCCAGGGACCCCCAACAAAAAAGAACUUUCUCUUCUAAUUCCCACCACCACCAGUAGGGAGGUCGGUUAUGAGUUUCCGGGUCUUAGUACUUGAUUGGAAGUAAUACCAACCAGCAUCUUUGGGACUGCUUUUCAGCUAGUACAGGUGCUUUACCUCAUCAACUGUGGGCUCGCAUUGGCAACAUCUGUCCCAUAAUAUGAACAGAUCAGAGAGCACUCUCCACCCGUUGGGGUUCAGCUGACCAGGAGCUAGAUUUAGCCCGUUAAGAAUCCGGACAAAGUAGGGUUGCAAGGGACACCUCAGCCCAUACUUAAAACUCUCCGUAAACAAGGUAACAUAUCCCCUAGGAGGCCGGCUAAGGGUAUCAUUCUUUCCUGGGACCUUAAGAGGUAUUUCACCAGGAAUGCUAUACCUAAGCCGUAGGUCAGUGAGCUCGUCAAACGUGGUCGUGCACGUCAUGUAAUCAAUAACGUAAUCCCGCGAUAGGGCUCUACCUCCUACUAUACUCCGCCCUUCUGGUCGCGUUGUUCCGAAUGAGGACACCUCACCAGAAUCACCUCUUCGAUCCUCAUUCAGGGUGUUUUCCGAGUCAGAAGACCCAUCCUCACCGCUAUUUCCGCUCGAGGAGGUUGUUUGGGGGGACAUCCUUCUAGCGCUAGUACCAACACUAGAUCUAAUGGGUUCUAAGGGGAUCCCGGGGUCAAAAGCAGGAUCGGUGAGCAGACUAAGCAGGAAGUCCAACUCAUCGUCAUCAACCUCAAUGACCUUCUCUUUACCUUUCGACAUUCCCUAAGCUAUAACCAGAACACCACCACCAACUACUACCCAAGCAAAGCAAAGAGAAAAGAAAUUAUCUACAGCUAUCCGAGACCGAGGAGAUAGAAGUAAUACCUGAAAUAGUGGUUCAGUCGGAGAAGGACAGGGAUGGAGGCCUUUAUGCCGAAACUUCUUUGCUGGAGAGACAGGGAUGGAGACGGAGUAAAUGACGAAUUUUCCUUUAGAGAGGUUUUGGGUUUUCCUAAUGGAGAAUGAACUCUUGGGUUGCUAGCAUUUAACAGCACCAAAUCCCGAGGGCCUCGUAACCGUUGGUUUGAAAUUCAAAUAGAGGGGUAGAUUUCUGCCACAUCACCUCGUCCGCAAUUAAAUGCGACACGACUCUUGGCAGCCUUUUUUCCUAUCCCGCGCAAGCAAGAACUAUCAAGUUUCUACUGUCGGCUUACUACGUUACCCAACACCAGAAACUGGGGGAUCGGUGUUUGUGGGAUAUGCUUCGACGAAGGCCAGCAGUGAUGAGCAGACAUCUGGUAACAGGGUUCCUUGAGCAGGUAUAUCUUGUAAGAGUCUGCUAUUCGGGGGAGCAGGAGCAGGAAUAUCCUGCUCAUCCACGAGGCCAAUCUCCUGUUGGAAGCAUAAAGCCAUUCCUGCUACAUUCCUGUUAAGGGUUGAGUAGAGGAGACCCGGUCAACGACAGUUGGCGAGGCGUACUCUCCAGUCCGAGAAUCAAGGCACGAAUGCCACGCAACCACCCACAACUACGUAAAUGGGGCCUCCACUUUCGAGAGGUGGGAGGACAACGAGCGCGAAUGAAGGGAAGGCCCGAGUUCAGAAGUGGCCUAUAAAAAGGUAGCCAACGAAGGUAAAAGGGUUAGCAAUUUGGAGAUUAUAACAGAGAUAAAAGAAAGCUCUAGAGAAUAGAAACUACAGAAAAGCCAUAAGAUUUGUGGCAAGUGUUCCCAGAACCUUCAUAUCUGACUUGAGCGUCGGAGGGUUUACGCCGGGAAAACAACCGGCGUGCUCUGACUUGUUUCUGUGAACGCAGGAAUAUUUGGAGAAGAAAGCAUACGAGGAGAGAUCCUGAUCGAGGUGAAGUUAAUCGAGCAGAUAUCCUGGUCGUAGAAAGAGGGCAACCAGAAUCUCGCAUCAACACCUAUCAACAGAACCAUCAGAAUUUCGUUUAGUUCUCAAAAUCCACUUACACCCGACGAUAUUAUGACUUGAUUCAGGUGGUACUAGCUCCCAUGUUCCAUUCAGCACCAAAGCAUCAUACUCGUCAAACAUAGCCCGACGCCAUUUUUUAUCUUUGAGGGCUUGGGUCACUGUAGUGGGUUCAAGGUCAGUCGCUUUGGAUAAUUAGGUAUGAAGAUUUAUUUUUUUAAGAGGUUUGUGAAUGUUAUUGACACAAUUUAAAAGUAAAUUUUAACUCCCAAGUAUAAGAGUGUCUUGUUGUAUUAUAACUCGGUGAGUCCGAGAUCGAUCCAUAGAGAAAAGAUUUAAUUAAUUUAUUUUAUUUUAACUAAAAAUUGAAAUUAAAACUUAAAUCUAAACAACUUAAUUUAAAUGAAACUAUGAAAUUGAACUAGUUAGGGUUAUGGAUCCACUCUUAGAAGUAAAUAAAACUUAAUAAAUUCUUUUUGCCAAUUUUUUUUUAGAUUUAUUACCUAAAAGAUUAAUUAUAUAAAUUAUUAUUAUUUUCCCUUUAAUUUUAUGAUGGAUUAAGUAUUUAUUGUGCCAAAAUUUAAUGUCUACAAUAAGUCAAAAUACCAUUUCACCAUACCUUAUAUUAAGAUCUUAAGAAUUUAUUGUGCCAAAUUCAUUUGUUUGUCUAGAAUAAAUCAAAAUUUCAAAAUAUAAAAUAUGUAUAAAAUUAAAUAGAAAAUAAUUUAAUUUAUAAAAUUAAAAGUAGAAUUUGAUUAAAUCAUAUUUAUUUCCUAAGAGUUUCACCUUCCCCUAACUAAUAUUAUUUAGUUAAGCAUAAUUGAAAUAAAAAGAAAUAUUAAAAUUGAUUUACUUAUAAUGAAAAGUAAUAAAAACAACUAAAAUUGAAAAUAAAACUAAUUUUAUUUAUAAAAAUAAUUAUACAAAAUAUUAAAAACACACCUGAAAAUCAAGAUUACAAGGAGAUGGAGAGAAUUUUAGAAGAAGAGAGUUGUAGAGAGAUGAUUAAAAACAUAAAAUGAGGCUCUAUUUAUAGAAAAAUAAAUUCAUAAUCCAGUAUGUUGCAGUCCAUCAUAAGCUUCAUGCAUGUGCUCCUCACAACCUUUAGAUCAAGAUCCAAUGGCUGGUCAAACUUCAAAAGUCAACAUCACACGUGGUAUCGUUUGACUCGUCCGAUUUGGCCAAAGAACAGUUGAGAUUUGGCGGGUUAAUGGGUGGAUCGGGUCGACCCAAAUACAAAGAUUCGGAUCUUACAACUUGCUUCACCAACCAUUGCCACAUGGCACAAUCAUGACCAUUGAAUCAUGAACGGUUGAAAUUUAGUCAAAAUUACGAACUAUCCCAUGCAUUCAUAUCUAUUGUAAGCUCAUUUCAUCAUCCAAUCAGUGCUCGGUCAACAGAAAAAGUCAACAUUUUUUACACAAGCCCAAUUUUAAGCCGAUCUUGACUGAUAUUAGGGUUUUCGAAUGUCCGGAAUCCAAAUUUGACCUCCGUUUAUAUGUUUGGAGCCUCGAAUUACGUGAAAUUAAUAUUUUACCUAAUAAACACAUAAAAAUACACAAAAUUAAAUAUAUUUAAAACAAAAUUAAUAAUUCAUAAUAUAUUACAUAAACAAAAAUAUAAAUUAUAACAUAAGCAUAAAAUAACAUAUUAUCACUUGAUAAUUAAACAAUUUUUAAUACUAAUCAGUUAUUCUUGGAUCUAGUGGUCAUACUGUGGAUAGAUGGUGGUUGAGUCACUGGUGGGUUAGUGGUUGGAGAAGGUUGUUGGGAAUUAGUUUGAGAUUGUGUAGGACAAGAGAAAGUGACUGUUGAGGAAUCAGGCUGAGUUGAGGUAGAUCGAGCUUCACUUGGGGGCUGCUGAGGGCUGUCAAUCGUAGAGGGCGUAUUGAGUGGUGGUACCAAGGAGCCAGAGGAAACUCGAAGUGGUGGAGGAAUCCAAGUGGUAAUAGUGUUUGGUUGAGGACGAGGAGACUGAUUGGACAGAGAAGUGAAAGGAAACGAGGACUCAACAAAUUUAACAUGCCGUGACACAUAAAUUUUAGAAGUCGAAGGAUCUAAGCAAUAAUAGGCACUUUGAGUUAAAAGAGUAUCCAAGAAAACACAAGGUUUUGAACGAGAGUCAAGUUUUAUGGGAAGUGUAAGGUUGAAGCCAUGGGUAACAUAGACAUCCAAAAGUUCGUAGUUUUGAGUAAUUGAGACUAGUUCCAAAUAUAAGUUCGUAGGGAGAUGAGAGAUUUAAUGUAGGAGUUGGCAUGCAUUAAUUAAGUAAACUACAGUGGCAAAUGCAUGAGACCAAUAAAUCAAAGGAAGAGAUGCAUGAGAGAGUAAUGUUAAACCCGUUUCGACUAUGUGAAGAUGACGUCUUUCACAAAAACCAUUGUGUUAAGGUGUGUGAGGCGGUGUAGUGAGAUGAGAGAUUCCAUUGGUGGAAAGGAAAUGAGUUAGAGAUUUGUAUUCAUCACCAUUAUCAGAGUAGAGAGUCUUAAGUUUUUUGUCAAAGUGUUUUUUAACUAUGGCUUUAAAUCUAAUGAAGACAUCUUUAACUUCCAACUUUUGUUUUAAAGAGUAAAACCAUAUAUAUUUUGUAAAGUGAUCAAUAAAAAUCACAUAGUAUUUAAAGCCAUCAUGUGAAAUUAUUGGGGAAGUCCACACAUCUGAGAAUAUAGUUUCAAGGGGCUGAGAAGAUACGAGUGUUGAAGUAGGAAAAAGAUAGCUUGUGGCUUUUAUUACAGAGACAUGCAUUACAUGAGAAAUCAUAUGAAAAAGAAGAUAAAUCGAGUUGAUUAUUUGAAAGAAUGUGCUUUAGAAUAGGAAAUGCUGGAUAUCCUAAUCUAUUAUGCCACUUGGAUGAGGAGGCCUUUGUGCUAGAGAAUGCAAGCAAUGGUGAAGAUACCGGCCACUCAUAUGCGCCAUCUUUAGUGUGGCCCGUCAGAAGUGUUGUCCGCGUGCGAAGUUCCUUCACAGGAAAAUUAGAUGUUAAGAACUCAAUUGAAACGUUAUUGAAGCUGCCAAAUUGAGAUAUAGAGAUUAAGUUUUUUGUCAUGCGUGGAACACAGAGAACAUUAUUUAAUUUAAAAGUAGUUUGUGGAGUUUUAAGAGAGGUGGAACCAAUGUGAGUUAUAGAGAGACCCGAGCCAUCUCCAAUCAUUAUGUCAUCAGAGCCAUUGUAUGGAGCAUGUAGUGAGAGAUUGCUUAAGUCAGAGGUAACAUGUGAGAAGCACCACUGUCCAGGAGCCACGAUGAAGUGGUGGAAUUGCCAGUAGCGUACUGAGCUGUUGGUUGCCUUGGUGCAAUUGGAUUGGACGUUGAUGUAUUGGGGUGUUUGUUGGGUGAUUGAACUGGUACUAGCCGAACAGAGGGACAAUUUUUUGCAAUAUGACCCUAAAUUUUGCAUAUUUGGCAGUAGCCAAGGUAUGGAUGAGAUGGGCGAUUUCCCCUGUUGAGGUUGGUCCACUAUUAGUUGGUGUAGAGUACUAACUUGUAGGAUUAAGCCACGAAUUGUUGGUGUUGCUUGAAUUGAAUGGUGGUCGCUAAGCUGUGGUUUGACUUGUAGGAUUAGCAGUGGCUGGAAAAUAAGAUUGGUUUGAUUUCGUUGUUAGUAGUGAUGCUUCAAAAUUAAGUAAUUCUUAAUUUUGGAUUUAGUGAUGCUUCGCUAAGCUGUGUUCAUCAAAGGUAAUAGAGUAUCUCUGGCUUGGACAACAUGCACUAAUUCUUUGUAAUCAUCCCCGAGUCCAUCAAGAAUUUUGUAUGAAGUGGUUCUCCAAGAAGAGCAAGUUCGUCAGCUUUUGCUUUUACCGUCUGUAGAAACUCAGUUAUACCUUCUGGUCCCUUAGUAAUCUUCUUAAGUUGACUUUUAACUUGUUUAAUACGUCCACGAGAAGGCUUAGCGUAUGUGUUUGCGAGGAUGGUCCAUGCUUCACGAGAAGUUUUGGCUUGAGCAAUGAAAGGUAUUAUGGUUGGGGAGAUGGAGCCAACAAUGGCAUUGAGAAUUAGUUGGUCCUGUCGAAUCCAGAUGUUGUAGUCGGGAUUUGGUCUAGUGGUGGAAUUUUGGGUGAUUGUGGCUGCUGGACAAGGCUUGGAUCCAUCAACAUAACCAAGUAGAUCAUAGCCAAUGAAUAAAGUAUUAAAUUGUAACUUCCAUGAGAGGUAGUUACUGGAUGUGAGUUUAAGAGGAGUUUGAGCAUCAACAUUGAUAUUGAUAAGGGUAUUGUGAGUUUCAUUGGUGUUGUGAAUGGUGGUGGAGGAUGAAGGAUUGGUCAUGAUGACUGAAGAAAAAAAAAAAAAAAAAAGAGGAGGAUCGGCUACCACUUUAGAAUGCUCUGAUACCAUAACAGAGCUUUACUUUUCAAAGCAAUCACACCAUUUUCUCAUUGAUUAUUAAACAUAUAUAUACAAUAGGAGACUAACAAAAUGUUGUUACGGAUCCUUAAAACUAGUGCUGUUAUAUUUACAGUUGAGAAAAGUUUGGAAGAAAAUACAAAACUAAAAAUAUUUGAAUAAGUGACAGUGAAGGAUAAUAUAACUAGUUGUUAUAUGUGACUUCUGUUUCUCAAUGUCACUUGCUUUUUCUUGAAAUAUUUUACUUAUAUCUCAUCUCUAACUUUUUGUAAUGUGAAGAAAUUCUAGUUAGUACUAUCUUUUUGCAAUAAAUAUUAAUAAUUAUCAAUGUCACUUUGAGUACUUCUUUGCGCGAGAUGAGUUUUAUAAUAUUUUUUUUUUCAUGUACGAUUAUAAUAAAUAUAAAAGUUGCUCAAUAUUCUUACUGCUAUCAAUGUAAGGCAAUUAACUAAUAUGCAAACAAAAAAUACAAAAUACAAAAUUUAUGUAGAUUAAUACUAAAAAUGUGAUCAAAUUUUGAGAAUAAGGAUAAUCUUCAUAAAUUAAUAAUUUAUUAAUGCAUUGAUUAAUUAAUAUUCGCUAAAUUAAUAGAUUUUCUAAGUUCCUAAACUUAUUAAUUUAUCAAAAUUCACUAUAUAUUUAUUUAGUUAGGAGAAUUUAUUAAUUAUAAUUUGUCAUAAGUAGUGGUGAAACCACGUAGAUGCUUAAGCCCAUGAUAGAAUUAUUUUUUAAAAAAAAAAGAGAUAAGGAGUUAUAACUGAAAUUUCACUCAUUUCAUGUUAAUUUUGUUAUUUAGCCCCUUCAAAUUCACUAAUUUUAUGUUAUAACCUUUCAAGGUUAGUUAUUUUCUUAUUAUAGCUAGCUUAAGUCAAACCAACAUAAUAUAUAUCUUUAUUUUGCCCCUUGUGAGAUUGUAGGCUCCCGUCCGCUGGCAAUAUGAUGUGUCUCACUGAUCGGACUAGAUAAAUAUAGAUAUUUCUUCAACACAAGGUUCUAGUACUCGAUUACAAAACAAGUAUAAUGCUGUUCUUUUUGUCAACCUUGAAAACAUAAAUUUUGGCUUAUUGCUGUUUGGGUGUGAACGGGGCAGAGAUUAAACUCAUCUCCUCCCAAAAUCGACAAUACUUAAUUCUUAUGUCCUUAUGUGCGAUACAUGUUAUCUAUAUUGAUAUCUGAUAUAUAGAGAGCAAGCGACAUUCCUUUUCAUGCUUGCCCACAUACAAAGCAAAAGAGAAAAAUUAUACUUGAAUUUUCAAAAGAAAAAGUGCCAUAGCUACAAUUUUAAUAAAGUGCAGAAAAGCUUUUAUAGAUGUAUGUAUGUGUGUGCGUGUGUGUAUGUUUGUGUGUAUAUAUAUAUAUAUAAAUGUUUCAAUCCAAAAUUUUAAAAUGCGGAAACGUUCGGGAAAACGCAUAAAUCGUGCGGUUUAAACACUUUAAGUUUUAAACCUUUAAAUUUUCCCGGACAUUUCCCAUACUUUAUGAUCCCAGACCAGAAAACUACUAUAUAUAUAUAGUUAAUUUUAAAUUCAGAAAUAAAAUUUAGGAUGGAUUUAUGGUAUUGUAUAUCAAUUUACAGUAUUAUAAAAAUCCAUUUAUGACAUCAUAAAUUUGUUCUAAACUUUAAAUCCUAACUUCAAUUUCGGAUUAGAAAUUUUUCAUGCAUAUAUAUAUAUAUGCGAACAUGCUUUUAAGAUAUAGAGUUUAAUAGAGUUUGAUUUAAUGUUAUUAAACUGUUCGGCUUAAUAGCGCAUCCACAUUUAAAAAAAUGAGGGCACCUGCACAAAAAAAUUAUAUAGGUAGAUGACAUGAUUAUAAUUUGAUUGAUUUUUUUUUUCUCUCCCCUCUAUUUAUUGUUUAAUAUUUUUCUCUAUCUCAUGUCUCAUGUCUUUAAUCUAUCCUCUAGACUCUCUCCUAUUUCUGUCAAAUUUUUCACCUGUUCUCUCCUUUUUAUUAUUUUGAUAUUUCAAUCAAAACCCAGUAGUCAAAAGAUUAAGAAUAAAAUAAAAAUCCGGAAUAUUUUAUCCAAUUAUUAAUUUAACCCCAACAAAGAAAUUAAAAACAGCUGCUUAGUCUACUUCCUCAAUGCUGAAUCUUAGGGCCGACACCACUACCACCAGCAGGAACAUCGUCACCCAUGGCACCACCCAUGUCACCUCCAACACCCUGGUACGUCUUUGCAAUGAUGGGGUUCCAGAUGCUCGCCAAUUCCCUCAUCUUGUCAUCUAUCUCACGAUAAUAGUAUCACGAUAAUAAUUUUGAUACUAAAAUUAGAGUUUUCACUUAAUAUAAUUUUUUUAAUGUUCUUGUAUAUUUCUAAAGCUUUCAGGAACCACUAAAAAAGAAAUUUUAAGAUACAUUAGAAGUACUAUGUCAGUUAUACAAUAGGUAAAUGACGUCAUAACAUGUGUGUAUUUAUUUUUAAAAAACAUCAUGCCAGUAGUAGUUAUAUUAAAUUUAAUUACACAUAUCAUACAUGCAUUAGUUGAUUGUACUAAAUAUGAUGUAUUUUAUAAUUCCUCAAAAGAGAGACUAGGCAUUAAAGAGUGAAGAGAAAGAAAUAUCAAUGAAAUUAAUAAUUCAUGUUAUUUAAUUUUGACCCUUCAAUCUUUUCUAAUAUUGGUUAGAAAAAUUUCUCUAAAGUUGUGUUUAAACUUAUGUCCCUUGAACCUCUCUUUAACCCACACCAAGCACACAUAUAGUCAUUCUCUAGUGAGGAUGCCACCAAAAUAUUAAAAACAACAUAAAUUUUAAUUCAUUAGAUAUUGCAUGUUUUUGUUUAUCUGUAGAUAAAAUAUGUGUGUUUUAUAUUUUAGUGGCAUCCUCACUUUGGUAAAAUAAGAAUGUCCUCAUGAACUCAGGUGCAGAUGUCUGCAAGUAUGUCUUGUAGAUAUGCACUUUUAUAAUCUCACAAAAUAUUUUACAGCAUUGUAAAACAUUCUGUGAGACUGUCCACACAAAAAUUUGUAUGGACAUCUACACUAGAAAAUGACUCUAUGUGUGUGUGUGUAUCAAAUAAUGGCGUGCUUACUUAGUUUGGAUACUGACUUUGUAUCCCAACUAAUGUGGCAAAUGAUGUGCUACUACUUGAUUGGCUUAAGUGAUAGUUAAUUGUUAAUACUUGUCAUAAAGAGUUUUUAAAUGCAGAAUCUAAAUUCCCAAAAAUUCAAUUGUUUGAGUCAUCAAGUGGUUGCCUCGUGAGUGACACCCAGCCGUGCUGCACAGCCCAUACUUGCAUGUGAUAAGAAUCAAUUUCAAAUCAACAACAAUCAAGACAAUGACAGCAAGGCAAUCAUGAACUCUACAAAAGGAAGGAAUAAAUUUUCCAGCUAAAGGCUUACCAAGUUCAAGACUUGACAACAACGGCUAGUAUUAGUUUAGCCUAAACUUUCUCAAAUCACAAUCUUCGUGGAUAUAAUAGGAAACUCUCCUAUGUCAAGCCAUAACAUAGUCCUAAAAUACCUCCUUAUCUUUGUAUAAAUUGUAUAGGAUCAUAAAAAGAAAAGGAGUGAAGAAGAAAUAAUAUUUUCCUUUAGCUAUUUAAUCUAUAUCAAAUUAUCUUUUAUGGUAUCAGAGCAGAUGGCUGAAAAUUUUGCAGAACCAAAACUCACCAUUCAAUCCUUUCAUCAAUGUGCCAGUCUUGUUUCUAUUAAACUCACAUCAAAUAAUUAUCUUCUAUGGAAGUCUCAAGUCCUUCCUUUAAUCAAAAGCCUCGAGAUGGAGCAUCACAUUGCAAAAGACAAGACUCCAACGAAGAUGGUUACACAAGAUGGGAAAGAAAUAAUAAAUCUGGAAUUUAUCCAAUGGAUGAAUAAUGAUGGAUUAUUGAUGACAUGACUUAGAGGGAUGAUGGUUGAAGAUGUUCUGAGCUUGAUUGUAGAAGGCCAAACCGCUUGUGAAGUAUGGCUCUCCAUUGAAGAGCAGAUGCUUCCAGCCACCAAGGAACAAGAAUCUUGGUUGAAGGAUAGCCUCUACUCCCUUAAAAAGGGAAAUACCAAGCUCGAAGAAUUUCUUAAGAAAUUCAAAUCAUUGUGCGACAACUUGACAGCAAUUGGGAAACCAAUUUCUGAUGAAGACAAAGUCUUCCAACUUGCACGAUCCUUGGGGCCUAAGUACGCGGACUUCAAGACUGCCAUGCUAACUAAGCCUCCAUAUCCAACUUUAAAGCAGUUCAUCCUUGCUCUUCAGAAUCAUGAACAAACCAUAAUGGUACAAAAACAAGAAGAUGUUACGCUUGUUAAUCAAAAUCAGGCGUUCUUUGGUGCUAGAGGAAGGGGAAGAAACCAAAGAGGAGGUAGAAACGGUGGUCGUGGAAGAGGUUUUGUGCAAAAUGGUGGGGGCCCAAACAAAAAUGGAAGCCAUUCAUAUCAAAACGAAAAUAAAGUCAUUAAUUCUCAAAAAAGACAAAUUGCCUCAAAUGCUCAAACUGCUCUAAAGAGCAAUGCCAACCAUCAAGAAAAAGAAGACAUCAUUAUUUGUCAAAUAUGUGGAAAAAAGGGCCACAGUGCUGUUGUAUGUUGGAGCCGAUAUGAAUAUAUGGAUCAAGAAGAAGUGCCACAAGCCCUUGCUGCGAUAAACUUUAAUGAAUCAAACGAUCAACAUUUGUAUGUGGACUCGGGGGCUUCUGUACACAUGGUCAAUGAUCCAGGUAAACUCGACAAAAUUUUUAGUUAUAAAGGCCAUGAUAAGAUUUUUGUAGGUAACGGAAAAAAACUUGAUAUAUCACAUAUUGGAAAUAUUUCUAUAAAAACUAAAUAUGGCCCUUUAUUACUAAAAGAUGUACUUGUUGUCCCUCAAUUGAAAAAGAAUUUACUAUCUGUGGCACAACUUACUAAUGAUUUUCCUUGUUCUCUUGAAUUUGAUGCUAACGGCUUUAUUGUUAAGAAUAAACAGAACAAGGUGCUGGCGAAAGGCAGUAGAAGCGGCAAUCUCUAUGUUUUGGAGGAAAGCAAUCAGAAAGCAUUAAAUGCAAUAAAAGGAAAUUUUGAUACAAUAGAACGUUGGCACAAACGGCUUGGACAUCCAAGUCUUGAAGUUUUACGUAUUUUAAAAUCAAGGAAGGAGAUCAACUUUUCUAGUUGGAAUAAAAUAUCUAGUAUUUGUGCUUCAUGUCAAUUAGGAAAAAGUUGUAAACUUCCAUUUAAUUUGUCUAAUAAAAUAUCAGAAUUUCCAUUACAAAAAGUUCAUUGUGAUUUGUGGGGUCCUGCACCAGUUAAUUCGAAUCAAAACUUCAGAUUUUAUGUGCUUUUCAUUGAUGAUUGCACUAGAUUCUCAUGGUUAUUUCCUUUAAAACGAAAAUCUGACUUCUUUGAUUGUUUUUUAAGGUUUCAGCGUCAAGUGGAGAAUCAAUUGGAAAGGAAAAUCAAAAUUUUCCAAUGUGAUGGGGGUGGUGAAUUUAAUUCAAAAAUAUUUAUUGAUCAUCUGCAGAUUUGCGGUAUUACAAGACAAAUUUCAUGCCUUACACACCACAGCAAAAUGGAGUGGCAGAGAGAAAACAUCGGCAUAUUUCAGAGACGGCAUUGACAUUAAUGUUCCAAGCUCAAAUACCUUUGACUCUUUGGGUUGAAGCAUUUAUGACAGCCACAUAUCUAAUUAAUCUCAUGCCUCUCUCUACUGUUUCUAUGAAAUCUCCUUAUGAAAAGCUUUUCAAAAAGGCUCCUGAUUACAAGCAAUUAAGAAUUUUUGGAUGCAGGUGUUUCCCUUACUUAAGGGAUUACAAUAAAAAUAAAUUUGACAAAAAAUCUCUUCCAUGCGUUUUCCUUGGGUACAGCCCCAUACACAAGGGCUAUCGUUGUUUGGAUCCGGACACCAAAUAUGUCUAUAUAUCUAGACAUGUGAAAUUUGAUGAAAGUGUAUUUCCUUUUGCUGAAUUAUCUCCUUUAAUGAAUUUGCAGGAAAAACUUAACAAUGAAGAAUUUCCUAGCAGUGAAGAAAACAAUUUAAUGCAAGACAAUUUGAUGCCAUCAAAUUCUUCAUCUUUACUUCCACGAUGUUGCUUAGAGUCAUGUGAAAGGCCCACAAUUGUUGAAAACAUGAACAUUUCAAAAGUUGUGAUGACGCCAAACUUACCAUCUGGAGCUGAAAAAGGCAAUUCUAGAGGCAAUAACAGCUCUGAGGAUACUGGAGAAAAUGUCUCUAACACUAGCAAAGAAAUUGUCAUACAGCCAAUAGCCAUGCCAACUCAACCCCAAAAUUUGAUUGAAAUUACCAACCAUGACUUCCCUGAUAUAUCUAAUCGACUUUCCAUUGAAUUACCAAUUCAACCUGUGAAUGCAUUAUCCCAAACAAAAGCCACCACAAACAAUCAUCCUGUGACCUCAACCGAAACAAUUAUAAAUACACACCCAAUGGUCACCCGUCAUAAGUUAAAAAAUAACCCCAGUUUAGCAUUGCAAACAUCUAUUACUACUGAGCCAAAAACAUUGAAAAGUGCACUCAAAUAUCCUCAGUGGGUUACUGCAAUGAAUGAAGAACUUCAAGCCUUAAAUCAAAAUAACACAUGGACUCUUGUUCCUAGACCAAAAAAUGCAAAUAUUAUUGGGUCUAAGUGGGUGUAUCGAAUUAAGUACACAGAUACGGGAGCCAUUGAAAGAUUCAAAGCACGGCUUGUAGCAAAAGGGUUUACACAAGUUCCUGGAAUUGACUAUGAAGAAACCUUUAGUCCAGUCAUCAAGCACGCAACAAUUCGACUUGUCUUAGCCCUUGCCGUGAAUCUCAACUGGUCAAUGAAACAACUUGACGUGAGAAAUGCAUUUCUUCAUGGCCAUUUAAAUGAAACAGUGUACAUGGAGCAGCCACCAGGUUUUAUCAAUCCUAAACUACCAUCGCAUGUGUGCAAAUUGAACAAAUCACUCUACGGGCUUAAACAAGCCCCGCGGGCAUGGUUUGAUUGCUUGUGUCGUGCACUUCUUAAUCUUGGCUUCCAAAAUAGCAAGGCUGAUACUUCCCUUUUUAUACUGCAUUUUGAAUCUAAUAUUGUUUUAUUAUUGGUUUAUGUUGAUGAUGUGAUAAUAACGGGCAAUAAUAGCAAAAUAAUUCAACACAUCAUUCAUACUCUUAGUUCUCAAUUUGCCUUAAAAGAUCUUGGUUCAUUACAUUAUUUCUUAGGUAUUGAAAUCAAGAAAUUUAAACAAGGUAUCUUUCUUUCGCAGGCCAAAUACGCAAGGGAUUUACUUGACAAAACAAAGAUGCAAGAUAGUACAGCUGUUGCCACACCAAUGGCUGUGAAAGAGGUACCAAGAUUUGAUGAUGCACAACCCGUCAAUGCGACUGAGUAUCGACAAAUAGUGGGAAGUCUUCAAUACCUCACUUUCACCAGACCAGAUAUCACACAUGCAGUCAACAAAGUGUGUCAAAAAUUCCAACAACCAACGAAGGCUGAUCUUCGAGCUGUCAAACGGAUAUUGCAGUACCUCAAAGGGACGCUUAACUUUGGACUUUGCUAUUUUAAACAAAGUUCCUUGACACUUUAUGGGUUCUCAGAUUCAGAUUGGGCGGGUUGCCCUUUAACUCGACGAAGUACUAGUGGCUUCUGCAUUUACCUUGGAUCAAAUUGUAUCUCAUGGAGUUCAAAAAAGCAAACCACCGUUGCUCGUUCGAGUGCAGAAGCUGAAUAUCGUUGCAUGGCAUCUACGGCAGUCGAACUCACUUGGCUUACGUACAUAUUCAAAGAGAUUGGCAUAAACCUGAUAAAGCCUCCAGUUCUUAUUUGUGACAAUAUCAGCGCCCUCCAUAUGUCAAAAAAUCAUGUUUUCCAUGCACGAACCAAGCACAUUGAGCUUGAUUAUCAUUUUGUUCGUGAAAAAGUAACAAGUGGAUUGCUCAACACAAGAUAUAUUCCAUCAUCACAGCAAACGGCAGAUUUAUUCACUAAACCAUUGUCCAAAGCAUUGUUCUCAAAAUUUCGGCACAAACUUGGAAUACACCCCGUGGCAAUUCCUAGUUUGAAGGGGGCUGAUAAGAAUCAAUUUCAAAUCAACAACAAUCAAGACAAUGACAGCAAGGCAAUCAUGAACUCUACAAAAGGAAGGAAUAAAUUUUCCAGCUAAAGGCUUACCAAGUUCAAGACUUGACAACAACGGCUAGUAUUAGUUUAGCCUAAACUUUCUCAAAUCACAAUCUUCGUGGAUAUAAUAGGAAACUCUCCUAUGUCAAGCCAUAACAUAGUCCUAAAACACCUCCUUAUCUUUGUAUAAAUUGUAUAGGAUCAUGAAAAGAAAAGGAGUGAAGAAGAAAUAAUAUUUUCCUUCAGCUAUUUAAUCUAUAUCAAAUUAUCUUUUAGCAUGCUCAUCUCUCGCCGCACCCUAAGUCCUGAAUGCCCAGUCUCUAUCUAUCGAUGCACUGCCUAAUACGAGUCUUUUUGUAUAUUACAUUUUAAUGUAUAAAAUAGAAUAUGAUAAAUGAUAAUGAUGACGUACAAACCGAAAGGCUAGAAGCUGCUGAUCAUCUUCUUAAAGUUAUGAAAUACUAAAUUAGUAGAUGAAAGAAUAUGAUAAUAGAUUAACAGAAUAUGAUAAAGGAUAAUGAUGGCAUACAAAGUGGAGCUGCUGAUUCAUCUUUUAAAAAUUAUAAAAUAAUGAUGGCAUACUAAGAUUGAGCUACAGGCUUUGAGAAAACAAUUAGAAUGCUUAGAAAUUGACGUAUAUUCUCUUCAAGAGUUUCAAGAUAUUACUUUUUAAUUGUGUCGAAGAUUAGCUCAGACCAAAAAGUCACAAAUUUACUUCUUGGUUGAUAUAUUAAUUCGUUUAGUGUUAACCCUUCUUAUUUUAACAGCAACAAUAGAGGGAGUAUAUUUUGCCAUGAAACUAAUUAAGACAACACAUUGAAACAAGAUGAAGAAUAAGUUUCUUUUAGAUUGUAUGAUUAUUUACAUUGAAAGAGAAAUUGCAGACAAUAUCGACUCAGAUGCAAUAAUAAAUUAGUCUUCUUUUUUUAAGAAUCGUAGGACACAACUCCGUUGAUUGUGUUUUUCUUAUUUACAUUGUAUUUUUAUAGUUUUAUUGUUAGUUUUUUGCUUAUAUAAUGUACUUAAUAAUUUCAUUUGUAUAAAAGAAAUUUUUUGAAAAGUAAAUUUAAUUUGAAAAAAAAUCUAAACCACCCCAAAAAAUGGUGCUAGCUUUACCAUUGCUUAGGACCUACUAUAUCACACACACUCACACAAAUAUAUAUAUAGUCCCUUUCUAAUAAGAGUCUUUUAUUUUAGUGGGGGAUGGUGCUCAUCUUAUAGUAAACGGCAAUGCCACAUGGCACUAUCUAAUUAAUCCAAAUUUUAACAUUAUUUUCAAAUAAUCACAGAAUUCUAUCGCGUAUUUAGGUACUCAACGUAUGACGGAGGGCACUCAUAUUCACUAGAUCAUUUUCUUCUAUCAAUAUUGGUGUUUUAUAUAUUUAUUGCAAAUACAAUCAGUAUUUAUAUAUCAUUUAAGACGUUUGCAUUAUUCUAUUAAUUUUUCCUCAUGCAAUCAGAUCACCUAUAUUUGCAAUAUCCUAUAUGGCAAGUUGUAUAUAGCGCUCUCAUUUCUUGAUUUUCAUACCCUUGUUAUUUUACUAUUAAUUUUCUUCAUUUCUCAGUUUAUUUUUUCAGACUCACACGCUUUCAUUAUAUAAAUACCCUACAAACCGUAACAUGUUUCUCAUCUUAUCAUCCUACGUUUGAUUAUGGAAAGGGCAAAUUUCGGCCCACCCCCCUCGAGAAGUGACAAUCUUUAAAUCGCCCCCUUACUAUUAAAAACAUCAAGUCACCUCCAAAACUUGUUAUCUCUCUAUUACUUUUAACGACUAAAAGGAUAAAAUAGUAUGUGCACAUUUUCCUAACAAUCAAUUAAUAGAAAAAAGGUCAAACCUAGGUAGACUAAUUUUUAUGGGUCCAAAUCUUUUUAGGCUUUAUAAAACACACAUAAAUAUUUUAAAUAUUUAUAGUAUGCUCCCUAAUACUUUAAAAAAAAAAUUAUUUUGUGCCUCUAUGACUACUUUUUUUUUAAACAGAUUAAAUUUUAACUUUUCGCAUUUUAAAAAAUUAUUUUAAAAAAAUAAAUAUAGAAAUUAAUUAAAAGCUACAAAUGGAAAAAGAAUAAUAUUUUACCUUUUUUCAUUUAUUAUUAUUAUUAUUCUUUUUUCAUUUUGUAAAGGUAUUUAAAGAAAAUAUAGAUAUGAAGAAAAGAAAAAUCAAAGAACAAAAGAAAAAUGCUACUAAAGUUUCACCAAACAAAUGAAAGGAGUAAGGAUGAGAAAAAUGAAAGGAAAGAAAAAAAUGCUACUAGAGUCAUGUUUAUGAAAGAAAAGAAAAAAAUGAAAAAAAAAAAUACGAAGGAGUAAAGAUGAGAGAAAAACAAAUGAAAGGAAAAGAGGAAGGAGUAAGGAUAAGAAAAAUGUAAGGAAAGAAAAAAAAUGUUACUGGAGUCAUCAUGUACAUGAAAGAAAAGAAAAAAAAUGAAGAAAAAGACGAAGAAGAAGUAAGGACGAGGAAAAUACAAAUGAAAGAAAAAGAUAAAGGAGUAAUGGCGAGAAAAAAAAAUGAAAGAAAAAGACAAAGAUGGUAUGACUUUUAAUUUUGAAAUUUAUAUUGAUGGCAUUAUCGUAAUUUUUAUAUGAUAACAUGUCUUGUAAUUUUUUUAACUAACAUUUCUAAUUUAGGAAUGUCUAAUUUGAUCUUGAUGGCAUUAUCGUAAUUUAUAUAUAAUGGCAUGUCUUGUAAUUUGUUUAACUAAAAUGUCUAAUUUAAGAGAAUUAUCAAUUUAUUUAGGUCUAUUAAGUCAUUUCAACACUUUAUUUUUUAAUUUUUUUUUCAAUGACUGGUCAUGCAUCAACUUUUUUAUUUUUAUUUUUUAAUGACUAGUCAUAGAUCAACCAUCUUUUUUAGCCUCACAGUGCCGUUAUAAGAAUAUUAUGUUAAGGUAUGGGUAUUUUCAUACUUUUAUAAGUCAACGACGGUUAAUGGUUAAAGAUAACGAGUUUUGGGGGAGGAGGGGGGGACUUGAUGUUUUUAACAAUAAGGGGGGCGAUUUGAAGAUUGUCACUUCACGAGGGGGGUAGACCAAAAUUUUCCCUUACAGAAACUACUAUAUAUCCAGCAUAAAUACCAAUAAGUUUUUGUUUAAAAUAUACAUUUAACGAAGAUUGAAGUAGAUAUACAUUAGAUCACAUACUGACUUUUUUCAUUUUUUAAAUGAAAGGGUAGGAAAAGCAUUAAGUUUUCAAUAUGUUUAAAUGUAGAAUUUGUUUAGUCUCUCUCAUUUUUUUUUAAUUAAGAUUUGAACUGUUGGCUAGUGUUAUUUCAAUAUCACUUAAUCAAGCUUUGGAACAUACUAGAUCACACACAGAGUUCCCUUCUAAUAAUAAGAAAUUUCUUAUUUUAGUAAGCAACGGUAUUCACUUUAUAGUGAGUGACAAUGCUGACUAAGUAAUCUAUAAUUUUAAUAUUAUUCACAAGAUUUUUAUCACGUGUUUAGGUGCUCCCCAUAUACUAGGUACAAGUAUCCAUUAAAUCAUCCUCACAUAUAUAUAUAUAUAUAUAUAUAUAUAUAUAUAUAUAUAUAUAUAUAUAUAUAGACACGUACACACACUAUAUCUGUCUUUCAUAUAUUUUUCGCAAAUACGAUCAGUUUUUAUUAUUUAAGAUUUUCCUCAUUCCCAAUAUCCUAUAUGGCAGGUACAAUUGCAUAUAGCAUUCUCAUUCCUUAAUUUUCAUACCCAUCUUAUUUUAUCAUUAAUUUUCGUUCUCAGAUUACUUUUAAGACUCACACGCUCUCACUAUAUAAAUACUCUACAAACCAUAGCAUGUUUCUCAUCUUAUCAUCCUACGUUUGCUUAUAGAAACUACUAUAUGUCCAUCAUUAAUACUAAUAAUCUUUUUUGGCUCGAUCGUAACAUCAAAUAAAAUUACAGUCUUCUCAAUUUCAUCAUGUCUUCAACACUAUCAGAUGCUUUUAGAGGCAGCCCUCUCAACCUCCAACACAAACAACUAGACUUUAACUCACUCAAAGAAUUACCCGACUUAUAAAUAUGGACACAACCCGAUGAGUAUCCCGCCGGCCACUCCUUAGCCUUAGAAUCCGUGCCGGUUAUCGAUCUCAAUGACCCUAAUGCCGUUAACGUUAACCUCAUUGGCCAUGCAUGAAAAAGUUGGGGUGUUUUUCAAGUCAUAAAUCAUGGUACCCCCACAACUCUUCUUGAUAACGCGGUGUGUACAAGUAGGAGCUUAUUCAAUUUAGCCACUGAACCAGUGGCGGACCUACACGUGGGCUAGACUGGACUGUAGCCUGCCCUAGUUCAGAAACAAUUAUUUAUACCCCUUACUUUUUCAUCAAUUUAGUAAAAUAAUAAAGUUUUUAUUUUAUUUUCAUAUACAUUCCUAACUCAAUUACCCUUAUGCAAAUAUGUCCCUAACUCAAUUACCUUAUGUUUUCAUCAAUUUAAUAUGACAAUAGAGUUUUUAUUUUAUAUUAAAUAUGUCCCUAACUCAAUUAUCCUUACGUUUUCAUCAAUUUUAUAUAACAAUAGAGUUUUUAUUUUAUUUACCAAUAUGUCCCUAAUUCAGUUAUAUUAUUUUCAAUUGAAGUUAGUGACUUAUUUUAUAAAAUGAUUGAAUUAUAUAUUUAUUGAAUAGAUUGAAAACAUUAGGGAGCUAAAAUUUUAUUACUGCUUUAAUUUAUUUUAAAAAACUUCUAAUUGUAAAAAUAUAUGUCAAUAUAAUAUAACAUCGUCAAUAGUAUUAAACGUACUUAUAGAAACAACAUAUAGUAACAAUUAUCUAUAUUCCAUAAAAAAUUUAUGUGAAUUUUCAGAUUUUAUUUAUUAAUUAUAUUAACUAAGAGGACCAGUUAGAAAAACAAGUUUGAGUAUUUUAAGGAGAUUUUGAUAGAAGAAUCAUCAACAUCUAGUUCUUUAAAUAGAGUUAGAGCGCUUGACAGAUAAACAACUGCACCCAAAUACCUUUUUGCUAAAUUGAGUUUAGUUUAUUAUUGAAACUUUUGACCAAUAGUACUUUUACCGUUUAAAAGGAUGAAUAAAUUUUAAUUAUUUAAUUUAUUAAGUCUCGUAAUUUAGUACUUCACUUCAAACAUAAAAGUUUUACUUGCAAUUUUAAUUGAUUGUAAUUACAUGUAUUGAUCUAUUUUAAUUUGAAAUUCUUAAUUGAUUUUUUAAUCCUUAUAUAAUUGCAUGUUAUUAUAAGUUGUAAUGUCAAAUUCUAUAAUUGAAAAAUAGUGCUUUCAUAUUUGAGUUGCCUUUUUUCUACUCUUUUUUUUUAUAAUUAUCUUUAUCUAUAGUACAUAUUUAGAUGGAUAAGAUUCUUGGUGUUCCUUCUUAUUUAAUUUACUGAUUUCUACAUAUAAAUUUUUAUGUUCGCUUCAAAAUAUAAAAUUUAAAAUUUAGGUCGGGGUAAUAUUAAGUCCUGGAACUGCCCCUGUACUGAACAAAAGCUCAAAGUUUUUCGAUCAGCUGAUGGUGUUGAAGGCUAUGGCUUCCCAAGAAUUUCUUCAUUUUUCUCUAAGCUUAUGUGGUAUGAAGGCUUCACUAUCGUUGGAUCACCACUUGACCAUUUUCGCCAACUUUGGCCCCAAGAUUAUGGCAUGCACUAGGGAUGGCAAAAUUCGGGUUCGAGUCCAGGUUUGGCCUUCUCGGUUCCGAACCAGGACACUGAAAGGUUGUAUCAAACCUGGAUUUAAACUCAAUUUUUGUGACACUGGGUCCGGUACGGGUUAAACCCGGAAUAAUUUGGGUUUCCGGAUUAUGGGUUUUCAACCCAGAUCACAUACAAAUAAAAAAAAUCAAAUACACUUUACAAAUUUAGAAAAUCAAAUUCUACACAAAUCAAAUACAAAGCAAUAAACCAUUUUAAAUUUACAGAUUUUAAAUUGCAAAGCAAUAAACCAUUAUAAAUAUAGAUCCAUGACAUAACAUUCACAAAAUAUAAAUCCAUGUCUACAAUUCAAAAUCUCGAUUCACGAAUUUAGUUCACAAACUUCAACGAUCGACGUCUGGUGAAGUAACGAACAACGGCUGUUGAUGAUAUGAUGAUGAUGAACACAUCACAACGGCGAGUGCGAUUCGCAAAAGGCAGAGAAACGGCAGCCAAAACCAAGAUCACGAUGGACAAACGGUGACCAAACGGAGGCUGAUGAUGAUGAUGAUGAACAUGAACAUAGCAAUGCAAAGCGAUGACGAGUGACGAUGAUGAUUUGAUGAAGAGAAGAACUGAAGAGAGACGAAAAGAAUGAUUGGAUGAAGAGAAGAGAAGAGGUGAAGAGAUAGGAGAAAUUAGGGGGCUGUGAAAGUGUGAACUAAAUUUAGGGCAUUGGCCUUUUUCCCCCUUUUUAUAUUGAAAAAAUAAUUUAAACAUAAUGUUGAAAUAAGGAUACCCGGGUGCGCGUUCCGCAUAUGCGGGCUUAUACAAAUUCGAAACUGGACCCGCAAACGUCUGGGUUGGCAAAAUCAUAUCCGAAUAUCAGAUUUAUUUUAAUCUGGUACGGGUUAAACCCGGCCCAUAUUAUUCGAGUUCGUUUGGGUCCGAACUAAAUCUGGGUUAAAUUGUCAUCCCAAGCAUGCACUAGUAAUUUAAUCGCAAAUGGACGAUCAUGCACCGAUGCACGUAUAAAUUUAGAAAAAUGAUAUUUGUUUAAAAUGGGCACAUGCAGGGCCACGGAAACGGCAGCUCCCUACUGCCGUUUCUAUUAGUAAUUAAUGUGUAACAAAAAUAAAAUAAAAUUAUAGGGGUCAACUUUUCAAAUAGUCUAUUUUGUUAGUAAAAAUUUAAAUAUUUAAUAUAUAAAAUAGAAAAAAUAGGUUUGAACCUCGUUAAUUAACAACAGUUUUUUUUACUAUUUUAUAGACUGCUUUGAUAUUUUUUAUUAUUCUAUUUUAUUAUUAUUAUUAUUUUUUUUUUGGUUUUCGCAGUAAUGUCAUCGAAGAAUACAAGAAACUACUAAGAAAGGAAUGAAAAAGCUAGCAGAUAGGCUGAUGUGUUUAAGUCUGCGUUCACUCGGCACAACCAAGGAAGACAUCAAAUGGGUUGGUCUUAGAGGUGAUUUCAAAGAUCAUCCUUCGGCUUUAAAUUUGAAUUACUACAUGGCUUGCCCAGAUCCAGAUCGGGCUGUGGGUCUAGCCGCCCAACCGACUCGAGCCUUUUAAUCAUUCUAUACCAAAACUGCGUCAGCGGGUUGCAGGCACUGAGAGAGGUAACCGGGUGGGUCAUGGUUCCACACGUUUCGGAUGCGCUUGUUGCCACUUGCCAAUGUUGGGGACUUGCUCCAGAUAAUUUCAAACGGGUUAUACCCGAAUGUGCUCCACCCGGCUGUCGCAACCCGAAAGAAUAGGCUAUCCAUUGCCUAUUUCUAUGGGCCACCAUUAGAUGUCCAAAUCUCUCCAAUUCAAAAUCUAGUUGGCCGAAGUCAUCCUCCUCUCUAUCGGGCCAUUACUUGGAGUGAAUAUCUUCGCAUGAAGGCAAAACACUCUCUUGUUAGAGUUUGAACUCCUAAAAUUUAGGGUCAAUUAAAGAAAAUUGCUUAAAUAUUAAACUAGCUCAGUACAGCUAGUGAUUAUAAAAUUUGUGUGUAUUGGGCUUGCCAUGAUAUGGAAACACCAGGUUUGAAGAAUUUAUUUAAUUUCCCUGAAAUGUUUUAAUACAUAGAAUUUUACAAUCUUUUUUUUAAUUAAAUGGAAAAGCAAAUACUUAUUCUAAGCUUAUUUUACACCAAAGCACAAUGGUUGCACAAUAUCAAGCAUUAGCUACUAAUUUGAUGGUUGUCGAAGCCAACAAAAAUAAAUACCUACUCUAAAUAAAUUGUGUAUAGUAAUUGAGCAGGGUCGUGUCCACAGAGAUCGGUAAUUAUUUAAAUCCUUUUAAAAUGUAAAAUGCAAAAUGGGGGAAUUGUUGACAAUAAUAAAAAUCAAAUUAAAAUAACAAGAAUGCAAAUUAAAGUUGUAAUCCAAAUUGGAGAAAGCUCUGGUUGAAGGAAUUAACUCAGCUUGAUUCGACUACUGAUCAUUGAUUCAAAUAAAUAUUAUUACUACUUAUGAAUAGACCGGUUAUAGCUACUGAGACUCUCUAAUAGCCAAUCUCUCCUUAACUAGUCGAUAACCAAGGUACGAUCGUUGGUUAUUUCCUUAAUCAAUAGAUAACUCUAAAUACGAUAAUAAGAUUUAAUCAAUUGACAGCCUGAAAAACCAAAGAGACCCAAAUCUUAAUCAACAAACACAUACGAUGGUUCAUUUAAAUUAGAUUGUUUAUUCUCACAACACAACUCUCUGCUAUAUUAUUUGUCACAAACAUUAAAAUCUUCAUACGAUGAAUCCUUUAAUUGACAAUAGAUUAAGUUGAUAAUUAAAUAGUGGUCAAUUAUCUAAUUAACAAAAAUAAUCAUGAUAAUAAUUCAGAGAAUAAACAAAUACCAAAAAAGUAAUAAAACAAUUAAAGCAUAAGAAAGAUCUCACAGUAGUGAUGAAUCAAAGCUUCAUUAACCUUCAACCAGAAUAAUAGGUUUAGUUCUUCAUAGAGAGAAGAGAAAAUUUUAGAUAUAGGGUUUCUCUCUUUUCCCCAAAAAGUCCUUUUUUCACAAUAGAUUCCUCCCUUAAAUACUCUCUCUUUCUUCUCCUCUAGAAUUCUAUUUAAAAUAAAAUACUAAUAUCUGAAAUAUUAAAUUCGUAAUUACAAAAAUACAAAACACGUUAAACUAAAAAACUGCAGGUUCGUAGUUGACAGCACGCGCCCACGCCUUAUCAAUAAAAUUCUUCUGACGCUCAUAAUUUCUCCAAGAGAACCAUCAUCCUUAAACAUCAUCUUGUAGCUCAAUUUUAUCACCAAUCAAUAGAAUUGCACCUACAAAAGUAAAACAUAAGUAAAUCACUAUUAUUAAGUGCAAAACAUCGAUAUUAAGGGAAGUAAACAAUGUAAAACUAGUGCAUAAAUUGCACUCUAACAUAAUCAUACAUCGCAAAUUUUAAAAUCCGUAGUAGGCCUUUAAUGCAGACUCAACUCUCUCUUGCUAGUUCUAGUACUGUAGAAUUCAUGAAACUCUAUGUGAUCAAAAGGCUUAAAGGGCAAAGGAUGUUCUUUAUCUACUAGCUCUUUUGGACAGUCUAUUGUGUAGCCUAAUUUCGAAAUCGAAAAUAAUCUUGUUGAGUACCUUACCUCAUUUCCAGUCGUCAUCACAUGACGGUAGGGCGAGUACAUUCAACUAUUUGUUCAUGUCUGCAAAAUAACACAUACAAUUUUCAAAUAACAUUAAAUUAAAUAUUUUCCAUACAAUCUGGAUAUAUUAUAGAAUAAAUUUUAGAUCACCUUUCUUGUGAAAUAACAAUCUUCAUAAUACCCUCAAAUUAUUGUAAACUUCAACCUAACGCUAGUUUUGUUAAAAGAUAAGGAAAAAAUGGGGGUGGAUUGAUGAAAUUUUAUUUUGUCUUCUUAACAAAAAUGGGAUAAAUUGAGGUUUACUAUAGUUUUAAGAAUAAUUUGCAGAUUAUCAUUUUACAAGAGAGAAAGUAUUUGUUUAAUAUCUAUAUUUUGCGUUAAGUGGUUGUUUGGUGCUUAUAUUUCAAAAAAUAUCUUAAGACACCUCAACUAUUAAUAGCUUGCUUUUACAAUAAUACACAUGUAACAAUAUUUUUGGUGACAUUAAUUAAAAAAAUGUUAAUUUAUCAAAUUAACAUUAAAAGUAAAAUAAAAAUUAACGUAAUUUUUUUAUUAUUAUUUUACCUUUAAGAUUAAUUUGAUAAGUUAAUUGUUUUAUUAAUAGCUUGCUUUUACAAUAAUACACAUCGUUUUAGAUGAAGGAAGGGUUGUAUGAGUGGCUUGUGAUUUUAUUCGAAUUGUCAAAUGUGCCAAGUACUUUUAUGUGCUGAAAGAACCAAGUCCAACAUAUGUGGAUACUACAAAACGAUUCCGACAAUCCUUAAUGAUAAGAUGUAAUGAUGUGUUCUGUAAAAGAAAAUUCCCUUGGUGCUGAUAAGUAUGUGGAGUCACAUGUAUUGUCUAGUGAGUCAUAAAGUAAGAUUCCCUAGUGAAAAGACAGUACUGUGUAAUGUAACAUAAAGUAGUAGUCAGUUGUAAAAUAAGAUUAAAGUAAGAUUCCUUAGUGAUAAAGUGUAAUAAUGUGUUAUGUAAAAAGAGAUUCUCUUGGUGCUUAUAAGAAAUACUCCCUAAUAGUGUGUUCAUCAUCAAGUCUGGUACUAUUUUCUUCUCUACUUGCAAUCAAAGUGAUUAAUACCCUGUGAUGUAACAUAAAGUAGUAGAAAAUUAUAAAGUAAAAUUAAAAUAAUAUUCCUUAGUGAUAAGGUGUAAUGAUGUGUUUUGUAAAAGGAGAUUCUCUUGUAGUAAAAGGAUAUUCCCUAUAGGCACCAAGGAAACGUUCUUUUAUAAAACAAAUCAUUAUAUUUUAUCAUUAAGGAACCUCACUUUAAUCUUUACUACUCACUACUACUUUAAGUUACAUCAUACAGUACAACCUUAUCACCAGGGAAUCUUACUUUCUGACUCACUAGAAAAUACAUGUGACUUUACACACUUGUCACUUAUUAUUGGUAAGUAUUCACCAUUGCUUUCAUUCGUAGGGUCCACUAUUGCUUCCGCUUAACUUGUACCACUUCCUUCGUCAUCCCAUGUUGGGUUCUUGUUGUGCACGUAGUAUUCUUCCUAUUCGUCAUCCAUAGGUUCUAGAGGAAGAGCAUCCUGUAAUGGUUGGGGGUGGUUUGGUUGAGGAUAUCCACUCUUAUCCUUGUUCAUAUCCUUCUUUUAAACCAUAGUAGUCUAGCCAUCAUUUUGCCCAUCCAGGAAGUCCUGGCGAUUCCCAUGGUGGUGUUCUUUCCCCUGCUAUUCCUUGUGUUCGAAGCUAGUCAUCAUACUAUCAUGUUGCUUCUUACUCCCAAUGAUCAUCACUAUAAAGUUGUGCAUUUUGUAUCUCUUCUCUGUAAAAGAGAUCUAGAGUAGCCUACACACUAAAAGAAAAUGGGCUAUGAGUAUUGUAUACGGGUUCUAUCCCUUAUACUUCUGCUAGGGCUCUUCUGGCAUGUAGACAUCCACUUCACAUGAUUUAUGUGUCAUCAUACAUGUGAUCAUGUUUUACCACUUUAACUAGUGGUGGCUUGUCUCUUCUCCAUAUAUCUCUUUGUUGCAUGAUGACAAUGGUACUGUGAGUUAGGUAGUAUUUGUUGAUUAGCUUGAGUGUGAGGAUAUCUUCGAAUACAGGAGCAAAGAGUCUGUCGAACUAUCUUCCCUUAGCGUACCCUUGACUUCUGUAGAUAAAGUGUGGUUCAAAGACUAUUACUGCAGGAUACAAAUUUAUCCAUUACCAGUGGAUAUAAUAUGAUAGUGAUGAUACUUCACCUAUCACAUAAUAUUCCCAAUUGGUGUCUUCAUCAAUAAUAUGAUGAAACACUGUGGAUACUUUGUAUACUAGCUCGUUUAUCUGGUCUCUUUUAGGAAAUUGAUCAAAUAUAGCAUGGCUCUCAUUCCUCUUGAAUAACUUGAAUUCAAGCUUGCGUAAGAGUGUCCAUAAGCGCCAAGUAGUGUCAUCAAAGCUCUGAGGAUAUUGAUCAUAAUCAACUACCUUUUCAAAGAUUACUUUCCUGAUUUCUCCACGUAGUACUGAGAUCAAUUAUGGGAUCUUCGGGUAACUUCCUUCUACAUAAAGCCAUUGCAGACCACCUUGCCAAUUGUCGAUCCAGAAUUUCUCUUUCUUUUUUCCUUAGCAGUCCCUAAAAGUACUUGUAAUCUAUUUCAAUUACAAAUAAAGUGAGACAGAGAAAAAUUAGAAUUUCUUGAUGCCUUUAAUGACUGUUGAAACUUCUUUCUUUGAUGAUAGGCAGUGAUACUGAGCUUCACUAAAUUAUCUUAAUUUAUAGCCACAAAUUCUCUUGUCUAUUGGAUUCUUCAAUCAGUAUUGCACCUUUGCAGAAUGAGUUGCUCUUUGCUAGGAAUCUUCAAAAGUUGAAGUGAUUAACAUUUUAGCUUUAAUUCUUUUAAAGCUUUUUUUACUUCUGUCAACCAUAGUAAAGAUCCUUUUUUUUAGAUGUUUUGAGAUCUGACUUGUCAGCUUUGAAAGAUUUUGAAUAUCAUCUAUUGCGUAGUUACUAAUACCCAAAAAUUAUUUUAUCUGCUUCCUACUUGACAAUUUAUCAGGGAAUUAAGAUAUUUUUUUGCAAUGUGUAGUUGUGGAAUGUUGUGUUUAUCUUUGAUGUGAAGUCCCAAAAAAUCAAUUUCUUCAAGCCUAAUUUUUAUUUUGGAUUCGGACAAUGCAAACCAUGAUUAUAUGUUAGCUCUUUGAAUUUUAAAAGAUGUUUACCAUGUUCUUCUUUACUAUUGUUGAAGAUUAAGGCAUCAUCAAUAUAUAACAUGCAAAAGUUUGAUAUAGGCUUAUACACUUUAUCCAUUCUAUGCUGAAAUUCUAACAGAACAUUCUUUAGUCCAAAAGGCAUUCAUAAUGUCCAUGUGAUACUACAAAUGUUGUUUUGUGCCUAUCCUCAUCUUUUUUGCCAAUAUGCCAAAAUCCUGACUUUAUAUCGAACUUGCAAUAAAAUUUAGUAGAUGCUAUAUUUUUUUAAAGAUUAGUUCUUCUAAUAUAUGAUACCUAAUAUCUUGGGAGCAAACAUUCAGCUUCCUGUAGUCGAUAACCAAUUUUAUUUUUCUACGAACUUGCUCUAAAUGCUUAUUCACAUAGAAUGCUGGGUUGACUUAAUGGGACUAAGAAGGCCUGAUAAGUUUAAGGUCUAAAAAUGGUUGGAUCUCCUGUCUGCAUAGUUCUUGAUCAUGGGGUAUUCCUAAAUGAGAAGUUGUUUAAUGUGGCAUGACCCAUCCUUUUUUAUAUGGGAGUGCAACAAAAUAUUUGCUCUGAACUAGAACUUGUUUGGUAUAUCUGCAUAGCACUGCAAAAGUUCUUUUUGCUGAAGUUCAAAUUUCUGGACUGGAGUAUUUUGAAUUUUUCCUUUAUCACUCAUCUUAAAGAUGGAUUGUUGCUCAACUCAAGGCACUAUAAAAGAAUGAGACUUUUGGUCAACAAGAUUGAUUAUUGUAUAACCAAACCCAUCGGGAGGAAUGUGAACGAGCAAUGAGACUGUAAAAAUCUAGACCAAGCAAUAAAUAUUCUCUUGUUUGGUCACAAGCAAAAAAAAAAAAAACUAUAACUUUUGCAAAAAGGAAAAUUUUAAAUAAGUUUGGUAUACUUAUGGCUGUAGAAUUGAUAUCUACUUGCUGCUGUAAAGCUGACUUGUGUAGGAACAUGAUAACUUUUAGGCAAACAUCUCUCAAGAAUAAUUGAUGAAACUGCUCUGGUAUCAAUUAAGGCAGUAAGAGUAAUUGAUGAAACGCACCAAGCUUCGUGCGACAGGCAGCCUGUCGCCACAUUUUAUAUUAUAUGCAUCUCACAAAAAUUUUAGAUAAAGAUGCUCACCCAGCACUUGAGCUUGGGGCAAUGUCGUCCAUCACUGCAAAGCAUUACAUCUGAGGCAUUCUUAUGCCCAUGUUCUUCCCCACUCCUUCCAAAAUCAGAGCUGUAAAACUUAGCAAACUGCAGAAAGGGUUCCACGAAGGUCUCCAGAACAAUAAAGAGAUUGUUGACCUCCGAAAUCGGGUUGAGGCAUUUGCUUCCCAGUUUGCAAUGCCAGGAUUUGACACCCUCUGACGAAUUAAAUGACACACCUGCAUGCAUUUGUGACUUCAUUUUUGUUGCUUCUGUGGCUUACCAGAGCAUGUGCAUGGUAACCUAUCCAUUUCAGCUCCCACCCUCGUCCCCAUUUGUUUUGCCAUUCAUCCGCUGUAAAUAGAAAUAGGUCACGAUUUUGCAUAUGUUGCCAAAAUUUUACAGCCGUUAUUGGUUCCCCAAAUUGCCUCCAAUGUUGUUUCUUUGUAUCUUGGUACAGAAUAUAUACAAGCUAUUCCUUUUCCAAUGUAUUUGUGGAGGCACAGCAAAAAACUGAGUUAUGUAAGUAAACACGUGAAUUUCUGUUCCUGGAGUUUGACUGAUUUCUUUCCUUUCAGAUUGUUAUAUCAUCUGGGUAUCAAUGUCAUUGAAUUUUUUGGUACCAAUUGCUGCAAUUGCUUAUGGAUUAAUGAAUCUGCGAGCGCCAUCCAACUCUUGGAUCAUCAUGAGAUUCUCCUGUAUACAAUAAUGCUGUCUAUUUUACCUAUUUUUAGCCUGAUUUGUAUGCUGUUUUCGGGAUUUAAAUUUGCUAAUCGAUGAUUCGCGGCAGCAUUUAGAGGUGAAAAGCUAAGGCUGACAACUAAUUGGAGCCCUUUUUUUAUUGCAGAUGUGGUUUUCCUUCCCCUGUUUAAAUCUUGUUAAAGAGAAUGAUUUCUUGUGAUAAUAUGUAGCAUUGACUAGUGCUUUUGAAAAAGUCAUGAUCCAACACACUGCCAGUGUCAUACCCACAGUUUUGUUGCAACAUAAUUUUGUUGCCAAAAAUCAAUUCCUCAUGCUUGUAGCACAGUUGGUUUUUUUUUUAUUAUUUCUUUUUAACUAGAUAUUUUAUCGGUGAUGUUUUUUUUAUCUGUUCCCUGUUAAUUUUAUCGGUUAGACAUUCAAGAGAAGAGAAAGGCAUAGAAUACUUCAUGUCCUCUGAGAAUUUCUAAAAGUAAAAACUCAAAUGUAUGUUGUUACAAGUAUAAUCCGUUGAAAGUAUGGUAUGAUUAUCAUUCCCUUUCCCUCACUACAUUAAGCUUCUACAUUAGCCGCCGCCGAUGAUGGGAGCUUCUUCGGUUUGGGAGAGAUGGGUGAAAGAGAGAUUGUUGGGGGAGAGAUGAGAGAGAGGGGUAUUUUAGUCUCAAAUGAUUUUUUAUGGCUAAUGUUGAUAGAAGUUUGUUUGGGGGGUUAAGAUGGAAAAAGUCAAAACUUUUAUAGUUAUUAGUGUAAAUUUCCCUUAAUUAAUUACAGAGUUAGUGAUAUUUAACCACUUCAAUAUCUCUCAGCAGCCCCCAAUAAUUAAUUUUAUGUUAGUUCUAUAUUUUCCUUAGUUAAAAUUUCUAAAAUGGAUAUAUCUCUUUUCUAAUCUCUUUUUACUAUAAACUUUCAGUCUCUUAGUAGAUCUUUAGCAAUUGGUAGGCCGGUAGCAAUGGUGUAAUCACAUUUGUAAAGGUUAACGGGUUAGCCAUUGCUGCAACCAUAAAAAGAAGCCUUGCCAUCUGUCGACAUAAGGAACACCAAACAGAUUAACUUUGAACCCCUUCUUUGUUGAUGACAGUUACCAAGUGCUUAAAGAAGUACUAAAUUUUGCUUGGAUUAGAUUAAAGUUAAUGAGCAGAGUAUUGGAGGUAAACAAGUGAAGUGUGUGAAAAAUAAGAACAGGGAUAAAUUGGAGACAUGUGGGGUUACUGGGGUAUAUUGAGCUCCUAGGCCUUCAAGGCCACUCAAAUUUCUGUGACAAGCUGGGUGCCCUUAAUUAAUUAAGUACUUCGCUACCGCUGCCAAAAUGAGUCCACUUGUUGAAAGAUAGAUAGUAUCGUGGAUCAUAGAAUACUAAUUAGAGCGGUAUUAUAAACAUAGGUUACAUUUGCAUAUUGAAUUAAUAUAUUUCGAUUUCUAAUCUAACAUAUAUUUUAAAUGUGCUUGCUAAGUGGUCCACAACCCUAAGGCGAUCGUGCUUUUUUUCAUAUAUAUUAAGCUUGUGCAGGUCACGAUCACAAUUUCAUGUCAUCAACGAGAUAUUAAUUAAUCCACAAAAAGAAGCAGUUAUGAAUGAUUGAUUGUCACAUAUUUCAUUAAUUGAAAAAAUAAAAGCAAAAACAUAUAUCUUUCAACUUGUUUGGAGUUAUUAAUGCGUCAUUUAGGUUUUGAUUAAUACAUGAUAAAGGCAAAAUGUUUGUUUUGGUGACUCUUUUGUGGUCCUUUGAAAUAAUGUUCUUUCAGGACCUCAAUUAAAUUUCAGCAAUAGUAUUAUUAAUUUUAGUUCUCUCCAAUCAAUCGUCAAAAUCAAAAUUGAUUUUCGGAUGAGAUUUGAAUAUAUUGAUUGAAAAAGAAAUGUUAUAACAACAUAAACGUCUCAUCAUCUGAUAUAUCAUAUUAGGUGAGAGGUCUUUUAUAAUUUAUAUAAUCAAGGGGCCAUUUCAUUAAAAUUGAAUAGAAAACAAGAGAUGAAAAUAACUUUAGUAUUCUUCUCCUUCUCAAGUCCUAUGAUAGAGAGAUGCUGCCUAAAUAUUGCUUGAACAAUUUUAAUUCAACUUGUACUAAGUAUAAUUUGUUUAUGCUUUACUUGUUUAUCAAUAGCUUUUAUUUGUAAUUAUCAAUAUAGUUACCUCGCACAUGACAAAUUUUUAUUUAUGUCGCCAUGUAUUUUUUACUAUGAUCUAAAUAAUAUUGAAAGAGAUUGAUCGAGAUGUCACAUCCUCAUAGAAAUUCAGGAAAACAAAAUCAGUUACAUUAUGGUCAGAAUCAUUACUGAAUAAAAUCGAGAUGUUAAUUUAUGGUUGAAGUUUUUGACUAUGUUGAUGAGGGGCACCGGCACAUUAUGAUCCUGGAAAUAUGAUGUUAAAACUUCUCAAUCAAGACCAUUGUGAUCAACAAAUCAAGUGUUUUGAAUCAUGUAUAUAUGGAAAUAGUUAUUGCCAUUAUGAUAUUUAAAAUAUGACAAGAACCACAUAUUCAUUACUGAGAUCGAUUUGUUUCUAUUGAGGUUAAAAAUUUGUUGUGUUUUUCAUUUUAUUAACUUGCAAAUUUUGAGUAGUAACUUCAUCUAUAAAACUUAUUAAACUUAAAAGUAAUGCUCUAGUAGUAGUCUUAAUUUAAUCUUAUUUUAACAUUCUCUUUCACGUACAUGACUCAUUUGAGCUCGUCCCGUGGAUGUAGUACAAGCAGUCAAUUUAAUUGAGAACCAAUCACUAAACUUUUAGGUCAAACUAGCCUUGAUACUAUAUUGAGUUACUGGUGAUAAGUACUUUGGAGAUUGAUUAGUCUGUAAACAAUUGGUCUGGCUUAACUAGCUAGCUAGAGGGGAUGCAAAAGGCGUAUACCUGAGAGUUACUAUUAAUAUUUCCUAAUAUAUGCUUGUCUUGAUAAAUACAUACAUAUGUAUUAGUGAUUGGUUAUUAACAAAAUAGAAUAUAAAAGAAGGAUGGACUGUUCAAUUUUAAUUGUUGGAUUCAAGAGCUUGUUGCAAUUUUUCAAUAGGUCAGGACACUUAACAAUGGAGUUUUGAAGUAAAGAAUGCCGUAUUCCUUUGAAAACUAAUUGGUAUUCAGAAAUUAACAUUAAACCAUUUAAUUUUAUCUUUUUUGUAGUUUUAACGUGGUUGCCGGUCCCUUAUAAGGCCAAAAUUGAUUAUAAAUAAGAUGCGUCAAGAGAUUUUUCGAAACUUAGAGAGGAUCGUAAAUCACACAAAAGGUUUUAAUUUACUUCAUAUAUUAACGAUUAGUUGUUAACAAAACUUAGAGAGGAUAGAGAAAUUUUUUGAACCAGGAGAGCAGCAUUAUGAUGCUAUAGAUCCAAAUUAUUCUCUGCUUUAUUGCUGCUUGUAGUAUGAAUUCGAACAAACUUUUAAAGUUCGUAAGUUGUUAUAGAUGUAAGAUUUUGAUAUGUAGUAAUUUUUUUUUUGAAAUCUUAUUAUCUUCACAACGCACAAGACAUUUUUACACAAGUAACCUGAAGAGGAGGGGGGGGGGGGGGGGAGAGACUGUUAAAUAACACACGACACAAAUUCAAGAUACCAAGAACCCUUAUUACAGAAGCGUAUAGCUUGAAAUGACCAACUUACACUUAUCACAGAAGUACGUAAUUGGUACCCACAUAUAACUAUUGAGUGUGACACGUUUUUUUCUUUUGGUAGAGAAUUGAAGUUCAUCAAAUUAGAUGCCGCAGUAGGCUUUCAUCAUGUUGCGUUCUCCCUUGUUUUGGUCACUAUUUGAUAGAUAGAAUUGGAGGAGUCCAGCAUGAUCAAAUGGCUUAUAUUGUAAUGGAUGUUCAUCGUCAACUAGCUCCUCCGGCGUCUGUAUCACCCCACUUAGGAAUGAAAAUAAGCCGAGUGCAUAUCUCACUUCUGGCCCAUCCACAAUCACUCUAUGGUAACAAGAUUUUAUCCUGUCAUUGCUCCAAGCCUACGCCAACCGAAAAAAUUGUGUUAAAAAAAUUUAAUUAAUUGUUGGAAUUAUAUUUCUAUAUACACUUAUAAUGAUGAAUGUUUAUGAAUUUUUUUGGUUACUGUUUUAACACCUCGAUGAGAUGAUGGGUUUUUAAUUUCAUAUAUCAAGUUAUCAACCACCCAAGAUGAAAUGUCUUUGAUAAAUGAUGUUGGCUCACCAUGCAAACGUCGCCGGCUAUGAUCACAAAAGAAGAAGGCGAGGGCUCAAAAUGAAUCCACUCACCAUCUUUAGUUCUCAACUCCAAACCCUUAACAUGAUUUGAAUGAAGAAUGGACACCAAGCUCUUGUCCGUAUGACCCUUGAAAGCAAGAUUAGUGGUGUCCGUCUGCGAUUUUCGGUAUUUCAAGAAACGGAGAAGGUAAGUGGUUGAUUCCUUUUGAGACUCAUACAGUUUCUCUAUGCCAUAGCUCUCAAACAACAUUUUCAUCACUAAUUGCUGCAAUUCUGCCACUAUGUUUGCAUAUGUAUGAGCAACUUCACUGAGGGCCAAUUUAAGUAUUAACCAACCAACAGGCAAAAUUAGCACAAGGUUCCGAUUAAUGGAAUUAUAACGGAUAGCAAUUUAAUAAUAAUAAUAAUAAUUGAGAACCAUUAAUUGUUAAUUACCAGAACUGAUAAUUUCCUUGAGGCCACAUGAGGCUUGUGAAUUUUUCACAUUCUCCACGGUUCGUUGCAUACUCAAUGCCCAUGCCCUCAUGAAGUGGAAACGCUGAUAUUUUGCCCAUGUAGCCAUGAGCAGGCUUAGGGUUAACAUUUUUCAUUUUAGUUUCUUGUGGUAGAUCAAACAACUCUUCCAGGGAAUCAAACACUUUGUUACGAAAUUCGGGUAAGUGUUUGUCGUAUAAUGCGACAAAGCAACCAUAUUCUUCAAGCGCAAGCCUGAUUUCAUUGCAUGCUGUUUGCCAUGAACUUGAACCAGGCUUCAGGUUUUCUUGAGACAGAUCUACAAUGGGAAGUUUUUGAGCUGCUUCUGAACCCAUCUUGGCUUUAGAUUGUCUUUGCACUAAGCAAGAAAGUUUAUUGGGGUCAAAGUUGACAACUCUGGGAAUGGGAUACACUACUAAUAUUGUUCAUAAUUUAUACAAAUGUUAGGGACUGACAUAUAAAAUAACAAGACAAACCAAAAUAUAUUGCUUUUGAGAUGGAUGGAGUCUGAUAGAGACUUGAUUAAUUUUUAGUAAAAGGACUGCUCUUCAGAAUUAGGUGAUUGAUGAAUUGCCUCAAAAAGCCUUCUCUUCCCCCUCAUCAUCCUAAAUACGACUGGUUGUCUAUACAUGCUUGUAUUAUAGACAUUCCCCUUAAAAUCAAAUCAUCUCAUCACUUUCAGCUCAAAUUAUCAGAGAUCAUCAAUCGUACGAUGAAAUUUUGUUUUUAUGACUUAUUUAUGCAUUUAACAGGAAAAAAAAUGAUGAUGUGAACCUUUCAUCUAUUUUUUGAUGAUUAUAUCGGUCGAUGGUUCUAUAUGUACCAUAUAUAAUCGAAUUUAACUUUUGCCAAUAAAAUGGACGACCUUUGGCCAAAAUUUUGAAAACAAUGUUGAUGCGACCUUCCGUGUCUAAAAUUAAAAACUGGCCUCUUUAUUUUUUAAUUCAUAUGAACUGUGAUUGAUUGAAACUUAAUUAUAUUCUCUUAUGAUAUUACUACAAGGAACAAUGAUGAAUUAUGCCUUUAUUUUCUUGAGAAAUCGCUUUCCUCGGUGAUGCAUGCAAUGUAUGAGAUAAUGAUAAUGUCUGUUCUGUCUUUUUUUUUUUUUUUCCUCUUUUCUGAACUUCUUAUAUGUUAUUUUAAGAUAAAUGAUUAAUCGAUUUACGUUAGCUUAUAUGAUUAAAUAAAGAAUAGAUUAUAUACCAUUAACAUUAUAUAUGUUGAAUAAUGUACUUAUGGUAUCUUGAUAUUUAAUAAAUUGUUAGGAGAACAAUUUUUUUCUCAUUUAGAUUAGUUGUAACCCAAUUCCCUCCUUAUCUAGGGUUUAAACCACAAACCUUACCCAUAAUUUAAAUUGUUAGUGUAUAUAUGUAUGUAUAUGUGUGCGUGCAUGUGUGUGCGCGCGUGUAUAAUUGUUAUUUUUGAAUUAUAGUUUCCUAUUCUGUAACUUAUAAAAUCUAUAACAAUCAUGUAUCAAACAUACAAGGACAUAAAUGUUAAAACACCAUAUUUAAGAUAUUUUUCAUUUAUUAAAAAAAAAACUUAACACUUAUAGUUAGACAUAUAAAAAAAAAAAUUAAACAUGUCAUUCAGAUAUCUGCAUUCAAACCUAUUUAGAUUUUAGCCAAAUACAAACCUAUUCAAAUUUAAAAAAAGAAAAAAACACUAGCUAAGACUAAGAGUGAAUUCAUUGUCAUUUUGGGCUUAAAAUCUAAAGUACUAUAAUAAUCUAUAGAACACUUGAUGUAGUUUAGAAGAUAAGUUGAUUUUUAUCACACACUUAUUUGAUGAAUAACUUAUAAUAUUUUUAAUAUUUUUGUAAAAAAAAGUCAUUCAAAAUUUAUAUUUACUACACACUAUCAACUUUUAUUUCAUAAUUGUUGUUCUUUUCCACAGCAACAAUUGUGUUUUUUAAGCCACAUGGUGCCAAUGCAAAAGAAGGCAUAAAAGCAUAUGUUUCCUCAUUUUGGUCACAUUUGAUAUGCCAAACUAAGACCAAAAGUGACUAUAUUGGAUUGAAUUGGAUAAGACAAGAUUGGGCUGGAUUAUAUUUAUUAUUGUCUUGUGUUUUUUGUUAGUACAUUAUAGGAUGGAUUAAAUUGAAAAUUAUUUUGCUUAUAAUAACAAAUUAAUAAAUAAAAUUUUAUUUAAAUGUGAUGUAUGACAUGCAGUUACCAUAUCCAAAACAUAGAUGACAUGUCAUAAUAGGAAUAAAAAUUGUUUGCCUUGUGUUUAUAAUUCGGCAUAUAGUAUUGGUUAGAUCUGGCUUUCCUAUUUCAUCCUUUUGGUUUUUCUGUUUCAUAAUAUAUAUGGCUGUAAAUAAGAAGACUAGAAUAGGAACUUUCGGUUAUGAGUAAUAAAAUAAUACAGAAUAGAAAGAGUUUUUUCAAUACAUACAUCAUGGUAGAAACCUAGUAACUAAUACAUAAUAAUCACACUGCAUCACAAUUCGCUUAUGCCCUCAACGAUUAGGGCCAUAUGAUCAAAUUGCUUUCGACAAUUAAGUAGAUUUUGUCUGAGAUGCAUAAUUUUUAGAUACCACAAAAAGAAGUGAUAGAACCAUCUGUUUUCUUUCCCUCGUCAGAAUCAUGGAACCGAAGGAAUUCGUAAAUAUCGAACGGUCUAUAACGCAAAGGGUGUAAUUCAUCAACGAACUCUUCAGGUAUAUGUACGAUGCCCCGAUUGAAGGAAAACAGUCCCAUUGAAUAUCUUGUUUCAUAUGCAUUUAUGAUAACUUGAUGCUCACAAGAUCUUAUCCUGCCGUUACUCCAUGCCUGGCUUACACAAUAUUAACACUAAUCAGGGCCUACUAGUUUGGUCAUGUUUUGGGUCAUUAUUAUUGAAAAGAAAUAUGUUUCGUAAAUUAAAAAUCAGCAGAAAUUGAUCAAUUUCACAUUUUGAUCAGGAUUUAAGAAUUGAAUUUGAAAGAAAAUUUGAUAAUUUACUUAAUGUUUCCUUAAUUCUAGUGUAUAAGCCUAUUCUCCAAGUUUCUGCUUUUAAAAAAAGUCCUUUGUUCUAUAUCUUUCUCUUUUAAAACAUAAGUAUUCAAUACUUUUUAUCUGUUUCAUAUUAGAUUUUCAUUAUAUAGAACAAAAACAAUACCACUUUACCCUUGAAAAGAGAGAUUCAACAGCUCUGAAAGUACUUCUAUGGAUGUUUAAUGUAAUACUUGAAAAUUAAGUAAUUAGUCCAAACUCUAGAGAAUGAAGGAGAAUUUACCCUUUGAGAAAUAAUCUAGUAACAUGCUGUGAAAACAAGUUUUUGAAAAAGGAUAUAAGAACUUUACCAAGAGCCCAUCGGCUGCCAUGAUCACGAAAGAUGAAGGAGAUGGCUCCAAAUCAAUCCACUCGCCAUCUUUUGCUUUUAUCUGCAAACCAUUGAUAUGAUUUUGAUGAAUUAUAGACACCAUGUUCUUGUCCGUGUGAGGGUACAAACCAACAUUAUGCUCAUUGAUUUCCGGUUUUCGAUACUUGAAGAACCGGAGAAGGUAGUUACUCGUUUCAAUGUGAGAGUCAUAGUACUUCUCUAUGCCAUAGCUCUCCAUGAUCAUUCUCAUAACUAAUUGAUCUACUUCCACUAUUAUCUUUGCAAAAGAAUGAACACUUUCACUAAUUCAAAAAAAAAAAAAAAAACAAAUGAGACAAAAUUGGAUCAAAUAAGAUAUUAGUAAAUUCAACGACCUCAUUUCGUUUCAUACCAGAAGGGAGGAUUGCCAUUAGGCCACAUACGAUCUGUGAAGCUUUGAGUUGCCGUGAGAUUAGUUGGAUCAUCGAUGGCCAGGGAUUCGUAGAGAGGGAUACCGGUGUAUUGACCAAAAUAUUCAUGAUAAGGCUUAUCGCUGGUGUUUUGCAUUUUGGUUUCUAUUGGGAGAUCAAAUAGUUCAUCUGCUGCUUUAAAAAUUUCAUUGUGAAGCUCUAAUGGAAUUUUAUUGUAAAUUGCUUCAAAACAGCCGGUAUCUUCCAUGGCUUGCCGGAUUUCAUUGCAUGUCGAGAUCCACGUACUGGUCCCUGGCUUCAAGUUUUCAUUGCACAAGUCUACGACUAGAAUUUUUGGUUGUGUUUGUGAACCCAUUAUGAUCUUUUGCCUUUUUUUUUUCCUAGUCUGCAAGUUCGAGAUAUAGAUGUAUUUGUAGCAUGUUACUAUAUAUAAAGGAAGAGUUAAGUAGUUAUAAUAAAAGCAGAACAUAUAGUAGCAAACAUUAAUGGUAAGAUGACGAAUGAAAGUCCAUGGAGAUCAAGAGGCUUGAUUAAUUAUUUUGACUUGCCAAAAGUGUCAUAGUGAUUAUAAAUAAGGCAAAAAGAUCAAACGUUAAUAAACAUGGAAGCUUUCGUUCUUUUUAAAAAAUAGUAAUAAUAUUACAUUACAAAUUUACAGGAACUUAAAGAUUAACUCUAUGAUGACAAGGUCUAAAUAUCUAUUUAUGUUCAGACUAAGCAGAUUCUACUAUUAAAUAUUUGAAAUAAAUUCAAUGCAUGUUGAAGAAAUGGAAAUAAGCUAGUUUAAAUAGCAUCGGACUACACAAUUGAGUAAUAAUACAAACAUGUCAUAAUAUUUUUUGCUGAUUUAUAAAAAUAGUAAGGUAAUAAGUGGCAUAUAUUAAUAAGUGGCAUAUAUUAAUUUUAAUAUGGAAAAAUCUGACAAUCUCUUUAGAAUUAAAUGAUGCUAGCUAACUUCGAUGUACAGUUAAUUAAUAGCUUGUAUAAUAUAAGCGACCUAUUUAUUAUCUCAAUUAUUGCAUAACAUUGCUCUAUAACGCGCAAUGGAUGUUACAAGAUACCAUAUAUGUGUGUAUGUGUUUAUUAAAAUUUAAAUUGAUUGUUGAAUAUAAUUGUCAUGGCUCUCAUGCCUUUUUCUUUUUCUUUCGCAAAAUACAUAAUCCUAAGUGAUCAUGCCUUGAAAGAGAAAUGUUUAUAAAACAUGUCUUGAAAGAGAAAUGUUUAUAAAACAAAACUAAGUCCUGUUUUCGGCGUCUUAACGGCUAAAUAAAUCUUAUUGUUAUAUUGAUUUGGGCUUUUUUUUUUUUAAUAAUUCUUCACACAAUAGUGAAGCUCAAAGCUAGGUUCUUGGUUUUAGGGAAGCUGCUUCUUAAUAUUGGAGUUAGAAUUUGGUCUUUACUUAUUUGAACUUUCAUGUGAUCAUUAUUAUAUUUUUUCUAUUGAGCCCAACGGCAUCCCUAAUUUCUUUCCCCAUCCAUAUGAGUGGAAUUCGAAUCGAAAACCUCUUGAUUUUAAUAUAAAUAAUUUUACUAACUCAACUAAUUGGCACCCAGAUGACAACUAUUAUUAUAACAUGGAUGAUACCGAUUGAAAAAUUAGAGAAAAGACUCCAGGAGAGUGGUAAAAUUAUCAAUUACUCAAAAUUGAUAAUCUAUAGGAAGUCCUUAUGAACAUCUUAUUGUCAUGUUUACUUGCAUACCCGUCAACGCAAAUUGAGAGGCGUCAAGACCAAGUGAAGUGCAGAUUGAAAGGGUUUCGAUUAAUUGAAAAACAAGUUUUGGGCAGAAGCUACUGUAAACAACAGAAAAGUUAUAAUUACAGACCUUUAUAUAGUGACACCGAUUAGCUUCAAAACCCCGUUUGAAUGAAUAUAAUCAGCAUAAUCAGGAUGAUUAAACGGCUUAUACUGCAGAGGAACGUGUAUUGUCCGAUCGUAAAAUGUGAACAAUCAAGAUGACUACAUGAACGGUUUUGGUCGUUGCUCCAUAUUAAUGGCUUGUAAUGCAGAGGAACAUGUAUUAUCCAAUCAUGAAAUGUGAACAAUGAAGAUGAGGAAAUGAACGUCAACGCGAAUUCGGGCUUUGUCCUUCCCCUUAUCUUUAAUUAAAAUAAAAUAUGUAGUAUUUAAAAAAAGAGCAAUGCUAGAUAUCCAACAUAUAAGUUCCAAUUUGAGUUCCAAUUGAUAUGACAUUCAUCCAUUGGAAGGUGGUUAAGUAGAUAUGAAAUCCAUCAUCCAAUAAAUGAGUGACAUAUUGCAUUGGGACUCAAGUUGAAACUCAAAUGUUGGGAUCCCAAAUAUUAUUAUUAAAAAAAUAUUUUGUAGGCUUGAAUUAUAAAAUUAUUUAUGUGAUUUUUUUUCUAGACGCGCUAUAGCUCUAACACUAACUCUUAUGAUUCGUUUACUUUUUGGAUUAGGGAAUUGGAAUCUGGAAUCGAAAUCGUUGACGACGUUUACUUUGCAAAAUAGAGGCGAUAGUCGGAAUUAGAAUUAGAAUCAUGAGGCCCACCACAAUUUGGGAAUAGAGAAUGGGGAAUGGGAGAUUGAUUCCCACGGGUGGUUGGGAAUGAGUCUCUCAUUCCCUAAACUUCCAAUUUACCCCCAUUUACAUUUCAAUAUUCCCAAAAUACCCCUUAUAAUAAAAAUAAAUUUUAAUAAUAAAAAUUUAUUAUUAUUAUUGUUGUUGUUGUUAUUAUUAUUUUAUUAUUAGUGUAGCAACAACACAACAACAAUAAUAAUGUCAUUAUUAUUAUUUUAAUAUUAUUUGAAUAAUGAUAUAGCAACAAAAUCUUAUACAAACUUAUUUUGUACAAACUGAUGUGGUAUGAUAAGAUUGGUUUAAUUAAAUAUCACUUGUCCCACAUGAUUUGUUUUUAUUAUUUUAUAUUUUCACUCAACCAAUGAAUUAAUGCCACGCUAGUUUGUACAAAAUAAAUUUAUACAAGGGUUUGUGGCUGUAUCAUCAGUCAUCACCCAUAUUAUUUUAUUCAAAUUUAUUAUUUUUAUGUUAUUAAUAUUAAUAUUGUUAAAAUUUAUUAAUUUUUAUCAAUUUAUUCGUUAUUUAUUAUUAUAAUUGUCAUUAUUAUUAUUAUUAUUAAAUAUAUUAAGUUUAUUAUUUUAAUUAUUAUUAACUAUUGUUAUUAUUAUUUUGAUUAAUAUUGUCAUUAUUAAAUUUUAUUAUUAUUAAUUUUAUUCUUUUUUAUUAUUACUAUCAUUAUUAUUUAUUAUUUUAUUAUUUUAAUUAAUAUUAUUGUCAUUAUUAUUAAGGACUCUUUAGUAAUUUGUAACAAUUUUAUUCAUUCCGAUUCUAAUUUUUAUAGUUCAAGUAAACAACUUAUUCUAAUUCUCACUUGCUAUUCUCAUUCCAACACAUUCUCAUUUUUAACCACUUUGAUUUCAGCCCAUCUAAUUCCAGAUUAGUAAACGCACCAUUAGUAAGUUGGGAUCAUUUUAUGAUAUGAACUCACCUAAAUUUUUUAAAAAUUUUAUUUCACUUGUGUACCAAUAAUAGUUUAUGGUUAAUUCAUAUUUAACUACUCUUACAUUUGUAUUUACUAACCAUCUAUCACUUGUAUUUACGCAGAAGAAGUUAAUGUGGACUGCACUCGUGGAUGAGUUUAAAAUCGUAUAAAAUCUCGUGAGCUUAACUCUAUUCAAAAGUUAGUUUAUGGAUUAAAAAUUGCCUCAAAUUUAUAAUAUUCACAGGAUUUAUUUUCGAUCGAUGUUUGAUAAUCUCUUUAACAAUAUAUGCAAUAUAUUCUUUUAUUCAUGAGAAAAAUAUUGGAAAUAAGCCUUCACAAUAUUAAUUAACGAGGAAUCACUAAUUUAUUACACCGAACAAUUAUCUUGCACACGAAUAGUGACCACAGCAGAAUCAUCGAAUGAACCUUCUUCAGCUAAAAAGAUUUCUCAAAUACCACAGUAAGCUUUGAUGGAAGAAGCCGAUUUCUUACCCUCUUCUGAUUGAUUGAAAUGGAGGAACCCAAAAUGAUCAAAUGGUUUGUAUUUUAAGGGCUGCGUUUCAACUCCAAGCUCUUUUGGUAUAUCCACGACUCCACUGCUGAAUGAAAAUAACCCUAGAGAGUAUCUUGUUUCACUUGCAUUAUCCAUAAUCACUUGAUGGCGACAAGGUCGUAUUCGAUCAUUACCCCAUGCCUGAAAGGAAAAUAAAAAAAAUUAUGUGAUUAAAACAAUUCAUGUAAUCAAUUUUAUAGGAAGAAUGACGCUUAGGUCGUUAAUAUUUCUCAGAUUGACCACUUAGGUCCCUUUUUUUUUUUUUAUUACCCAUUAUAAUUUUAUGUUUCAAAUUUUAUUGUUGAACGAUAAAUAAUAAUUUUUUUAGUAUACAAAACCAUCGGCAAAAUCACACAUUACACUGACAACAAGGGUAUAAUAUAUGUAGUUUUUCAGUCACCACGUCAAUUCAGGGAUAUAAUGGAUAAUUAAAUCAUAAUAAUAAGGAACUAUGUGGUAAAAAUAAGAAAAGUCGUUAAGAACUGAAGUGAGUGAUUUUCUUUUUAAGCAAACCAUUUAUGUGAUAAUGGAAGGGAUUCUUUGUUAAAUUAAAAAAAAAUGGGGGAAAUUCCCACUCUUUUACGAAAACAAAAUUUCAAAAAUAACUUAUGAAAUAUUUUGAAAAAAAAGAGUUAAUUAGUGACUCACUUUGAGUGCAUCACCUGCCAUGACAAUAAAAGAUGAAGGGGAAGGCUCAACAUCAAUCCACUCCCCAUCCUUUGCUUGUACCUGCAAACCAUUUAUGUGAUUUAUUUGAUGAAUUAUUGAUGUCAUGGUCUUGUCUGUGUGAGGAGUCAAGCCCAUCUUCGUCUCGUUCGGCUCUGGUGCUCUGUAUUUGAAGUAUCGGAGAAGGUAAUUGACUGAUCCGAUGUAUGAAUCGUAGUAACCCUCGACGCCAUAGCUUUCAAAUAGCAUUCUUGUUACCAUUUUGUCUAAUUCCACUACUAGCUCCGACAUGGAAAGAGAGCUUUCACUAUAAUUGUAAACCACAAAUGAACGACAUAGGCUUUUUAAGUAAGUUUUAAAAAUAUAAGACUAAAAGUUUAAUUAUAGCUUAAAAUUUAGGGGAAAUUUUAGCUAUCUUAAAAUAUUUUUGGGAGUGGUGUAAAAACAAAAAAGAAAAAAAAAACUCAAAUGCACACAGUAAGAAAUAGGGGCAAAUCAUACCAAAAGCAAUCAUUUCCCGCAGGCCACAUGAGGUUAGUGAAGCUUUGAGUCGCGUUGCGAGUAUCUGGAUAAUCAAUGGCCAAGGAUUCAUAGAGCGGAAUGAUGGUAUAUUGUCCAUAAUAUUCAAAGUAAGGCUUAGUGCUUGUGUUCUUGACUUUGAUCUCUAUUGGGACAUCAAAUAAUUCUUCUGUUGAAGCAAGGACUUCGCUCCGAAGUUCUUGAGAAAAUUUUUGAUAAAUUGCUUCAAAGCAACCGAAUUCUUCAAAUGCGUGGCGAAUAUCUUUGCAUGUUGAAAGCCAAGUGCUUGUUCCUGACUUCAAGUCUUGUUUCGACAAAUCUAUAACAGGAAUCUUGGACUUUGUUUGGGAUCCCAUGUUCUUGUUUUAUGUUUUCUUUUUCUUUUUUCCCUUUUUUUUUCCUUCUCUUUAUCCUUUUGGAGAUGUGUUUAUAAUGUUGCAUGUGCAUGUUACUUAUAGAUGUUCAAUGGUUCACUUAAAAUCAUCAGUCCGAUAUUGGUUAGAUAUGGUAUGGUAUGAAAGAUAUAUAUGUUAAGUUGGUAAAUGUAUAACCACAUAGACUUUGAUCUUGUUGACGACACAUGUAUUCAUAAGAGCGUAUGGUUGAAUUUUAAUUACAUAUAAAUAUGUAUCCAACAACUACGUAUCCAACAACUACUAAUCAUAAUCAUGUAAAAAGAUAAGGGCGAAUUAAACAAGUACUAAAUCUAGAACUGACUAUGUAUGACAAAUUAAUUUUAGAUUUGGACACACUAUUGGUCUUCUUUUUUUUUUAUUAGGUUGUAAAUUUGCGGCUAUUGGAUAAACUAAAAUGCAUAUAUUAUUAAAUUUCAACAUUAAACGAUCAUAAAUAAUGGACAUGUGACACCAGAUCUUUAAAAGAUUAGCACAAAUCAAAUCAGUUCUAUAUCUAGUUAAAUUCAUAAAUUUUAAUCCCUAUGUCAUAGCCAGGUGGGAUGGUUUUUGGUAUCAAACCAAAACAUCAGUUAAUUUGGUGGUAAAUAAGGUAAUAGUUAGAGAUAAAAUUUUAAAAAUAUAAAAGAAUUAAUAUGUGGGUGGUCGCAAUUUUUUGGCAGUUGCAAAUGUAACUAUAGCAUGUGAGUAUUAAUAUAGGUACAAACUCUUGUACAAAUUUAUUUUAUACAAACUGAUGUGGCAUGAUAAAAUUGGUUAAAUUAAAUAUCUCUUGGCCCACAUGAUUUAUUUUUAUUAUUUUAUAUUUUCAUUCAAUCAAUGAAUUUGUACAAGAGUUUAUGGUUGUAUCAUCACUAAUAGCAUGUAUAUAUGACUAGAUUGGAGAAAUUAUGCAUUAUUAAACAAUAUUGUGACAAAGAUGUUGUAACAGAGACAGCCAAAUUAAGGACCACUAAAUGAUUGAAAGAGAUUGGUAUGUAACGCUCUUAUACAUGAAAGUGAGCGACAAUUGACCAGUUUUAUAAAUAAACAGAUAAUGCAGAAAUUAUGAUAGCCAAUAUACUUUAUUUAAAAAUGUCCAUUAUUUAAAGUUCUGUGAUAUUAUAAAUUAGGAGUGUGGUCCUCUACUAGUUAGCUCAUUUGCUGCGUCGUUGUGCCAUGCAAAUAAAUAAAAGCUAGAAAGGACCAGGUCAAAAUCGAAUGACGAAUAAAAAACUGAGUAAUUGAUAAUCUAUGUACGACUAAUGUCACGUUAAAUGAAUAUGGGGGGAAAAUUUAGACGACAUAUAAAUUAAUGUCACCUAUGUGAAAAAUAUUGGCGAGCCAUGGAUAGGACUAAAAACUACGUGCAUUAUAUAGGUUGUGCUUUUCCACAAAUGAUGGUUGAGAUUUAAGAUCAAAGUAAGGUAAAACCAAAUCUGUUUUGUAAUAAAAGUUCUAACAGUUGAAUAAAGGUCGAUAAUAUUCGGUAAAUUAAAUAUUUAAAAAAUAAAAACUUUUAUAUAAGUGGAAAAGCCACCAAAACUCCCAAUAGUCUUUAUAAAAGUAUAAUUUAAUGUUAGAAAGUAUUCAAAGUCGAAUUCAAAAAGAAUGUUCGCCUCAACAAAAAACAGAAGGGGAAAUUAGACUUUCAUCAUUCGUGGGACUUGUUUUUACUAUUUAGGUAUUUACCCAUUUCAUUCUUGGUGCUUAAAUAGUUUUUACCAUUUAGGUCUAUUACCCAUUUCAUUAAUUCUUGGUGCUAAAAUAGUCACAUUAAAAAACACAUGGUUGAAGGGUAAACAUGAUAUUUUCACUCGCAAAUUAAUUAUUUGAGAAUCUACAAAUUAAAACUAAUUAAUUAAUUUGUUUGCUAAAAUCUCACAUUUACUUUUCAACAGAGGAAUGAUUAACAAAAUGUAGAGUUCUAAUAACAAUUCAAUGAAUUAACUAACCAGUAGCUAGUAGUCUUUGGUGUAAUUUAAUGUGUAACAAAUAGUAGCUCACAUAACAUUAAACUCAGAUAACUGGUUAAAGAAAGCUACUUGAAAACCACUUUGUCAAACUCUUGGAAACAUUUAAUCACAUAACUUAAUAACAUAUUGAUAACAAUUAUAUUAAACAGACACUCAAGAUUACUGGUACCAGGCCAGAGAGAAGCUGCUUAAAAUACAAAUCUAGGAACCCCUAACACAAUCGAUAAUUAACCCUAAGACAGUCGAUACACACAUUUAAGAUUACUUGUGUUUAUUUUCAAAUCUAGUCUGGAGAGCUUAGAGGCACUUAAGAGUUUCAAAUGCCACAAUAGGCUUUAAUUGGACACUUGGAUUUGUAGCCCUCAUCCGUACGAAAGUAACGUAACAGUCCAAAAUGCUCAAAGGGUUUGUACUUUAAUGGAUGUUCGUCAUCAACAAGCUCGUCGGGAACUUUCACGAUCCCACUGCUGAAUGAAAAUAAUGCCAGGGAGUAUCUAUCCACAGCCCCAUUCAUGAUCACUCGGUGGCUUGGAGAAUGUAUCCUGUCAUUGCUCCAUGCCUAAUCAACCAAUAGAUAAAUAAAUAAAAUCAAUAUGGUGAUCUAUGAUCAAGAGAGAAUACUUGUUUUGUAUUAGAGAAAAUGACACCUCGAUCCCUUAUUAAAUUUAUAACUUUUAUCACUUAACUCAGUGUUUUUAGUUAUCCUAUUACAAUCUCUAAUGUUAUAAUUUCAACAUUUUUAACUUUAUAGUUGAAAGAUAAAAGUGACUUUUUAACCUAUAAAACAGUUGUAUCUUUUUAAAAAAAUAUGAAUAUAUAUAACAAAAAAAGAAGCCAAAAAGCGUUUGUGUUGUUUUAUUUAUUUAUUCAUGGUUUUAACGUUAGAAAUGUAAUCGAAUAGAAAAUAAAUAAAGACCUAAGUGAUAUAAAUGUGAAACAAUAGGGACCAAUUUUAAUUAUCCCUUCAUAAUAAUGCAUGACUCACCAUUAAUGCAUCACCAGCAACGACAACAAAAGAAGAAGGUGACAGCCCAACAUUGAUCUUUUGGCCAUCUCUUGUAUCAAUCUCCAGGCCAUUAAUUUGAUUUUGAUGAAGAAUAGUGGUGAAGCUCUUGUCGGUAUGAGUAACGAAACCAAGAUUAGGCUCACCUCCAAUUGGCGCCCUAUUUUUCAACACUCGAAGAAGAUAAGUAAUCGAUUCAAUGUAAGAAUCAUGGUACUUCUCCAACGAAUAGCUUUCGAAAAUCAUUCUGCUCACCGUUCGAUCCAAUUCUGCUGCUAGCGUUGCAUACGAAUUCACAAUUUUACUAAGAAAAAGGAAAAAUAAUUAAAACAAAAAUUAGCUUCUAAUGUGAAACUUAGAAGAUGAAAUUAUUAGUCAUAAGUUCAAAUAUUAACGUACCAGAAACUAUCAUUUCCUUGUGGCCACAUAAUUUUGGUGAAGCUUUGUGCUGCUUCUAGGGAUGUUGCAUUAUCAAUUCCCAUGCUUUCAUGCAAAGGAAGCUUGGGAAUUUGUCCCACAUACCCAGUUAAGGGCCUUUCGUAUUUGUUUUUCAUUUUGGUUUCACUGGGGAGAUCGAACAGAUUUUUCAAGGCACCGAAAACUUCACUGCGAAAUUCCGAUGAGAUUAAAUUAUGAUUGCACUCAAUUAUGAAGCAACCAAACUCUUCAAGGGCUUGCCUUACAUCAUUACAAGCUUUGAUCCAAGAGUUGGUUCCUGGCUUCAAGUCUUUGUUGGAGAAAUCAACAACAGGAAGCUUGAGCAUGGCUUCAGCACCGAUUGUACGUUUGUUUGUUAUUUUUCAUUUUUUGGUUUGGAUUCUUAAUGAGUAUGGGCAACAUUAAUAUACAUUAUUAAGCUUUCUUAUAGUUGUACUUUAUGCCGCUAUGUAAAAUGCUCAAUAGGAGACAAAAUAAUAAGUUCUUGGAGCUGUAUUCUGUUGGGCCCAGCAUGGUUGUUUCUAAUUUAUUGUAUAUAUUUGGAGAAUCAAAUUGGUGGUUUCUGAAAUGGGAUCACAAUCAAAUCGUUUAAAUCCUUAAAAUCAAAAUGGUGGGUCGAGUUAUUAGAAUGGGCUGAAUUUUUGUUAGAGGAGAUAAUGUUAUUUUAGUCGCUCUUAGAACUUGUUUUUAGUUUCUAAAGAUUUUUAAUAUGUUAAUUAUUUUAUCCAUGGUGUUGAAAUAUUUUUAAAAAAAAAAAAAGAAAAAGAAAAUGAAAAAGAAAAAAACUCACACACACAAUUUUAAAGAAUAAAUGUGAUAUUUUUACAUACAAAUUGAUUAUAUGAGACAUCUACAAAUUAAAACUAGUUAAAUCUAUUAAAAGAUAACUUCACCUUCCAACCUCUUCAUCAGUGUGCUUUUUGGUAACUAUUUGAAUAUUAGAGAGAUAAAAUGGGAUAAUAAUCUAUCAAUGGCCAUAGUUGUAAAAAGAAGAGUUCUAAGAGGGUCUAAAAUGUCACUCUCCAUUCUUAGAAUUAUGCCGAAUAAAAUGAAUGAUACUGACAUUCAAGAAAAAUAUAGGAGAUAUUACAAGUGAUUUGAUGGAAAAAAAAAUUGGAUACUUUUGUACAAUAUCCAUCCUAAUAAAAAGUUACAAUUUUCUAUAGUAACAAUAUAUGAUUGAAAUUUGAACACCAUAUUGUAUUCUUAUAUAUAUAACCACCAAUCAUCAUGUGCAUUAUAUCGAGUAAAAUUAGUCAAGAUUAUGAGAGAAUCUUAGUCUUCUAAUAAAUACUUGUCACUUGUAAUAAUAAGAGAGAGUUACUACAUACUACAUGGCAAAACAUUGGUUGAUAGGUGGAUUUGCACAAGCAACAUUUGAAAUGCACUCAAGAGACUAAUCUCAAAUCAUUAAUAUUAUAAUCUGAAUUAUUCUGAUUGGGAGAAAUUAUUUAACAACCAAAAGUAAUGAAGUGCAUGAUUAUGCAUGUCGUUUUCCAAUUGAUCAUUUAUAUUUUCUCAAAUUGAAUAAGACAUAAAUUAGUCAAUUUUUUCCCCGUAAAGACUUUGCAUCAAAGAGAUGAAACAAAAUUUGUCAUCGUUCUAUCUUAUGUUACUCGAUUAUUUUACAAACGCAUGAUAGGAUACAUACAUAUAUAUUUAUCAAUCAAUGUUCUCAAUUCACUAAAAAAAUACAGAUAGGUAACAUCAUUCUUAAAAGUUGAAGAUUUUAAUUACAUUUGUAUCUUCUCCAUUUGAAUUCUGAGUCCAUAGUGUUCUUGAUUAUAGGACCACAGUAAAUCUGGUCCCAAGUUAGAGAGAUAGCGCUUGAAAUAUUAAAAUAUUAAUCCAAAAAAAUAUAAUUAUUAAAAAAUCGUACAUACAUGUAUAUUCAAAAGUUUGAACUCCCUUGAAUUCACACUUCAAUUUGCUUUGAUGUAAGCUAAUGCAUUUAUUUUCACAAAAGAUUAGCAUAAUUAAUAAUAGAAUUAAUUGACCAUCAACCUCACAAGUUAGAAGAUAAGACAUAAAUUAUUUUAAUUAUUAUUUUUAUAUUGUGGGGGUGGAAUGGACUAGUAUUUGACAAAUAGUAUUUGUUUAAACGAUAAUAUUGUUUUUAUUUUUAUUAUUAUUAUUAUUAUUAUUAUUAUUAUUAUUAUUAUUAUUCAUAUUGACAUGAUGGAUAAUAUAAUAAUCAUCAUGGUACUAUGAAUGUUAGAACUCAAAAUAAUGUCACAAAGCUAUAUAAUAAUUAAGCUGCAUAUUUUUGUUUUUCAUAUUCUGACAGACAAUGCAAUGUGAUUAUGGAGGGAUAUAAGAGAUAACAAUGAAUGUGAAGGAAGGCUUGCUUAAACAUUUACUGAUGAACAUAUUUCCUUGUUAGAUUGAUGGGCUGGGCUCAGCUGAUAAAGAGGACCCAACACAGGUUUUGGGACAUUUCCAAAUUGUUUUCGAACAUUGAAGAAUAAAACUACAAUGUAAAAGCAUAGUGGUUUAAAUUUUAAAAAAAAAAAUCAUAUUUUUCUUUUCUCUAAACGUAGAAGUGUGAUUUAAAAAGGGUUUUAAAAGACAUUUCCAAAAGAUGUGAAGACAUAAUGCUUUAAUCAAAGCCCUCUUCUCGAGCACCGACUUCCUUUAUUUUUGAGUUACUUUUUUAAAAGUUUUAAAGUUGUCUCCUAAUUCCCCUUCUAUUAAAUAAUAGAAGAAAAUAAAUUAUUGUAUUAUAUUAUAUAAAACAAGCUUUUUAAAAACUGGGUAUCAGAGUUUUGUAAAAAUAAGUUCGGUUAUAAAUUCAGUAAAAAUAAUCCGAUAUGAGUACAAUUAUAAUUUUCAUCCACUCAAGGAUGAAAAAAAAUAAAUAAAUGAAGUCAAAAUUGAGCAAGUAAAUUAUCUUUUAAAGGGUAAAAGAACAAGGAAGGCAUUUGAAAUUGAAAAUAUUCUCGUUGGAUGACCAAGAACUUUAAAUUAAGUUUAUGAAAAGUUGCGUUGUAAAAGAAUUUUGUCCGCAUGGAAGAUCUUGAGAGUAAUAAUUAAUCGGAUCGGAUUGGAAUAAACUGAAUUUCAAAUUUUAUUGGUUUAGAUUUAAUAAGUGAUUGGAUUGGAUUGGAUUCAAAAUAUAAAAUUUAGUAUAUGACAGAUUGGACUUGAACUUGCUAAAAUCUGAUGAAUCGAACCAAUAACAUACAAGGUUUAUUAAUUGAUAUGACCGAAUUUUUUUAUCUUGAUAUUGUUACUAUAAUUAUAAUUAUAGUUUUAGUUAUAAUCAAUAGCUAUAGUUGUAAUUACUAUUAAAAUUAAGUAACAUGUCUAUUAGAUGGUAAAUAAGUAAUUUUAUAAAUUAUAAAACUCAUUAUAGAUUAGUGGCUCACAAGUUGGAAUUCAAAUUGAAUUCAAAUUUAUAUUCACUCUGAUUUUUUAAAAUUUUUUUCAAUGGUAAUUGUAAUGAUUAUUAUUUGUAAAAAAAAACACAUCAAAUUAACAACACUGACGCCACGUGUAAAAAAGAUAAACAACAAGACGUUUAUUAAUAAACAUAAACGACAAGUCAUCUACUCGAUGUGUUAGCGCAUACCAUUUACGCAUGUCGGUUACAUGAAUUUAGAGGCCGACAUAUGGUUUUUAUGAUUAUUAUGGGAAUGUCAUGCAAUUUCUAUGCAAAAUGUCCAACGAAUACUAUUUAUAGAGUAAUGAAAAAUUUUCCUUUUUUUUUUAAUAGUACCAAUGAUAUAAUUAUAUAAGGAGAAGGAAAAAGAUUAUUAGAUUUUAUUUUCCUUUUUAGAAUAUAUAUAUAUAUAUAUUAAGUUUUAUGUGGUGUGGUGUACUGCCACUCAUAAUAUUUGGUUGGACAUAUCUUAUAGUUUUGAAUGUAAUUGGACCAGGCCAUGGUCGUGCUUCUUCUUAUUAUUAUUCAUUCUUUUUUAUUUGUUAUAUAUCUUUAAAAAAUUAAAAACAUAAUGCAAAUUCAAUUUUAAAUUAUGUGAUUAUAUAAUAAGGAAUCUCGCUCAUUACCUGCAACUGCAAUCUUGAACGUAGGAAACUUAUUUACAUGAAAAAUAAGAAAAUAAGGAUGCACAUUCCAUAGUUACAGUGACACAAUGUCUUGAGCACAGUAGUAUAUGUUAAUGACACGUAAAUUAGUAGAAAUGAUCUAUUAAGGGAUCCGCACUUCAUUGAAAGUGUGGGAUUGACUUUCACACCAUUAUAGAAGAGUUAGAUAAUGUUGUAAAAGGUUUCAAUACACUGUGAAAUCUUUUCACAACGGAGUGAAAAUCCAUCCCACUCUUCAUUAAAGUGUUAGAACCUUACACUGGAAAAGUACCCUCUAAACAAAACAUCAAGAGAAAUCAUAACAUUCUGGAGGAGGUAAUUGACUGAGGAAAUUCAUCUUCAAAAUGAAAUUGAAAUUUCUACCGCCUCUGGAAAUUAAACUGCUUAAUUCCGAGGGCGAAAAGAAAUCCAAAGACUGCUGCAAACCCAGCAACAACAACUGCAACCACUCCAAGAAAAUCAUGCUUGUAACCAAAGUAACUUCUAAGAAACUGUUUCACGGUUUCACCACUUUCCAUUUUGUCCUCUAAAUCUCCAAACUGUGAAACAACCAGUCCAUACAAGGUCCAAGCCAUGGGAUCUGCCCAGUAGUACCAUCUCCACCAUAUUGGAAUCCGCUGUUUUUAUUGACGAGAUUGAAACAUAAGGAAAGAAUUAGCAAGCAAAUAUCUAUAAGCUAGCAAAUGUAGCAUCAAAAAUAGAAAAUGGGAAAAUGAUACUUACAGGUCUUGGGAUUAAAAAACCAGUAAAGACGUUCCACAAUCCAAAAAAUAGAGUUGAAACAAUGGCAGCAAUGUGGUGGUUUGGUGUCAUAGCCACAGCCAUCAUGCCGUAGAAGGUGAAGUACAACAAAGUGAAGAACAUGAAAAAUAUGUACCAAAAAAACUUCGCUGCUGUCCAGUCAAAUCCAAUCAUAGCAUAGACUAGAACACCGUACAGUGAUGACUGAAUAAAAAUAUAAGGUAUCUCAAUCGCAGCCUGGAGAAAAAGGAAAAACAAAAUCAGUAUAGAAACACAAUUCUUAAUACAUUUCAAAAUAUUUGUAAUCAAGUGUCAAGCAAUUUACUUGUGCUAAUGCCCAUGGUUGGCCUGAGUACAUUCCGGCAGCACUUUCUCUGUAAAAGAUUGUUCUCUCUACAGAUACUAUUGGUUGCACUGAAAAACAGUAUUGAACGCCGAUGAACAGAACAGCAAUGUACAUGGAACCCAUUGCAUUAAACAGAUCUUGGUUCUUUCCCCUGAAAAUUGAAAAACUUAAGAUUAAAAGGCAGAUGAAACAACAGGCUUCAAAUAAAAUGUAAGAGUGGCUCACGUUUUAGUGCCCAAGUCCCAAAACAGUGUCCCAAACAUCAAUGAUAUUAAGGUCGUGAAAAAAAAUCUAACAGCAGUGUAUGGUGGAUUCCGCCAGUAUGACCAGUGUUGCUUCCAUAAGCAGGCGAUAAAUUGUGUGGAAGCUGACUGAGAGUACUGAGUAGGAAAAUAGAGGUCCUUUGAACCUGGAGUAGGCUUGCUUAAAUGUCAUGACCCAACCAAGACUUGGCAAGAUAUUGUCCGCUUUGGGCCUUAACAAGGCCCGCACGGAUUUGUUCUUGGGGUGCCCAUACACCCCAAAACGCGUCUUGCCAAUUAAGGUGUGGAUCACUCCUUAUAAACCCAGCAUCUCUCCCGUGCUUUGCCGAUGUGGGAUUCGCCUAGGGUGUUACAUACACCCCCCCUUGGGGACUCAGCGUCCUCGCUGAGGUUUGCCCCACCAUCGCUCAAGAGGACACGCGGAGCCGCUCUGAUACCAUAAUGUCAUGACCCAACCCAGACCUGGCAAGAUAUUGUCCGCUUUGGGCCUUAACAAGGCCCGCACGGAUUUGUUCUUGGGUAAUGUCAUGACCCAACCCAGACCUGGCAAGAUAUUGUCUGCUUUGGGCCUUAACAAGGCCCGCACGGAUUUGUUCUUGGGGUGCCCAUACACCCCAAAACGCGUCUUGCCAAUUAAGGUGUGGAUCACUCCUUAUAAACCCAGCAUCUCUCCCGUGCUUUGCCGAUGUGGGAUUCGCCUAGGGUGUUACAUACACCCCCCCUUGGGGACUCAGCGUCCUCGCUGAGGUUUGCCCCACCAUCGCUCAAGAGGACACGCGGAGCCGCUCUGAUACCAUAAUGUCAUGACCCAACCCAGACCUGGCAAGAUAUUGUCUGCUUUGGGCCUUAACAAGGCCCGCACGGAUUUGUUCUUGGGGUGCCCAUACACCCCAAAACGCGUCUUUCCAAUUAAGGUGUGGAUCACUCCUUAUAAACCCAGCAUCUCUCCCGUGCUUUGCCGAUGUGGGAUUCGCCUAGGGUGUUACAUACACCCCCCCUUGGGGACUCAGCGUCCUCGCUGAGGUUUGCCCCACCAUCGCUCAAGAGGACACGCGGAGCCGCUCUGAUACCAUAAUGUCAUGACCCAACCCAGACCUGGCAAGAUAUUGUCCGCUUUGGGCCUUAACAAGGCCCGCACGGAUUUGUUCUUGGGGUGCCCAUACACCCCAAAACGCGUCUUACCAAUUAAGGUGUGGAUCACUCCUUAUAAACCCAGCAUCUCUCCCGUGCUUUGCCGAUGUGGGAUUCGCCUAGGGUGUUACAUUAAAUCUUCAAUAAGUGCUUUGUUUCCCCUGAAUCACAUGCCACGCAUCACUUCAGCUUUCAUGGUGACAUAAACAAAUGCAUUGGCUUAGGGGUGAAUGGAUUGUAGUUAAUUAAUAGUUUAUGCAACUGAUGAGUACCUCAUGAACGUACCUGUAUAAUUCUGAGCGUUUGAAAAUAUCAGUAAAAUCAACCCCCAAAGCUACCUCUUGGGAUGCAGCAGUAACUUCCAACAUCCAGGUUGCGGGAUUAUAACCAUUUUUUAUUUUUUCAAUUCCGGGAAUUGCCUUCAUGAAAACAAAUACAGAAACAUCAGCGAGUUUCCUGAUGUAAAUUAUGCAAGCUACUUCAAAAUUAAAUUUCAAAUUAGAUUUCCAUUGUAAUAUGUGAAUGUUCAUCAGGUCAUACUUCAAAAUAGCGGAUAAGAUGACAAGAAUGUCGACCCAAUGGACCAACAUAAAUCUCUUGUCCCCCUCGCUUCAUUAAGAAUAACUGCAAUGUAUAAUUAAACAAUUGUAAUCAACAUACAGGAAAAAAACUGAAGAAAGGGAAUAAGAUGAAACUAAAAGGAUAAAGUUUUGACUCCUUUGAUCCAGUAUUAACUUCUCUAAUUACCUCAUCAAAAGAUUCAAAUAUAUCAAUGCUUGGUUGAUGGAUAGUGCACACUACAGUUCUUCCAGUGUCCACUGUGUUUCUAACAGUUCUCAUAACAAUUGCAGCAGCCCUCGCGUCUAGCCCUGAGGUUGGCUCAUCCAUAAAUAUGAUAGACGGGUUAGCCACGAGCUCAACCGCAAUGGUAAGCCUCUUACGCUGCUCUGUUGACAGACCAUUUACACCAGGCAAACCAACCAGUGAUUGUCUUAAUGGGUUCAGCUCCACAAGCUCCAUGAUUUCCUCAAUAAACAUCUGUAAACCAAGGGAGAAGCUAUAAAUUAGUAACAAUAUCCAGUAAUGCAUUCAGGGAUUAGAGCUGUUUCUCUUCUUCUAGUGGACUCAGUUCAACUUGUUUAAGCUCUCAAUAAUCCACACUCCAGGUGAAUUCAGUACAAACCUUUCUAGUUUCAGAAUCAACUUCGGGAGCUAAACGAAGCCAGGCCGAGAAGGCCAAAGACUCAUGAACUGUAACAAAAGGAGAGUGGAUGUCAUUUUGUUCACAGUAUCCUGAGAUGCGAGCAAAUGUUUCGUGCUUCUUUGGGUAACCAGAUAUUUUAAUACUCCCUGUAAUAUAUCCGCCCGUUUUCCUGCCAGCCAGCACAUCCAUCAAAGUUGUUUUACCAGCACCACUAACACCCAUUAAAGCUGUAAGAACGCCUGGUCUGAAAGCACCACUGACACCAUUUAGAAGCACCAAUUUGUCUUCAAGAACACCUUGAAGUUUCAUUUCCUAAAAAGUUAAAUUAGACCAAUUAUUCAUCAUUUCUGGACUACAUUAUGAUUAAUCAAGAUAACAUCAGUACUUAUGAAAUGUAUUAAUAGGUUUUAAAAUUAAAGUUACCUGUGGCAUGUCAACAGAGUACGUUACUUCAUCAAAGAUAAGAGAAUGCGGUUCAAAUGGAAGCACCAUUCCUCUUUUCUUUGGUUGAAUUACACCACCAGCUGCCUCUGUCAUGGAUAAGGACUGAGAAGAAGAGUUUCUCCCCCAAAUGUCGCCUCCACUCUCUGAAUGUUAACAACAAUUAAUAAUUAAUUAGCAUCAGAAGGCAUUCACAAAGUAUCUUAUUUUAUAUGUAUUGAAAGGAGCUUUAUCACCUGAGCGAGUUGUGACACUAGAACUACUUCCAAGAGUUGAUAACUCAACUGUUCCUCUAAUUUUGGUAUCUUGCUCAUUUCUCUCAGAAUCCUCAGUUAUAACAGCCUGAGGCUUAUCAAAUUCUGUGCAUGAAUAGUUGCACAAGAUUACAACAUAAACUCACUACUUUUGAAGUAAUUAAAGUGAAGAUGGUAAAGAUACCCACGGUCAAGAAAAGUGAGGGCCAGAGUAAAAGCAAUGUGCAAUAGUAGUACAAAACCAAACAGAGCCCCCAAUCCAAGCCAAUACCAAUACGCAUCUGGGAAAAACCCACGAGACUUCAAAACUUGCACUCCAAGUGGUUCAUUUGAGUCUGGCGUAAACUAUUAUAUGAAAAAAUUUACAGACAUCAGCACGUUACUAAAAGAAAAAUACAUAAUCAUGGACAAGGCUCAUUCAUAGAAUUACCUUUCUCCAACUGUGCCCAAGAAAUUCGUUAGCUACUAUUGCAUUUUGUGCAUACAUCAAAGGAGAACACCAAUAACCCCAUAUCCACCAUUUUUUGAUGUCCUCUGCAAUAUUAAUAGGAAAAAUGAGGAUUCAGGUUAAACUUUAAGAGAGAAUAUUAUUGUUGUUAAUUCAUUUUCCUAUCGUACCUCGUGAAAGGAGAAAUCCACCCAAUGCGAAAAGCACGAGUAAUGCUACUGUCCCAAACGUAUUAGCAACAACCAUGUUCCUGCCCAUUGCUGCAAUGAAUCGGAACAAUGCACAAGCCAUUUGAUUAACUGCCAAGAGCAGAAAGUACUGCUUAAAAAACCUGCAAUAAGAAAAUCACCCCGUCAACUAGUUGGACAAAUAAGACAUGUAACAAAAACUUCACUUAGUUACUUGCAAAUUUGUUCUUUUUAUCUUCAUUUACCUUCCAGCAUUGGGAUCAUACCCAAUAACAUAAUAGGAUAAGAAUACCCAAACAACAACCUCCACGAAUGAGAUAGGAAUCUUGAGGAUCCAUGUGGGAAGAGCAUAUGCCCACGGUGGAAAGAAUUGGAGGUCUCUUUGCUUGUAGAAGACAGGAAUCUUUACUAUGGUCAUAGAAAUCUCUGCAUAUCCAUUGAACAUGACUAUUACAAUAGCAAAGAACAUGACACCAGCGUAAACUCCUCCAUCAGCUACUGAAUCUUUCUUCAUCUUCGUUCUGAAGAACAGUGUCAUAGUUACCAAUGCGGUAAUUGCAAUCUAGUAGCCAGGAAAAAAAGAAACAAUCAUUAUCACUUAAAGAAAAACUAAAACAACUACGAACUAAGUUAAUACUCACUUGGACGAGCUUAAAGAUGUAGACAAAUGAGUUUCUCUUCAUCAGUAAAAACUCUCUUGAGAAGCAAGCUUUCAACAACUCUCUCUUGCCAACACCAUACACUUUCUUAGCCAAAGCAGCUCGGUGGCUUUGGCUCUUAUCAAAUGGUAUUUGAAGCUCAUCAGCGAGUUUUUGUCCCACAUGGAAUGAUUUGAAUGCCUCAGCAAAUUCUUGGACUGUAAUAAACCUGUAAGGUAUCUCUUUAUGUGCCCAAUACUGCUGUUGAUCUUUCUUUGAUGUCACCUGCAACAUAUUAUUUGAAAAGAUUGAAUAUGAGAAGUUACACCUAAGCUACCGCGUUAUUUAUAAAUAAAGGAAAUGAAGCUCAUAUUGUCAAAGAGCUUGCUUUUUUCCUGUCAAUGAAAAAUGUCAAAAACAGAAAUCUAUUUGUGCAUACUUCUUGCAAGAAGUCAGCCACUCCUUUCCUCUGGGGGCAUUUAAAGCCCAUGGAUUCAAAAAACUCUAGCACUAGUUCACGGGGACCCUGGUACACAAUCUGGCCAUCAGAUAGAAGGAUAAUAUCAUCAAAUAGAUUAUAAGUCUCUGGUGCUGGCUGCAGGAGAGAUAUCACGGCAGUUUCACUAUUGAUGUGAAUAUUUUGCCUGAGACAAUUGACAAUUUGAAAAGUCGUCGAGCUGUCUAAACCAGUGGAAAUCUCAUCCAUAAACAUUGCCAACGCUGGUCCAACCAUCAUUUCACCUAUAAUUUCAAUUACAAAUUUUCAUACAUUUGAAUAAAAGGGAUGAUCUUUUUCAUUUAUCUGGAGCAAAUUAGGAAUGAAUUUAUGGAGUUUGUCUUAUACCUGUGGUCACACGUUUCUUUUGUCCACCGGAUAUACCUCUUAUCAUUUCAUCACCUACCAAGAUAUCAGCACAGUUAUCCAGUCCCAGAACCUAUAUAUUUGUGAUGAAAAGUGUUCAAACAAGUGUGAGUAGUUACUUGUUAUUGAGAAUAAUUUGCAAUUUUAGAGUGAGUUAUAGUUAUGUUACCUUUAGGUAAUAAUCAGUGAUCACAUUGGCUUCUUGGCCUUCAGUCGCUACUGCCUGAGACAUGAGAAAUAAAAAAAUGAAAUAUGAGAAACUCAAUCACCAAGAGUUCAAAUACAUCUCUAUAAGGUUGAAUCUAAUUUAAGUCCAUAAGGUAAAUUUCAAUUUAAGAAAACGAUGCAUAUACUAGGAUUCUUAAGCCACAAGAACAUCAGACCGAAUGAAAGGUUAAAAUUGAAACCAUCUAUCAUCAAAUGGUUAAAUGCUAAACAUGUUCUAAACAAACUUCAGCCAACUUUUCUCACCUUCAUGUAGACAUCAAUGUCGGGAUCUGGCUUAAUACCUGCUGCCUUCUCUCUUCUGGCUAACUCCAUUAACAUGUCUGCAUUUCCCAGAAGCAAUGAUCUUUAUGCUAAUAUUACAUUUAGUAAGUCAACAUACUGUAAUCUGAAUUCUCUAUAUAAAACCUACCAUAUCGGGUUCCAACCCCCUGGCAUCUAGCAGAGAAGGCCAAGGUUUCCCUCACAGUCAUUUCGCCUAUAUGGUUAUCAUGUUGACUGAUAUAAGCAGCUGUUCUCUGAGGCACAAACUCAUCCAUGUUGUGCCCGUUGUAUGUCACACUACCAGAUACCUAUAGAGAGACAUUUUGAUUCUCCAAUCAGAGAUAAAACCAAAGUGUGAACUUUACAAUGCUAAAAGCCAAACCCAUCCAAUCCAAGAGCUUAAUUUUCACAGAAGUUAAAAUCAGCACCUUGAGACUAGAAUCAAGUUUCCCGGCCAAAGCCAACAAAAAUGUGGUCUUUCCAGAAGCUGGAGGACCCAAAAGCAAUGUCAUUCUGCACAAAUUUCAGAUAAUUAAAGAACCCACAAAUUACAAGUAAAUUGAGAACAGUAGGAAUCAAUUUAAAUUCCCACCUGCCAGGCUUUAUGAUUCCACUCACAUCCUUGAGGAUUGUAAAGUGUUUCUUUCUACUCGGAAGAAUGUGGAGAUAGUUCAAGAAAUCCUUCAAACAUGUACAGAUUAUUAAACUAAAGCCGAGAGAUUAACUCAAUAUACUAAAAUUUUUACAAAAGUAAUUAUUUGUGUCCGAAGAUUGCUACCUCAAAGAUGGUGGUAUAGAAUUUAAUGAAUGAUGGCAAGGCUUUACUUGCUAAAACCGCUUCUCCCUCAAUAUUCAAAUGUUCAUAUCGAACUUCCACUUUGGGAAGGUCUAUUCCAACUCUGAGGUAAAUCAAAGGAAGAUGGAAAAUCAUUACUUAACACGCACGACACACUUAAAAACGUUUCAUAACUUGAAUACAACUUAAGACAUGAAAAAUCAAACAAAAAUGGUUAUCCAUAAAUUUUGUUUCUUCCAUGUUGGGUCCAACCUUAUAUCAUCACAAGUUAAAUAAUACACACACUAACAACAACGUGAAGGGAGUUGAAACCUUAAACUUCUUGUAGCACUAAAAGGACAUUGAGAAACAUAACAGAUCUAAAAAUCAUAAACUCAACUAAGUUAGAUUAUGGAACUUUGAAAAAUGAGGGGCCAAAUAUAGAAUAUGUAAAAAUUUGUAUAAAUUUGAAUUCAAUUACUUUCUUACUCAAUUUCCCUUUUUAACUUCCACCCCUUAUGCUAGUUAUUAGGGUGCAGCUUUAAUACUACUUAUCAGGGUUUAAGAUCCAGUCUUCAACUCAAAAACUAUCCUACUGAGUUCUCUACUAUCCAAUAUUAUUAAGUGAUAGCUCAACAGUUGUGAACAGAAAUUCAUGCAUGCAUACGCAAUUUAUGUUUAUUGAAAAUUUAUUUAACUAAUCGAUUCAGGUUGAUCGAGAUUUGAAUUAAUAUGUUGAUUGUGCAGCUACUGAGUUUAUUUCGAAUAUUAAAAUGUUUUGAUAGAUUUCUGAUUAAAAUAAUAAUAUAUCGUAACUAAUAUAAAUUUUUUUUUUUAAAAAAAAUCUAUUUGUUUAAGAUGGGAGCAAAAAUCGUUGACGGCAUAAAAUAAUCAUAUAUGAAUAUCAAUUGUUGAAAAACCGUUGACCGAGAAAUACUUUUACCGGGUGAGUGUGCCACCUCAGUUAUGUGGGUCCCAUGGUGAUAUCAUGAAUUUGAUGUUUUCCAUCCAAAGAAAUUAAAAUAAAAGUUCAAUGAUACUAUUUGACAAAAAAUUAAAUUAGAAAAUUUUAAUAAAAAAUAAAAUAUUAAGUAACUAGGCAUAACUUACUUUUAGUCGAGAUAUUUUAGUUUUUUUCAUACCUUCCAUCAAAAUUUUGUUAGAGAAUUUUUUUUUUAUUAUUAUACCUUCCAUCAAAAUUGUUGUUUCUAGUGGAAUGGGUGCAUCAUCUUAAUACGGUGAUGUAGUAUACUCAUCCCACAUAAAUAUUUUACCCUUUUAACUGUAUCAAUCGUAGCAUCAAGAAAAAAGAGAAAUUUUACCAAUCAAUCACUUUAAUGGUAAGAGUUCACAUAAUUUAAAAUAAAAAUUUUAUUAGUGUAAUGGCAAGAUCCAUUAGAUGUACUGAAAUAAUAUAUUCUAAUUGAUUGGAUGCACUAUCUAAAUACGACGAGUUGGUACGCCCAUUGUACAUGAGUAUUUAUUUUUUACUACAGGGAAAUAGUCAACUGAAAAUUAUCAACAGCAGCUUCAGUGAAAAAGAGAAAUCUUACCUGUCAAUACGGUUCUUAAGCUUCAACAAGAACUGCUCAUUAUCAACUUCAGCGAUUUUCACCAAUUUAUCAACCAGCCUUUGCCUUUCUUGCAGUCCAAGAUUGUUAACAUCAAUUUCACUAGCUUCACCUCUAGAAGUAGUCAAUAUCCCUUUCCUCAAACGAUUAUAAGUAGGCAACUUCUCGAGAGCAGCCCAUAUUAGAGCUUCCUCAUCAUCUUCUUCUCUUGAUGAAGACACUGAAAAGGCACCAGGAGAGUUGCUCCUCCAUCUGGAAGCACUUCUGCGUAAGCUAUUACUGGCCGUGUAAAUCAUAUCACGACCUCCUAAACCCUCCAUUACAACUCACUCGAGAUGAUAACCCAGAAGUGCUUUCUUCUUACUUUCUUAAUUUGUUCAAGUGAUCAAGAGAGUUAAUGAGAUAUUUAAGCACACGCAAAUGGUCGUUAAUUAAUUGGUUUGAAUUAUACAUAACAAUGUCUUUUGUCUCUUUCUUUGACGAGUCGCGUUAACGUACUCAUACAUGCCACCAAAAAACGAACCAGUCACUGCCGGCAGCUAUUAUAUUGUUCAUAUAAAAUCAUCCCAAACGUUUGAUCAUAUUUUUUUUUUAAUUCAAAUGCUUACGGUGCUUUAUUUAUUUAUUUUUUUUAAAUUACUAGAUUAAACAUUGUUAGUGUCUUCCGGCAUCGAUCGAUUAACAAAUUUGUUUAAAUGAUCGAGUGGGGGGAUAUUCAUAUUCCUGCUUGCUGGCUUGCAAAUCUGCUGUCGUCGUCUUGAAGUCUCCACUUCUUUAAUUACUGUAUUGAACAAGAUUUUGGAUCCAACGGUGAUAAUCUUAAUGCUUAUCUUUUUAAUAAUUUUCUGUCAUGCAUGUACUGUAUUAAUAGCAUGUACUGUAUAAAUUUUUUUUUUUAUCUUAGUUCAUAUAUAUGCUUUGUCACACGACAGCUAUGCAGCAAUAAUCUUUGAGCAUUGAUAUUUAAAUAGACCAAUUUUAAUAGAAUGAAGACGGAACUAAUUGAUUUUAAAACUACAUGGGAGUUAAAAAAAAAAAAAAAAGAACAAAAUAAUCAAUUAACAUUACAACACUACACAACUUUAUAAUUCAUUAUGUCCUCGUUCUUUCAACUGUCAUCUCUUUAUCUCUAAAGUGUCUCAAUAUAUAUUAAAACAAUUGAAAUUUAAAGAAAUUAAAAUUUUUAGAAAAUAACUAUGAGGGCAUUUUGGCCCAACGAAAAUAAACAUAAAACUCGUUUUCCGAUUAGAAUUCCAUGUAAAAAAACCAAUCAAUGGAAUUGAAAAUCACUUUUUUCUCCUCCAUUUUCUAUCUCCUUCACUUUUAUUUCGUGCCUCUUCUCCCCUUCAAUCCAAUUCAGCAAAUACCACCUUAUAGUUUUCAUGUAAAAAGUUAAAUUAAAAUAAGUCAUAUAAAGAAUACACCAUACUUUUGACCCUAAAACUAUUGCAAUGGAUGAAAUUAUAGUUUAAAAUAUUUUUACAAUAUUUUAUUUUAAUUUUUCUUCCAUUAAAACAGCUCAUUUUAAUAAGAUUGUUCACGUUUUUACAUACUAGAUUGUAUUAAACUUCUUGAAAAGAGAGAGUAAGCAACUCAACGUUGUGUUAUUAAUGUAAUUCUCCAUUUUCUUGUUAACGAACCGGACUCGGUUUUUUUAUUUUCUUUAAGAUGCGAUCGGGUCUAUGGGGGAAAAGUAAGCUCACGUUGACUUUGGAGAUAACUCUUGCUCGGUGAGGGAUUAAGUAAUUAAGCUCAGGUGAUGAUUUUUAAAUUCUUGUUUAUUAAAGUUUAUUUAAACUUUUGAAAUGGACGUUUUUGACGGUUUCCAUUGUUGAACAAUGAUUUAAAAUUCAGUUUUUUUUUUUUUUUUUUGUUUCCGGUAGCAUUAUGAAUUUUUGUGGUUUUUUUUUUUUCCUGCGCAAUAUACUUUGACUUUUGCCUAUGGUUGAGUAUUUCAAACAAUUUACCCUAAUUCGAAUUUUAGAAAAAUAAAAGGUUAAAAAAUUAAUUUAAAAUUUUAUCCUUAUGGCAAUUUAACUUGUACGAUUUAUAUAAUGACACAGGCAUAGGAUAUAAUAAAAUUAAAGUCGAUAUCAUAUUAAUUAAUCACUAAAAGUUCGAACAAUAGCAUUUUGGAUAAUAAAAACAAAGUUGACAUCAUAUUGGUUAUAUUAUUAUUAUUAUUAUUUUCCAUGAUAUCAUAUUGGUUCGGUUAUAUUAAAAAUUCUUAUUAUUUUGUCCACUUUGUAGAUGAUUUAUUUCUAAUAUUUUAUCUUAUAAUUAGAACUAAAAUUUUGUUGCAGCUUGUCUGGUCUGCUUGAAGGUUGUUCAAAGGAAUAUAUAGUUUUAAAAAAUAGAUUGGUAGUUGUCAAAAGAUUAAAUACAAUUAUUUUAAAUGUAACAAAAGCGUGAUUUAAUUAUAAAAAAAAAAGUUAGAAACCACAAUUUCACCCAAUUUCACGCUUAUCAUUUGAGCUUUACCCACCUUCCUUCCUAAAAUCACAGUAAUGCUCUUAAUAAUAUUACAAAAUUAUGUCAAUUAAAGGAUGAUUUUCUAAACAUUGAUUUUUUUUUAAAAAAAUUAAUUUUAUUAUUAUUAUUACUUUUUUUUUUUUUUUUUGCGAAGAUCUUCACACGCUACUUCCUCAACACGUAUGAUUCUAUUGAAGAAGUUAGGUCUAUGGGCCAGUUGGCCCAACGCUCAACAGACGGCCCAGGAAUCGGAGCAAACAAGCCCAGUACUGUGAUUUCACCACUCUCCUGGAAGGCUGGAAGAGACUUGCAGAGCAAGGCUGAGGGAACUUGUCAUUGAAGAAAAACGUAUACGUUACCAAAAUUUGUCUCCACAGAUACACGGUACACACCACAUUGAGAAAAAUCUGGGGCCGUAGAGUUUAGGACUAACAAAUCCUAUGGCUAGAUGACAUCAAGCGCAUAUGCUUGUUGAUUACUCCAUCUCUUGUAUAAAAGAAUCACUCAUUGUGAACUUUUCUCACCUAUCAAUGAAAUCUGUCUGGGAACUAAGAUUCAUGAUCAUUUCCUUCGCACAAAAUAUUAACUGCUAUAGAUAACCUUGACUGGCGAGGGAAAAUUUAUUAAUCUAAAAAGAUAGAAAACAUAUCUUGUAUACAAAAUAUAUCUUGCAAUGCCAGCAAUGAAAAUGCUAAAUCAAAAUAAACAAUACACUGACGGGACAUUGCAUGAAAAGAUUAUAGCAUAGCCAAAGCAUCCGCGAUGCGAUUUUUCUUCUGAAUCGCAUGUUCAGCAGCAGUACCUAUCAGAAUUACUAUCGCCUCUGGAAGUUAAACAUCUUAAUUCCUAGGGCGAAGAGAAAUCCAAAUAAUGCUGCAAAGACAACGAGAACGGCUGCAACUACUCCCAGAAAAUCAUGUUUGAAAUCAAAAUAGUCCUUAAGAAACUGUUUCACCGUUUCACCAGUAUCCAUUUUCUUGUCGUCCAUAUCUCCGAACUGCGAAGCAACCAGUCCAUACAAGGUCCAAGCUAUGGGGUUGGCCCAAUAGUACCAUCUCCACCAUAUUGGAAUCCUCUGUUUUUUGACAAGUUGAAAGAUGAGGAAAGAAUUAGUAACAAAAAUUAUUUAACCUAAAGAAAAAACCUAGCAUCCGGAAUAGAAAUGGGAAGACGAGACUUACAGGUCUUGGGAUAAUAAACCCAGAAAAGACGUUCCACAAUCCAUAAAAUAAAGUUGAAACAAUGGCAGCGAUGUGGUGGUUUGGUGUCAAAGCCACAGCCAUCAUGCCAUAGAAGGUGAAGAACAAUAAUGUGAAGUACAUGAAGAAUAUAUACCAAAAAAACUUGGCGGCUGUCCAUUCAAAUCCAAUCAUAGCAUAGACUAUAGCACCAUACACUACUGACUGAACUAAUAUAUAAGGAAUCUCAAUCAUAACCUGCAGGAAAGAAAAUUAAAAGUCAGUAAUGAAACACGGUUAUUUAACAAUUCAAAUAUAUGAAAUGUGUCAAACAAUUACUUGUGCUAAUGCCCAUGGUAUGCCUGCAUACAUGCCGGCAGCUUUUUCCCUGUAAAAGACUGUCCUUUCAACUGAUACUAUUGGCUGCACUGACGAACAAUAUUGAACACCAAGGAAGAGAACUGCAGUAAACAUGGAACCCAUUGCAUUGAAAAGAUCUUGGUUCCUUUUCCUGAAAAUUAAAAAGUCAAAAUAAAGAUCAAAACGAAGACGAAACCACAAGAGACUUUGAAUAACAUUCAAGUGCAAAACUGUUCCAGACAACUAGUUAUAACUCACGUUCUACCACCCAGGUCCCAAAACAACGAGCCAAACAACAAUGCUAUGAAGGCCGUGAAGAAAAAUCUAACAGCAGUGUAUGGUGGGUUUCGCCAGUAUGACCAGUGUUGUUUCCAUAAGCAAGCCACAAAUUGGAUCCAAGAUGACUGCGAAAAUUGAGUAGGAAAAUAGAGGUCCUUUGAACCAGGAGGAGGCCUGCUUAAAUCUUCAAUGAGUGCUUUGUUUCUCCUGAUACAACAUGGCAUACAUCAGCAUUAAUUUAUAGCUAAACAAAUGCACCGGCAAACUGUUGAAUGGAUUUUGGUUAUGUAAACUAGUGGUACAUGAUAACAUACCUGUAUAAAUCUGAGCGCUUGUAAUGUUCGGUAAAAUCAAUCCCCAAAGCCAAUUCUUGCGAAGCAGCUGAAACUUCCAACAUCCAAGUUGCUGGAUUGUAACCAUCUUUAAUCUUUUGUACUCCGGGAAUUGCCUAGAAAAAACAAAUGUACGUUCAUCAGCUAUUUCCGUAUUAUAAAAUAAACCAGUCACUUGCAAUGUUGUUUCAAGUUAGAUUUCAAUUGUAAUAUGAGAAUAUCCAUUAGGUCAUACUUCGAAAUAGCUGAUAAGAUGGCAAGAAUGACGACCCAAUGGCCCCACAUAAAUUUCUUGUCCCCCUCGCUUCAUUAGGAAUAGCUGCAACAUAUUUUUGAACAAUAUUAAUCAAUGAGAGGAAAAGAAAAGACAAAGGGAAGAAAAAAAACGAAAAAGCUUAAAGCUCGUUUGAUCUAGAAUUAACAUUUCUUACCUCAUCAAAAGCUUCAAAUAUGUCAAUGCUUGGUUGAUGAAUCGUGCACACUACCGUCCUUCCAGUGUCCACUGUGUUUCUAACAGUUCUCAUAACAAUUGCAGCGGCUCUUGCAUCUAGUCCUGAGGUUGGCUCAUCCAUAAAUAUGAUGGAUGGGUUAGCCACAAGCUCAACCGCAAUGGUAAGCCUCUUACGCUGCUCUGUUGAAAGACCACUUACACCAGGCAAACCAACCAGUGAUUGUCUCAACGGAUUCAGCUCCACAAGCUCCAUUACUUCGUCAAUAAACAUCUGUAAAUCAAGGGUAAAACUCUAAAUCAGUAUGAAUUAUGUCCAAUAAUGUAUUUAGGGAAUCUAACUGUUUCCCUGCCCGUUGACUCAGUUUAACUAGUUUUAGCCCUUAAUGACCUAACACUCUAGGUGACUUUAGUGCCUACCUUUCUGGUUUUGGAAUCAACUUCAGGUGAUAAACGGAGCCAGGCCGAAAAGAGCAAGGACUCAUAUAUGGUAACAAAAGGAGAGUGGAUGUCAUUUUGCUCACAGUAUCCUGAAAUGCGAGCAAAUGUUUCUUGCUUCUUCGGGUAACCAGAUAUUGUUAUGUUACCAGUAAUAUAUCCACCAGUUUUCCUGCCAGCCAAGACAUCCAUCAAAGUGGUUUUACCAGCGCCACUGACACCCAUUAAAGCUGUAAGAACACCUGGCCGGAAAGCACCGCUCACGCCAUUCAAAAGCACUAAUUUAUCUUCAAGAACACCUUGAACUUUCAUUUCCUGUAAAGUUAAACAAAUCAAUUGGUCAUCAUGCUCGACUACAUAGUAUUGAAUCAAGAAAUCAACAAAACCUCUAAACAUCUUAAAUGGUUUUCAAAUUAAUGUUACCUCUGGCAUGUCAACAGAGUAUACAACCUCAUCAAAGGUAAGGGAAUGAGGUUCAAAUGGAAGAACCAUUCCUUUUUUCUUCGGACGACUGGCCUCCGCUUCUGCCAGUGAUAAGGAUUGGGAAGAGGACUGUUGUCCCCUAAUGUCAUCUGUACUCCCUGCAUUUUAAACAUAAUUUAUUAGCUUCAGAAGGCAUUUACAAAAGUAUCUCAUUUUUUUCCUCAAAUAUAUCAAAAUACUUUUAUCACCUGAGCGAGUGUUGUGGUUAGAACUACCUCCAAGGGUUGAUAACUGAACAUUUCCUCCAAUUCUAUCAUCUUGCUCAUUACUUUCAAUUUCCUCCGUUAUGACAGCCCGAGGCUUCUCAAAUGCUGUAAAAAAUUUUUGGAGGAAAUUAGAACAGAAACUCACUGCUACAGAAGUAAUUUAAGAAAGUGAAGAAGGUAGGAGCAACCCACGAUCAAGAAAAGUAAGAGCCAAUGUGUAAGCGAAGUUCAAAAGCAGUACGAAGCCAAACAAAGCCCCCAAUCCUAGCCAAUACCAAUAUUCAUGUGCGAAGAACCCACGGGACUUCAAAACUUGCACCCCAAGCGUUUCACUUGAGUCUUGAGUAAACUGUGAUAUGAAAAAGUUACCAGCAUCAGUAAUGUUACUAACAGCUAAAUACACAAUCAAGGAAAAAGAUCAAGAAUUACCUUUUUCCAACUAUGCCCCAAAAAUUCAUUUGCCACUAUUGCAUUCUGUGCGUAUGUCAAAGGAGAACACCAGUAAGCCCAUUUCCACCAUUUUUUUAUGUCCUCUGCAUUAUGAAAAAAUGAAAUGGAAGUAUUAAAGAUAAAUUUUUCUAAGGAAGCUAAUUUAAUCUGGUUUACUUGCAUAUUUUCUGUACCUCGCGAAAGGAUAAAUCCACCCAAUGACAAAAGUACAAGUAAUGCAAAUGAACCAAAUGUGUUAGCAACAACCAUGUUUCUGCCGGUUACUGCAAUGAAUCGGAACAAUGCAGAAGCCAUCUGGUUAACACCCAAGAGCAGCGCGUACUGCUUAAAAAACCUGCAACAUGAAAACCAUCACAUAAACUACCUUGAUAAAGAGAUCAUGGAACUAAAACUUUACUGGUUACUAAAAAAUUUGGUUCAUUUUCUCUGUGAUUACCUUCCAGCAUUGGAAUCAUACCCAACAACAUAAUAUGAUAGGAAAACCCAAACAGCAACCUCCAGGAACGAGACAGGGAUCUUUAGAAUCCAUGAGGGAAUAGCAUAUGCCCACGGAGGAAAGAACCGGAAGUCUCUUUGCUUGUAGAAGACAGGAAGCUUUGCUAUGGUCAUAGAAAUCUCCGAAAAUCCAUUGAAAUUGACCAUUGUGAUGGCGAAGAACGUGGCACCAGCAAAAAUUCCACCAUCAGUUACUGUAUCUUUGUGCAUUUUUGUUCUCAAGAAGAGUGUCAUGUAGACCACUGCAACAAAUGCAAUCUAAAGCCAGGGGGAAAAACCAAUCAAUAAAUAGUUAUCACAUGAAGCAACAAUUAAAACAAUUCAAAACUAUGUUGGUACUCACUUGAAUGAGUUUGAAGAUGUAGACAAAUGAGUUCCUCUUCAUCAGCAAAAGUUCUCUUGAGAUGUUAGCUUUCAACAACUCUCUCUUGCCAACACCAUAUGUUUCUGUGGUCAAAGCAGCUCGAUGGCUCUUGCUCUUAUCAAAUGGAGUCCGAAGCUCAUCAGAAAUUUUCUGUCCCACAUGGAAUGAUUGGAAUGCCUCAGCAAAUUCCUGGACUGUAACAAACCUGUAAGGCUUCUCUUUAUGUGCCCAAUACUGCCUUUGAUCUUUCCUUGAUGUUACCUGGAACACAUUAUUUGUAAAGAUUGAAUAGAAAUAGUAAUGUGUGAGGCUCGUUAUAGUUUUAGAAUGUUAUAAGCUUCUGUAUUAUCUAUAAAUAUUUAGAAACUGAAACAUCAAAUAUAGAGCUCUAUCACCGCAUACUUCUUGCAAGAAGUCAGCCACGCCUUUCCUUUUGGGGCAUCUAAAGCCCAUGGAUGCAAAAAACUCUAGUACCAGUUCGCGAGGACCCUGGUAUACAAUCUGGCCAUCGGAUAGAAGGAUAAUGUCAUCAAAUAGAUCAUAAGUUUCUGGUGCUGGCUGUAGGAGAGAUAUCACAGCAGUUCCACUAUUGAUGUGAAUAUUUUGCCUGAGACAAUUAACAAUUUGGAAAGUUGUCGAGCUGUCCAAACCAGUAGAAAUCUCAUCCAUAAAUAGUGCCAAUGCUGGUCCAACCAUCAUUUCACCUAUAAUUUAAUUUACGAUUUAUCAUAUGUUUGAAUGAAAAGAGAUAACUGUUUUGUAUCUGACCACAAUCAAAAUGAAUUUAUGGAGUUUGGUAUUUACCAGUCGUAACACGCUUCUUCUGUCCUCCUGAUAUACCUCUUAUCAUUUCAUCACCUACCAUGGUGUCUGCACAGACAUCCAGUCCCAGAACCUAUAUGUUCAUAAGGAGAAGCAUUCAAACACGUGACAUUAUUUACUUGUUCUUGAUCAUAAUUCGCAAUUUUAGAGUGAUUCAUAAAUAUGUUACCUUAAGAUAAUAAUCAGUGAUCACAUUGGCUUCUUGGCCUUCAGUUGCUAUAGCCUGAGACGAGAAUUGACAGAGAAAUACAAGAAACUCAAUCACCAAGAGUUCAAAUCAAUCUCCAUAAGGUUGUUUCCGAUCUAAAUCUAUUUUCUCGUGAGGUGAAAGGUAAAAUGCCAAGCUUAAAAUAUAUGUAAUUCAACAAAAUGAUAUAAAGAAUUGAAUCUCAAAGUUCAUGUACUAGGAUUUUGAGACAUAGGAGCACUUGAGUGAAGCCAGGCUUAAAACUGAAACUCAUAAUUCAUCAGAUUUUACAUCCAAUGAUUUUUUUUUUUUCUCUUUUCUGGAAUCAAAUUGGCUAAAUGCUAAACAUGUUUUAAAGUUUAAACAAACUUCAGCUUCUCUCACCUUCAUGUAGACAUCAAUAUCCGGAUCAGGCUUAAUACCUGCUGCCUUCUCUCUUCUUGCCAACUCAGUUAACAUUUCUGCACUUCCCAAAAGGCAGAACCUUUAAUCUGAGUUCUUUACUUGAAGGAAGAAAUUAAAAAAAAAAAAAAAUAUAUAUAUAUAUAUAUAUAUAUACACCUACCAUAACGGGUUCCAACCCCCUGGCAUCUAGCAGAGAAGGCCAAAGUUUCUCUCACAGUCAUUUCACCUAUAUGAUUAUCGUGUUGACUGAUAUAAGCAGCUGUUCUCUGAGGCACAAAUUCAUCCGUAUCGUGACCGUUGUAUGUUACCCUACCAGAAACCUACAGAGGGAUGUUUUGAUUCUCAAAUUAGGGAGAAAAUCAAAGAUCGAAAAGCAAAGGUAAAAGCCAAACCCCUCCUAAAUAAUUAGAGCUUUUAACUAUAUAAUCACCUUCAGAGUAGGAUCAAGCUUCCCGGCCAAAGCCAACAAUAGUGUGGUCUUUCCAGAACUUGGGGGACCCAGAAGCAAUGUCAAUCUGCGAGAAAAGAGAUGGGCUCAAUUUGUGAUCACUACCAACAUAUUCAUAGAAAAACAAGUAAAUUAAGAAACAAUAGGUAUUUAAUUUUCACCUUCCCGGCUUUAUGACUCCACUGACAUCCUUCAGGAUUGUCAAGUGUCUCUUUUUACUUGGAAUAAUGCGGAGAUAGUUCAAGAGACCCUGCAAACAAAUACAGAUUAUUUGAAUUUGAGCCGAGAAAUUAACAAAAGAUGAUUAAAAAAAUAAUAAUUUUUGCAUUUGAAGAUUGGUACCUCAAAGAUGUUGGUAUAGAAUUUAAUGAACGAUGGCAAGGCAUUACUUGCUAAAAAUGCUUCUGCUUCAACAUUCAAAUGUUCAUAUCGUACUUCGACUUUUGGAAGGUCUAUUCCAACUCUGCCAAAAAUCAAAGAAAAAAAUCAGAAUCAUGACCAAAAUACAACACGCUCUUGAAAAAAAAAAAAUGGUGGACACAACAUACACAUGAAAAAAAAGAACUCUGACAAACACACACACACUCUCUCGAAAAAGGUCUGCUCUGACACCGAGUUUUUAUCCAAAAGAUUAGUCCAUAAAACUGUAGAUUGCUCCUUUACAAUCCAAUAUGAGAGAAAUCAAUUCAAACUUAAUAUUUGUUUAAAACAAAGGCAAUUCAAGAUUAGCUUACGGAUUAUGUAACUUUUCUAUUUGUUUAAGGUGGAAACAGAACAUUACUGACAGCAUGAAAUAGUUAUAUGAAUAUCAGUUACAGCUGCUGAAGAACUGAAAGUUUUUUACCUAUCAAUACGGUUCUUGAGCUUCAACAAGAACCUCUCGUUAUCAACAUCAGUAACUUUAACCAAUUUAUCAAUCAACCUCUGCCUUUCUUGCAGCCCAAGGUUGUAAACAUCAACUUCAUUAGCUUCACCUCGUGAGGUAGUUAAUAUCCCCUUCCUCAAACGGUUAUAGGUAGGCAAUUUCUCGAGAGCAGCCCAUUUUAGAGCCUCCUCAUCGUCUUCUUCCCUUGAAGACCUCGAAAAUGCACCGAUGGAAUUUGUGUUCCAUCUAGAAGCGCUCCGACGCAAGCUAGUACUAGCCAUGAAAAUAUCGUGGGUGCCCUCCAUGGCAACUCAAGAUGCUCAGAGCUGCUGAAACCAACCAAAACCGAGGAGUGCUUUUUUCUCUCUAUUGUUGAACUCAACAAAGAGAAGUUCAAGCACAGAGAAAUGGGUACUAAUUAAUUUGACAGAGCAAUUGCUCCUACUAUGACUUGAUCCAUUAGUGACCCACGUAACCAUUUAUUUAUAUCUUGCAUACAACAGCAUAAAUUGACUGGUAUAUGGCACCGGCGGCUCAAAUAAUCAUUUCCCUUAUCUACCCUCCGUGAACAAGUCGUCGUAGCAAUAUAAAUAAAGACUUCUUUUCUACUAUAAAUAUCAAUAUUCCAGGGGUAGGCUCCGGAUCUUUCAUUAGGCCGAGCUAAAUUUUAAAUUUAGUGUAUAAGUUUAUGUAAAUUGUUGGUGCAUGUCAAGGAAUAAAACAAAAAAAAAUGUAUUAAAUAAUAAAUAUCUAACUCUAAUUUCAAUGAUAAAUUACUCUUUUCAUAUUGAGUUUCAUACGUUCUCUUGUUUAGGAAGAUAUUUGAAAACUUUAUUCUUAACUAAAAGAAAAAAAAUUCAUGAAAUUUAAUUUUCUUAAGCUAACGGGCUCCAGCCACCUAAUGGGUCUAUGUUCAUUGCUAUCUGAUGCCGGGCAGUUGAGGAAAGUGAUGGAUUCUUGACCGUAGACUUUUGGGAGCAGAAUAAAGAGUUUUAAAAAAAAAUUUCUUUAGAAAUUUCCGAGCAGCUGGUACCCAGUCACAUUGUUUACCUAUUUAACUUGUUAUGAAUUGACGGGGAAACGGGCGACUGAUUUUAUUAAUUGGUGUGAAAAAAUUUCCUUGCCAUGCUGCAAGAAAAGUAAUCAAGACUUGAUACAACAUCACAAGGUUACUCAACAGACUUUGACUAAUGACUAGGACUGGUUCAAUUCUAGAAUGGGGAUAGAAUUGGAAUACGAAACUCGUGCCUUGACUAACUAUUGUUACAUUGAUAAAUGCACCGUUUAAAUACGAAACGAUAAGAUUUAAUAAAUAACAACCACACAUAAUCUUGUUAUGAUAGAAUUAGUUUAUGAUAAAUUUUUUAUUAUUGAUAACAACGUUAUCGAUGAGUAGAUGAAAUGUAUAAUUGAUGCACAUCAUACCCUUUUUUUUUUUUUUCUCUAACACAAGAGAUUUUAUUAUCUCAAAUAGAUGAAAUGUACAAAAUAUGAAAAUUAAUUUAAUUUUAUAUUAUAUAUAAUUAAUGUUUUAUUAUUUUAUUGUAAUAUAAUAUUUAUUUAGCAUACUAUCAAUUAUUUGAUUAUGUAGAAAAAAUUUACUAAUUUACUAAUAAUAAUAAAGUGUUAGUUUAUCAAUUCAUAAAAUCAUUUUUGCUCAUUUGAACAAGAAUUUUGUAUUUUUGGUUGAGUUUUUGUCCUUAAAUAAAAAGAAUAAAUUUAAUUGCACACUUAAAUAAACUGACUUUUGUUAUUUCACCCCAAUAUUUUAAAUAGCCAUUAGCACACAUUCCUAAUUGACAAGGAUAUGACCAAUUAAAUAAUAAUUGUAUCAAAUUUACCACUCAUAUAUAUAUAUAUAUAUAUAUCUGAAUGGCUAAGUGUUGGAAAAUAGGACCAUGGGCAUGAGCCCAUGACUAAUUUUUUUAUUUUUUUAGUUUUUAGUUUGGUAGUGAAAUGGAUUUCUUAUUCUGGCAAAUUAUGCAUUCUCUUCUCUACAUAUAUUACAAUAAAAAAAAAAAACUUAUAUUGUCCAAAUUGACAAGUGUGCGAUGUCGGAGUAUUGUGUUCAUGUUUGGCAUCUUCAAAUCGAAAGGUGUUUCUAAAAUAGAUUAUGACUUCUAGAAGUAUCACAUAACCUGAAAAUUUUUAGGUGUAGGACUAAUGUGUGAAAAAAUAAAAGUCUUUAGUUUUUUUUAAUUUUUUAACAAAUAAAUGGAUUUCACUGUAAUUGACUUAGAAAAAGACAAAAAAGUGGGGUACGAAACCCGUGUGGCAACGUAGUUUUGGCCUUUUAGAAUAAGUAACACUAAUGUCACGUACUUGGACAUUACCCACAAGACAACUGACUGAGACAAAUGGCUGGACACAAACAACAAUCAACGCUUGACGUGGAGAAAGUCAAAGCACGCCAAUUUUGAAAUGAAGAUUACUUUAACCCUUCAAUUUAAUUUUCCAAUUAAGACCCCUCAAACAUGGGAGGUGGGGACCACAAUCACCGGAUCCGGAUCCGGAUCGUAUAGCGAAUUAGUGACGUACUCUGUUACUGCCAUUUCCCCGCAUUAAUUACUUUUAAAAAAAAAUAAAAAUAAAACGAAAAAUUUAAUUAUUAAAUUAAUUGUAGAGGCAACCAAGAAUUUAAUUAUUUAAUUAUUAAAAAGGCAUUUUCAAGACUGUUUUCAAGUAAAAAGAUCCAAUACUAAAUUAAUUAGCUCAUGCCUUUCCUGAUUUUCGUUGGUCGACAUUAUAAAAUUAUAAAAAAAUAAAAAAAUUAUUUAACGUUAAACAUAAGUUAAAAGGACAUAAUCUUAGACAAAAAUUCGUGUUAAUAUAUUUAAAUUAAAAAAAACACACACACACAUACACACAAAAUCUUAGACAAAAGAGAUGGGAAUUAUAAUAUACCAAGAGCAGAAGCAUUCAUUUUCCGUCUCAGUGAACGUGAGCUUCUCUUCACCGUCAGCAAGUCCGUAUGGUCAUUCCCUCCAUCACGACCGUCCAUCUUGCUCAAUUAUUAAAAAAAAAAUGAACUAAAAAAUGCAUCAAAUCUUUUGUGAAGCUUCUUCAUUUUAAUUAAUUAAUUAAUUAAGGGAAAAAAAUCUCGUCGUCCCGGCACAGCAUAAGGCUGAGCUUCUCCGCCGCCGCCGUAUUGAGAAAAAUAGCGGAUAAUUUUGAUUUAAAAGGCUUCUUGUUAGUCAUCACAUUACCCAAUUCCCUCACUAUCCUUCGUUAUUCUGAUGGAUUUUUGUGUUUCGGAAGUGAAUUUCAGUUCUAAUUUUUUUUUUCCAUUUAUUUUUAAGUUUUGGAAGCAUUACAUAAACUUUUUUUUUAAAUAUUUUACUUAAACGAAAAAAGAAAAAAAAAAAGAUCGGUUCGGUGGACAAAGCCUCUUACUCCUGAUUCAAACGCAAGACCAAUUAAACCACUCGGCUCAGCCCGAGUGGCCAGGGCUGCUGCCCUCUAACUUGGAGGGCAGCAGUUCGAACCCCCACAAAAGUAUUGUGGGGGUAUUUCCUUUCUCAAUUAAUUUAAGUGAAGGUAAUCUUCUUCCUUACCCAUGAGUGAGGAGUAGACAUCCCUCAAAUAUUUGUGAGGGUUAAAAUAUGGGCAGAGCUCCAUUAGCAUUGAUGUAAGUUGGUCCCAGUAAUUGUCUGAUUUGUAAAUAUCAGUUAUAGUCUCAUGUAAUAUGAGUUGUAAUCUGAGCAAUAGUCUCAUGUAAUAAAAAAUAAAAAUAAACGCAAGACCAAUUAAAUUAAACUCCUUCGAAAGCUACUCGGAUGACCGGCCAAAUUAAAACUCUUGAAAGUUUCGAUAAAAUAUUAAUUUUAAUAGUUAAAAUUCUUUUUGAUGGGGAAAUAAUAUAUUAUAAUUUAAUACAUUAUUAUUUUAAAAUGUUGAUUUAUAAAAAUAAAAAGAUUUACCAUACCCUAAUGUCUCGGAAAAUAGUCAAGCAAACUAACACAUUUUUUAGUGAAGAAGAAUAUUUGGACCAUUUUUUUAUUGUAGUACCAUUUAAAUAGAGCAGCUAAAAUAGUUAGCUUUAAAAUUUUUUAAUAAAUAUAAAUAUAAUAUAAAUAAUUAAAUAUGAUUAGUAGACUAAUAAUAUUAAAAUAAUUUAAAAACAUAAAUAUUAUUAAAAAUGUAUAAUUUAUUAAGAUAAUAAUUUUGAUAGAUAAAAUAAUUUAAAAACAUAAAUAUUAUUUGUAUUUUAAAAUAUUUUUUUAUUUAUUAAAAUGUUUAAAACAAAUCUUUCGGUCAAAUAGAUUUCACAAUUAAUUCAAUAUAUGUUAAUAGUAUUGAAAUUAUUUUACAUGCUAUUCAAAAUAAUUAAAAUUUUUAUAUAUUUUUAAUAUUAUGUUUCUAUUUAUUUAAAAUUAAGUUUAAUACAAUAAAAUAUGUCUAAUAGGUGUAUUUUUUAAAAUGUAUAUAUUACUAUAUUUAUUUUAACAUUAUAUUUUUAUCUAUUACAAAAUAUUAGAGUUAAUUUUAUUCGAGUUUAUAAAACCAAAAGGUAUUUUAGUUAAAUAGAGGCCUUAAUAUUCCUUCUUAAAAAUUUAAGAUGUGUAUAAUUAUUUUUUCAAGGAUAUAAUUAUCAUUUGAACAUUUAUAAAUAGAAAAUGAGGAUAUCGCAAGUUGUAGCACCCAUUUGAUCGUUCAACGGAGGCGCAUGGUCAAUCAAAAGAAUGAAAAAUGCCAAUUCUAAAGUCAAGUGUUUUUAUUUUCUUUAUCUUCAAGUUUAAAGUCAACAUCAAAGAAAAAGGUAAAAAUGUUAAGACAAAUUUGAUGUCUCUUCGCUAUGAAGAAAAUUUUGACAGUGAAGCCAGAUAGAAAAAUAAUUAGAAUAACGUUUGAAUAUUGCACAAGAAAAUUUCAUGGGUUAGAAAGGAAACAAAAAGUAGGAGAAUGAAAAUGUGAUCAUGGUUAAUUUGAAAAUUAUGAGAGCUUUGUAAAAUGAGAUUUUAAUUUUUAAAUUUUGUUAAUGUGUCCAUAGAAUAAAUGGAUUAAAUCAAUUAUUUUUUUAUGUAGUUUAAAUAGUUUGACUUUUAAGAUUAUGAUUGAGAGAGUCGCGGAUAAUGUAAGAGCAUUUACAUUAUUUUCAUUUACCUUUUACCAAGUGUGUACGAAUACUAUCAUGAUUAAUUAAAAAACAUGUAUGAUAAAAAAGUUAAUAAAAAUAUGACAAUUUUAAAAGCAUGUGCAUUUUGCUAAAAUAAACCAAUACUUGUAUUACAUAUGUGUAUAUAUUUGAACACUAAAAUUUUAUCCACCCUCAUUUUGCACACCCCUUUAUGUUUUGAAUCAAACUUCUCAUGAUUACCUCACCCAAUUAAAAUUAUAUACAUAUAGGACAGUGAUCCAAUCUGGGAUCCGGGAAUCUAGCAGGGCCGUUCAAUCCAACGGCCGCUGGUGGCUUUUUUUUUUUCAAUUUGUGGGCUGCACAUGGUGGACCCCACCAUGUGCAGACACCAGUGGCCUUUGGAUUCCACCAUGUGCAGCUACUAGUGGCCUUUGGAUUGAAAUCCAAAAGCCACUAAUUUUUGUCCCGGAAACUGUUCCAAUCCGGGACUCCCGGAUUGGAACAGUUACCUAUAUAUAAUAAAACUAAAAUUUGGAAACUUGGAAAAAUCAAAAUGCAUGCAGUGACUAAUGAAUAAGGUUCAACUUACACAUUAAAUAAAUUAAGAGCAACGCCAAACAACUUGCACAACACGAUGACAGUAGGUCCCUGAAUUGAUAGAAACAGCAGCAAAACGAUGUUCUUUUCUUGUUCUUUCUCUCUAUUUUUUUAAUUCGGUAAGCCCCCUGUCCCCAUCUGUAUAAUGUUUAAUAUUUUCAAAAAUAAAAAAUCCAAUUUGAAAAAAAAUUCAAGAAAAUCUUAAAUUGUGUGUCUGGUAAACAACCGCAAAUAUAAAAUUCACGUUCAACAUUAGUAGGAAGGGAAGGGGAAAUAUAUAUAUAUAUAUAUAUUAGAUCCGCUCAAAAUGUCGAUGAUUUUAUUUUCUUUAUUUUCAUGUUUAAAGUCAAAAGAAAAGAAUGAGAAAAUGGAGGAGAAGAAAUUUGAUAUCUUAUUACUAUAUAAGCAUUUAUUUUUUAAUUCGUUUGAAAUAACUUUUCAAGUAAAAUUUAUUUUAAUAGAGCUUUUACAAAUAGGGUUGGACAAUUUCGGAUUCGGAUAAGAUAUUCAAUCAGAUUUCGGAUAAUUUAGAUUGAGAAAAAAUUUAUUCGAUCUCAAUCGAAACCUUAUAUUUAAUUCAGUUCGAUCCGAAUUAGCUCAAAUCAAAUUCGAAUGAGAUGAAUAUUUCGAAUAAGUUCAAAUUUAGAUCGGUUUGGAUUGAAAUUAGAUUUGGGACCUUUUAGACAAUUCUCACAAAAAAAUCAUGAAAUCUACAAUAGUAUAGGCGGUGACAUCAAUCAUUGUCAGUCUCUUCUUUUGGUUAUUGAUAAUCUCAUUGGAAGAGAGCUGGGCUGGAUUUUCCCAUUGUGUCUUGACUAUCUUCGACAUAGUGGGUCUGGGGGACGCCAUGGUGGCUGGACGUCGAUCCAGAUGUAGCGGGGUUCAUUUGGUUUAUACUGUUGGUGGCGUGGGUCGCUGUGUGCGUCACGUCAUGAGUGUGGUUUGUGGUCAUGGGUUGCGGCUACCUUGUAUCUUGGUGAUUUUGGAAUUAGGUUUUCAUUUUCUUAGUUUCUGCUUUUAUAUUUUGUUUUUUUUUCUUUUUUAAGUAGCAGUGCAAUCCAAUUUGGAUUAUUCGAAUUGACUCGAAUUCGAUCUAAUCCACAUCUAAUCCAAUUACAUACACAAAUUAUAUCCGAUCGUAUUUGAAACCAAAUAUGAAUCUGGUAUGAAUUUGUAUAGAUUAGAUUGGAUCUGUCCAAAUCCAAUCUGAUGUCCAACCUUGUUUAUAAAUAGAGAUUUUAAAAAAAUUAGUUAUAUUGAUUAUCAAUGGAAUUUUUUAUUAAAAAUUAUAAAAUUAUUUUGAAAGUAAGUUUCUUAUAGUUAUGUUAUGAAAAAAAAAUGAAAUAAAAUUGUGAGACAAGAAAAGGAUAUUUUAGACAAUUAAAAAAAAAAUCCAAUCUUUACUCUUAAAAUUGCAAAAUUUGAGCUUUUACUAAUAUAAGAUAAAAUAGUUUAUUUAACCUCCAAAAGCUAUACUCAAAAUACAAGCAAGCAACAUUAAAAAUUAACAAAAAGAAAACUUAUGGGAUUGACUAUUUGAAAGCUAUACCAACCAUGCACUUACUCCCAUCUAUAUAUCUAUAUAAAGUUGGGACUUGAGGAGGUGAUGUGGCAUCAUCAUUUCUCUUAUUUGUAUAUUCUCUAUUAUCUAAUAAAUAGAGAAUGUUUCUUUUAGAUUUGACUUUUUAUCUUCUCAUAAUUAAUUUGAUUGUUAUUAUACAAUAACAAUUAUGUAAAGAUUUUAAUGAGGCAUAUUCUUUGUAAUGAAUAUCAAAGGGGGAGUGUUAUGAAUUUAUUAAAAUAAAUGUAAAUGUUCAUAACAUAUAUCCCUUAGUCUCCCCACUAUCUCCCAUUAGCAACCUUUAACUUUCCUAUAACUCCCACUAUCUCACAAGAAAUUAUGAUCCAUAAUUUUUCAUUAAUUUCAUGGAGUGAUUAUGUAACUAUAAAAGGAGAGCUCAUCUUUUUGUUUUGUACACACACAAUUUGAAUGAAUAAAAUCACUCUAUAAUAUAUUCUCUCAUUUUAUUCUUUAUCUUGCGUUGCUCCUUUAUUUGUAUUGCUAACUAAUAGCUUUUUUUUUUAUUUUUUAUAAGGCUGCCUCAUCUUAAAAAAAAAAUCAAUUCUUAUUUUUUAUCAAUUUCAUCAAGUGUAAAGUAAGAAAAAAUGAUAAUACUAAAUUCUUUUUUCAAAGCCGCGUGAAACGCGGGUCUAUUUUCUAGUAAUUAUAAGAAAACUCAAACCCUCCAUCUUAUGGAUGAUACAAAUGCUUUCUAUAAUAAAAUAUACAUGUUUUCUUCAUUAACGGUACGUAUAGAUCUUUUAGAGAGUAAAUUUUAGUUUAUCCCAUUCCCUUCAAAUUAAAUCUUAACCUAUGGAAACUAUCAAUUCAAGUCUAAACUUAUUGAAAAUAUCAACGCUCCUAUUUAAAAGACUAGGAUAAAGAGGGGCGUCUUAAAGAUCUAUUUUUAUUUUAUUUUAUUUUUUGGUAUUCUUAAUAAUAAAUGGGAUUGUGUUAACAUUUCGGUAAAUUGAAAGUAAGUUAAUUUAUUUGGCUGCUGAUUUGAAAAUUCCCCAUCUUUUAAAUUCAUAAGGUGCUUUUGCAGACAACUAGGUUAAGUCUCACAUUUUAAAUGAAGGUGUGUUACAAAGUUGAACUUUCUGUGCCUUCACCUACCUUGCGUUUGGAAAUUCUCAUCCCAUUUUGUGUUAUUUGAAUUUUUCCUAACACAAAAAUUCAUCACCCUAAUCAUUGAACCACAGCCUUUUCUCACAACAAAGUUGAAGGAGAGGGAGAGAGAAACAAAAUGCAGAAACAGUUCUGCGCUUAAAUGUCAAACCGUUUUGUUUCACUUAUUUUGUUUUUUAAUCAAAGAGAUGAAUAAUUCAAAUACAGUAGGAAAAAAAAAAACUUUGUUUUUUUAAUCAAAGAAAUGAAUAGCUGAGAUAAUUCAGACACAGUUGGAUCAAAAAGCAAUAUUGUGAUUUUCCAAACUACAAAGUCCCAACUUCUUGCAGUAAAUUGGGGCUAAAGCCUAAAAGUAGUGACCUUUUGGUAUGCUUUAAUGACCCCAACACAUUUGCUUUGAAUGUUAUUAUUAUAUUCAUUUCUCCCCUUUUCCGCAUUUGUCUUUAUUUCAAAUAUUCAAUUAUGCAUAUUCUAGAAGUAUGAUAUAGCUAGCACCUAAAAAUUAACCACAAAAAGGAAGACAAAAAGAGAGAUAUGAUAAGAUGCAGAAAAGAAAAGCAUAAGCUGUGUCCCAUAUCAAAACUUAAACAAGUUCCAUCUUGUAUCUCAUGCAACAUGACUCAACUUUCAUAUGGAUUCACACUUGGGGGGACAUUAACAGUAUUAUUUCUUGCAUUGAAAUCAAAACCACUAUAAUAACAGCAAGAAAAAUGUCUUGGCAUAGGUGUGAGAAAAUAUACACAAGCUAUUUAGAGGGGAGAGAGAAAAACUAACUGGGGUUAGAAUUAAUUUUAUUACUUAUUUAUUGUAGCUCGAUACAAUCUUAGUUCUAAUUUAGUUAGUACCCUUAAUUAUAACUGCAAUAAGAAAAUCUAAUCUUAAUAGGAAAGAGAUUAAAAUAAACUACAAGAGUCCUCAUAUUAUUCCCCACUCCUUAAAACAGGCUUGCCCGCAAGCCUUUUACCAAGUCCUAAAUCACAAACUUGAUCUUCAAGAUGCUAUUAAAUUUCUAUCGCCUCUGGAAAUUAAGCUGCUUGAUUCCUAGGGCGAAGACAAAACCAAAGAGGGCUACAAAGCACGUAAGAACACCCGCAACUACUCCCAGCAAAUCAUGUUUGAAACCAAAAUAAUCUCUAAGAAAGUGCUUCACUGUUUCACCAUUUUCCAUUUGGUCCUCCACAUCCCCAAACUGUGAAGCAAUCAAUCCAUACAGGGUCCAAGCUAUAGGGUUUGCCCAAUAGUACCAUCUCCACCAUACAGGAAUCCUCUGCGGUUUGAAAAAGGUGAAAGAUGAGGAAAGAAUCGGUAACAGAAAUUCUGUAACUAGAGAAUCUAGCAUAUGAAAUAGAAAUAGAAAUAGCAGAAUAGUACUUACAGGUCUUGGGAUUACAAAUCCGCAAAAGAGGUACCAUAUCCCGUAAAAUAAAGUCGAAACAAUGGCAGCAAUGUGGUGGUUUGGUGUUAUAGCCACUGUCAACAUGCCAUAGAAGGUGAAGAGCAAUAAUGUGAUGUACAUGAAGAAAAAAUACCAAGAGAACUUCUCGGCUGUCCAGUCAUAUCCCAUCAUAGCAUAGACUAUAACACAGUACACUACUGACUGAACAAAUAUAUAAGGAAUCUCAAUCAUGGCCUGCCGAAAAGAAAAAUCUAAAUAUCAGUAAUGAAACACAUUUCUUAUAACAUUUCAGAUAGGCAUGUGUCAAACGAUUACUUGUGCUAAUGCCCACGGAAGGCCCGCGUACAUGCCAGCGGCUUUUUCUCUGUAAAAGACUGUCCUUUCAACAGAUACUACUGGCUGCACGGAUGAACAAUAUUGAAGGCCGAGGAAGAUAAUUGCAGUAAACAUGGAACCCAUUGCAUUAAACAGAUCUUGGCUCUUUCUCCUAUAAAUUAAAAAGUGAAAAUUAAUAUUAAAAGGCAGAUGAGAAAACAAGACUAAGAAUAAUAUUUAAAUUUAUAAUGUUCCAGUUUCCAAGGCUGUAACUAACGUUUUAGAGCCCAUGUCCCAAAACAAUGACCCAAGCAACACUGCUAUAAAGGCUGUAAAAAAGAAUCUAACAGCAGUGUAUUGUGGAUUUCGCCAGUAUGACCAGUGUUGUUUCCAUAAGCAAGCCACGAAUUGAGUGAAAGCUGACUGCGAGUACUGGGUAGGAAAAUAGAGGUCCUUUGAACCUGGAGUAGGCUUGCUUAAUUCUUCAAUAAGUGCUUUGUUUCUCCUGAGAUACAUUGCCAAUUCAAAAUUUUGAACUAAACAAAUGCAUUGGCAGAGAGGUGAAUGGAUUGCAGUUAGUAGUGUUAGUACUUCAUGAAUGUACCUGUAUAAUUCUGAGCAUCUGAAAAUAUCAUUAAAAUCAACUCCCAAAGCUACCUCUUGGGAUGAAGCAGUUACUUCCAACAUCCAAGUGGCCGGAUUGUAACCAUCUUUAAUUUUCUCAACUCCAGGAAUAGCCUUAUAAAAACGAAUAAACAUGCAUCAGAUAGUUUCAAGAUGAAAAUUAUGCAAGUCACUUCAAAAUGAUACUCAAGUUGGAUUUCCAUUGUAAUAUGAUAACGUGCAUCGGCACAUACUUCAAAAUAGCUGAUAAGUUGGCAAGAAUGGCGACCCAAUGGCCCAACAUAAAUUUCUUGUCCCCCUCGCUUCAUUAGGAAUAACUGCAAUGCAUUGUUGAACAAUUGUAAUCCAUAGAAAAAAAGGGGAGAAAAAAAAAGGAACUUUACGUUACCUUGAUCAAGAAUUAACAUUUUUUACCUCAUCAAAAGCAUCAAAUAUGUCAAUGCCUGGUUGAUGAAUGGUGCACACUACUGUCCUUCCAGUGUCCACUGUAUUUCUAACAGUUCUCAUAACAAUUGCAGCCGCCCUUGCAUCUAGCCCUGAGGUUGGCUCAUCCAUAAAUAUGAUGGACGGGUUAGCCACUAGCUCAACCGCAAUGGUAAGCCUCUUACGCUGCUCUGUUGACAGACCACUUACACCAGGCAAACCAACCAAUGAUUGUAUCAGUGGUUUCAGCUCCACAAGCUCCAUGACUUCCUCAAUAAACAUCUGUAAAUCAAGGGGAAAACUCUAAAUCAGUAUGAAUUAUGUCCAAUAAUGUAUUUAGGGAUCUAACUCUUUCCCUGCCCAUUGACUCAGGUUAACUAGUUUUAGCCCUCAAUGACCUAACACUCUAUGUGACUUUAGUACCUACCUUUCUGGUUUCAGAAUCAACUUCAGGUGGUAAACGGAGCCAGGCUGAGUAGAGCAAGGACUCAUAUACAGUAACAAAAGGAGAAUGGAUGUCAUUUUGCUCACAGUAUCCUGAAAUGCGAGCAAAAGUUUCUUGCUUCUUCGGGUAACCAGAUAUUGUUAUGUUCCCAGUAAUAUAUCCACCCGUUUUCCUGCCGGACAACACAUCCAUCAAAGUAGUUUUACCAGCACCACUGACUCCCAUUAAAGCUGUUAGAACACCUGGCCGAAAAGCACCGCCCAAACCAUUCAGAAGCACUAAUUUGUCUUCAAGAACACCUUGAAGUUUCAUUUCCUACAAUGUAAAAUCGAACCAAUUGGUCAUCAUGCCUGGACUACAUUGAAAUGGAUCAAGAUAUCAUCGAGCUUUCUAAAUAUUGCCUAAUUAGUUUAAAAUUAAUAUUACCUGUGGCAUGUCAACGGAGUAUACAACCUCAUCAAAGGUAAGGGAAUGAGGUUCAAAAGGAAGAAUCAUUCCUCUUUUCUUUGGAUGACUGCCCUGUGCUUCUGUCAGGAUUAAGGACUUAGAAGAGGAGUUUCUCCCGCUAAUGUCUUCUCCACUCUCUGCACGCUUAAAACAAUUUAUUAGCAUAAGAUGGCAUUUAAAAAAUAUCUCAUUCUUUCUCAAAGGAAAUAGUUUAAUAACUGAAACAAAACUACCUCCACGGGUGGACAACUGAACAGUUCCUCUAAUUCUGUUAUCUUGCUUAUUACUUUCAGAUUCCUCUGUUAUAACAGCUCGAGGCUUCUCUAAUUCUGUAAAUAUUUUUUUGCACAAAAUUAGAACAUAAACUCACUGCUUUUGAAGUAUUAAGUGAAGAGGUAAAGAUGCAUACGGUUAAGAAAAGUAAUAGCCAUAGUGAAACCGAGGUUGAACAGUAGUAUAAAACCAAACAAUGCCCCCAAUCCAAGCCAAUACCAGUAUGCAUGAGCAAAGAACCCGCGACUCUUCAAAACUUGGACUCCAAUUGAUUCAUAUGAGUUUGGAGUAAACUAUUACAUGAAAAAAUUAGACAUCAGUAUGUUACUAAUAGACAAUUACACAAUUUUGGGCAAGGCUCAUUCAAAGACGUACCUUUUUCCAACUGUACCCAAGAAAUUCAUUUGCCACUAUUGCAUUCUGUGCGUAUGACAUUGGAGAACACCAGUAAGCCCAUUUCCACCAUUUUUUGAUGUCCUCUGCAUUAUGAAACAAAGAAAUGAAAAUAUGUUAGUUUAGUUAUGAAAAAGAGGCUAAUUCGGGCUCGUUUACUUUUAUAUUUUAUGUACCUUGUGAAAGGACAAAUCCACCCAAUGCGAAAAGCACGAGUAAUGCAAAUGUACCAAAUGUGUUAGCAACAACCAUGCUCCUGCCAGUUGCAGCAAUUAAUCGGAACAAUGCAGACGCCAUCUGGUUAACUGCUAAGAGCAACAAGUACUGCUUAAAAAACCUGCAACAAGAAAAUCAUCACAUCAACUUGUUGGAUAAAGAUAUCAUGUAAUGAAAAUGCCAUUGGUUAAUAGUCAAUUUGGUUGAUUUUCUAUCUGUUCACCUUCCAGCAUUGGGAUCACACCCAAUUACAUAAUAAGUUAAGAAUACCCAAACAGCAACCUCCAGGAACGAGAUGGGGAUCUUGAGGAUCCAUGAGGGAAUAGCAUAAGCCCAUGGAGGAAAGAAACGGAAAUCUCUUUGCUUGUAGAAGACAGGAAGCUUGGCAAUGGUCAUAGAAAUCUCCGCAAGUCCAUUAAACAUGACCAUUGCAGUGGCAAAGAACAAGGCACCAGCAUAAAUUCCACCAUCAGUUACUGAAUGUUUGUGCAUCUUUGUUCUGAAGAAGAGUGUCAUAAAGGCCAAUGCGACGGAUGAAAUCUAAUAUCAGGGGGGAAGAAAUAAUCAACAAAUCUCAAUCACAUAAAGAAAUGAUUAAAUUAAUUCAAAAUUAAGUUGAUACUUACUUGGGUAAGCUUGAAGAUGUAGACAAAUGAGUUCCUCUUCAUCAGCAAAAGCUCUCUUGAGAUGCAAGUUUUCAACAACUCCCUCUUGCCAACGCCAUACACUUCUGUGGUCAAAGCAGCUCGAUGGCUCUUGCUCUUAUCAAAUGGAGUCCGAAGCUCAUCAGAAAUUUUCUGUCCCACAUGGAAUGAUUGGAAUGCCUCAGCAAAUUCCUCGACUGUCACAAACCUGUAAGGCUUCUCUUUAUGUGUCCAAUACUGCUUUUGAUCUUUCCUUGAUGUCACCUGCAACACAUUAUAUUUCUAAAGAUUGAAUAAAAAAAGGUUACGUGUCUUAAGCUUCUGUAUUAUUUGCAAAUAGUACUAGGAAAACAAAAGAUCAGAUGCAGUGCUCUAUCACCACAUACUUCUUGCAAGAAGUCAGCCACUCCUUUUCUCUUGGGGCAUUUAAAGCCCAUGGAUUCAAAAAACUCCAGCACCAGCUCACGGGGACCCUGAUAUACAAUCUGGCCAUCAGAUAGAAGGAUUAUAUCAUCAAAUAAAUCAUAAGUUUCUGGUGCUGGCUGUAGGAGAGAUAUCACAGCAGUUCCACUAUUGAUGUGAACAUGUUGCUUGAGACAAUUAACAAUUUGGAAAGUCGUUGAGCUGUCCAAACCAGUGGAAAUCUCAUCCAUAAAUAGUGCCAACGCUGGACCAACCAUCAUUUCACCUAUAAUUCGAAAUACAAAUUGUCAUUUAUUUGAAUGGAAAGUUAUAAUUACAUUUUUAUCAUUGUGAACAAUGGAAAUGAAUUUAUAGAGUCAUGCAUUUACCAGUUGUAACACGCUUCCUUUCUCCUCCAGAUAUACCUCUUAUCAUUUCAUCUCCUACCAUGGUAUCUGCACAGACCUCAAGUCCCAAAACCUAUAUAUUUAUGUUGAAAAUCAUUCAAACAGGUGACAUUAGUUACUUGAGAAAAAUUUACAAUUGGUUUAUAGAGUUAUUCAUAAUCACGAUACCUUCAGAUAAUAAUCAGUGAUGACAUUGGCUUCCUGGCCUUCAGUUGCUAUUGCCUGAGACAAGAGAAUUGAUGGAGAAAUAAGAUACUCAAUCACCAAGAGUUCAAAUCCCUGUCCAUAAAAUUGAUUCUAGUCUAAUUCUAUUUUUUAGAGGCAAAAAGGUGAAAUCCCAUGCUUCAAACUGAUCCAAUUCAGGAAAAUGGCACAACGAUUUGAAUAUCAAAGGUCAAAUACUAGGAUUUUAAGCCAUAGGAAAACAAAAACGAGGCGAGGAUUAAAAAUAAAAGCCCACAUUUCACUAAAUUUUAUUCUUUCCUUUUUUUUUGGGGGGGGGGGGGGGGGGGGGGGGGGGGGGGGGGGGGGGGUGUGGGGAAUCAAGUUGGUUAAAUGUCAAACAAGUUUGAACGAACUUUUAAAUUUUCUCACCUUCAUGUAGACAUCUAUAUCGGGAUCAGGCUUAAUACCUGCUUCAUUUUCUCUUCUGGCCAACUCAGUUAAUAGUUCUGCAUUUCUCAAAAGCAAUGAACCUUAAAUGCUUGUACUAUAUCAAAAAAAUACAUACCACAAUCUGAAUUUUAAGUUGGAAGGAAAAAAAGAAAAAAGCUACCAUAUCGGGAUCCAACCCCCUGGCAUCUAGCAGAGAAGGCCAAGGUUUCCCUCACAGUCAUUUCUCCUAUAUGAUUAUCAUGUUGACUGAUGUAAGCAGCUGCUCUCUCGGGCACAAACUCACCCAUGUCGUGCCCAUUGUAUGUCGCCCUACCAGAAACCUACAAUGAGACAUUUUGAUUCCUCUAAUCAGAGAUAAAACCAAAGAUGAAAAAGUAAUGCUAAAAUUAGAGCUUAAUUUUAACAAUGUAAAAAAAAAAUAAAUUAAUAAAUUAAAAAAAAAAAAGCACCUUGAGACUAGAAUCAAGCUUCCCAGCUAAAGCCAACAAAAGUGUGGUCUUUCCAGAUGCUGGAGGACCCAAAAGCAGUGUCAUUCUGCACAAUUCUUAGAUAAUUAAGUACCCAUAAAUUCAAGAAAUUACAAGUAAAUUAAGAAACAAUAGGAAUUAAUUUGGAUUCUCACCUGCCGGGCUUUAUGAUUCCACUCACAUCCUUGAGGAUUGUCAAGUGUUUCUUUCUACUGGGAAGAAUGCCGAGAUAGUUGAAGAUGUCCUUCAAAGACACUCAGAUAAUUAAGAUUUGAGCCUCGAAACUAACAAAAUAAUGACUCUUGAUUUGAAGAGUAAUGCUACCUCAAAGACGGUGGUAUAAAAUUUAGUGAAUGAUGGCAAGGCUUUACUUGCUAAGUACGCUUCCCCUUCAACGUUCAAAUGCUCAUAUCGAACUUCCACUUUGGGAAGGUCUAUUCCAACUCUGAGAAAAAUCAAAAUAAAAAUUGAAAAUCAUAACUUAAGAACAUGCUCGCACAUAAAUGACAAGAACUUUUGAAGUAGUUGUCAACACAAGUUCAUGUAAUAAUAAACAAUAGAGAGUAGGGGUCGGUGUUCAAUAUUUAUUACCGAUGACACAAAAUAUUAUUUUAUUUUUAAAAAAUAUUUAAUUUAGAAUAAUAUUUGAACAAAAUGUAAUUUUUUUUUUAUAAAUUAAUAUUUACGGUCACCGGCUGAAUAGUCAUUGAUCGGGAAAUUUGAAAAUCACAAGUUAAUAUUGAGGUAAUUUCAUCUCAGAUCCUGUCGAGUUCUACCAAUUAAUUGCAAAUACGAAUCAACAUUCAGCUACUAGUAUUACUGUUCAUAUGAAUAUCAAUUCCACAGGCGUAUGAUUUAUUGGCUAACAAAUCUUUAGUUGAGUCAGUUGACACUUCAUUCCUUUAUCCUGAAGAUUAAAAAUUAGAGUUUUUCCAGUGUUAUAGGAGUACAAUUUAAAUAAAAAGAAGAUAAAUAUUUGUUUAAUUCUUAUAUUUUAAAUUAAAUAUCUAUUUAAUCAUUAUAUUUUGAAAAAUAUUCUAAAACAACUCUACCGUUAAAUAUGUUACACUCUUAACUUUAUUAGUUCUUUACUUUUACAAUACAUAAUAAUUUUAUUCACAAAUACCAAAUUAAUAUCAAAUUAACUUUAGAAGCAAAAUAAUAUAAGAAAUUUUUACAUUAAUUUUUAUUAAUAGCAAGAAAUUUUUACAUUAAUUUUUAUUUACUUUUAAAAGUUGAUGGAUUGAUUAACAUUUUUUUUCUUUUUAUUAUGUCCCAAGAUUAUUGCAAAGAUAUUUUUGUAAAGUUUGAGAAAAAAAUAAGAACAAAAGUGUAACAUAUUUAAUAAUAAAAAUAUCUUAAGAUAUUUUUUAAAAUAAGACUAAAUAAUUAUUUAAUCUAAAAUAUAAGUACUAAGCAAUCAUUUACCCUUUAGAAUAAAAGUUGAUUUAACAUAAAGUAACUUUUGAUUUUUCAAAAUUUUUAAAUGGGGUAAAUCUUAAUUUACUCCCUACUCCCUACUUAAAGUGGCAGUUUUCAAUUUAUCAUAGGAAAGUAUGAAACCUCAAUUUAUCCUCGUAUACUAUUAAAAAGACAAAAAAAAAAAAAUCAUUAACACGCAUCCUAUUUGCCUCAUCUUUUAAACGAAAAAUGAGGAUAUAUUAAGGUUUUCAUACUUUUAAGGAUAAAUUAAAAAUUAUAAUUUUAUUUAAGGGAUGAAUUGAAAUUUCAAAUAGGGAAAUAUCAUAGCAAAACCUCUCAAUACAUAUCUAAGUUUAAUUUGGUUUUUGAUUUGAACUGAAAAUUUGAGUUGAAUUUGAUUCAAGUUUUAAAUUAACCAAAAUAGAAUGUAAAAAUAAAUUGUAAAUAAGUGAAUCAAACUUAUUUUAAUCAAAUUAUUACUCUUUUAAUUGAUUAACUUUGUAGAUUUAAAGAGUUUGUGAUGGGAAAAGAGGGGUUUAAUUAGAUAAAUUUUAAUUUCUAAUAGGAAAAAGGACAUCCAUACCCCCAAGGUUUAGAGAAAUGGUCAUCAACACCUUUAAGUUCUCAAAAAAGGACAUCAAAACCUCCUUUUAACCAUAAUACUUUACCUCUAUUAUACAAUAUUAUAUAAAUUAUUAUAUUUAUUUUAAUAAUAUAUUUAUUUUCAUUGUAGAGAUUUUAAAUAAAAUUUUGCAUUAAAUAAAUUUUACAAUUAAAAAAAUCGCACAUACUAGUAAUGUUAAAAUUAUUAUUUUACAUAACAUUCAAAAUAAUUUAAAUUUUAAUACAUUUAUUUUAAUAUUAUAUUUUGAUUUCUUAUAAAACAUUAGAGUGAUUUUUUUUUGGGAUAAUAGAGAUAAAUGAUAUUAUGGUUAAAAGGGGUCCUGGUGUCCCUUUUUGAAAAUUUGAGUGUUAGUGAUUAUUUUUUCAAAUUGUAAGGGUAUAGAUAUCUUUUUUCUUUUUAAUAUAAUUUUAAAAAAUAGAGGAUAAAAUUGUAAAUACAUUACAAUAGGUGUUUUAUAAGAGAAAAAAGGGGGUUGCAGUAGCGUCACUCUGAUAAUAUAAUAUAUUAGGGUUAUGGUCAGUAAAAUAAGUUCUUAUUAAUUUGUUAAAACAAAAAGGUCGAGGUAGAGACUCUAAGAGCGUUAUUAAUUGUUUGAAGAAUUAUUUUAUAUAAUACUUUUAAAAACAACCCUUGCAUAAGUUUAUAAACUGUUCUGAAAAUAGAAAAAAUUACUAUAAAAGAGAGAGAUUUAAGAAAAAAAAUUACUGUUGUCUGAAUGACUCUUCCUUCCUAUAUCAAAUUUCUGAAUACCCCCUUGAAGGUGCUGAAGAAAGAGAAUUUUUACCUAUCAAUGCGGCUCUUGAGCUUCAACAAGAACUUCUCGUUAUCAACUUCAGUGACUUUCACCAAUUUAUUGAUCAACCUUUGCCUUUGUUGCAGUCCAAGAUUAGAAACAUCAACUUCGAAAGCUUCACCUCGUGAAGUAGUUAGUAAUCCUUUCCUCAAACGAUUAUAAGUAGGCAGUUUCUCAAGAGCGGCCCAUUUUAGAGCCUCCUCAUCAUCUUCUUCCCUCAAGGACUUCGAAAAUGCACCCACAGAACUUGUUCUCCAUCUAGAAAUACUCCCACGCAAACUAGUACUCGCCAAGUAACUAUCAUGACUGCCCUCCAUUGCAAAGUCAAGCUGAUCAAUUAGUACUGCUGAAACCAACCAAACUCACAAGUUAUAUUUUUCUUUCUUUUUGUUGGAUUCAACAGACAGAAAUUCAGGCAGAGAAGAAAUAUUGUGUAUCAGUUAAUUAACUUGACAGGGCAAUGUUAUCUCUUACGAUAAAUGGCUUGGUAUAUAUAACAACUCUGCUUAUACUUAUGUUUAUAAAAGGAAUGGAACAUGUCAGUGUCAGCUAAAAUAUUCAGAAAAGGGUGGCGUACUGGCGUCGCGAAAGAGAAAGAAGAGAGAGGCAACGAAAUUCAUACCGGGACCCGAGACUUACAAUCCAAUCAUUUAGUAGGGUAGACAUGUAAUAUCCUAUUACAACCAAACAUUAGUCCACUAUAUUUGACCACUAAAAUCUCUCCCGAUUAUUACAGCGAUAAUCUCAACGUAAAAGGUUGUUUGAAUUUCGAAAAGAGUUAUAAAAGCAUCCAAGAUAAUAUCUUGUUGAGUCUAAAUUCACUACCUCUUACAACAGCAAACUUAUGCUCAUACUAUGUUAAAAUAUCGUUUACUUCGAGUCUCGAAUUGGAUUAAGAAAUUUGAAAAGUGAGAAUUUUGAUAUUAGGAGUGUGGAGUCAGAGUGGAAGUAAGUUGUUUACUUACACUGGAAUAGAAGUGUAGAAUAAAAAUCAAAAUCUCAUUUAUAUAUUUACAUAAUUUUGGAUUGGGAGUAAAUUGUUUCAUAUUAUAAUUUUACCCUUAUUUAAAAAGUACUAGUUUUUAAUUAAAAAGUGAAUAAAAGAAUAUAUUUAUAAAAUAAACUAUUUAUUUUAUUAUUAAUUUUAAUUUUAGUUAUGUAAGUUAAAUAUUAUUGAUAAGAGUAACAAAAAUGAAACAUUAUUAUUAAUAAUAUAGUACAAAAUUAAUAUUUUCUUAGAAUAAACUAUUUAUUAGUAAUAUUAAAUAAAUAUAGUACUAUUAAAAUUAAAUAAAUAUAAUAUUAUUAUAUUAUCAAACAAAGAUAGUUUAUAAAAAUAUUAUCAAUUCUCUACGAAUAUGAUAAUAUUAUUUUUAAAUAACCUUAACUUAGAUUACAUAAAAUAUUAUUUCUAACUAAAUAUAAUAAUAUUAUAUUCAAAAAAGUUUAAUAUUAUUAUUUUUAAGUAAAUGUAACAAUAUAUUAUUUUAAUAAAUAUAAAUUAUUUUAUAAAAGAAGGGUAAAAAAAGACGAUGGGAGUGAGAAUUCCACUCCUCACUCCAAAAAUAAGUGGGACAUAUGGAGUGGGACUCUCGCACCCCUUCUUAAAUGAGCAAGUAAACGGCUGGAGUGAGAGAAAUCCACGUUUUCCAAUCCUACUCCAACAAGUGAACACUAUACAAAACGUGUGACUAUCAUGUGACACAUAAGGCUAAGGGCAUUUUUUUUCUACUUUGAAUGCAUAAGUGUCAAUAAUCACAGACAACCAUUUGAUCGAGAUUAUCUUUUCUUGACCAUCCUAGAGUAAAAAUGUUCGAGAUGUCAUUGUAACAAUGAAUUUUCAAUUUAAUUUUUCAACUCAUAUGCCAGAAAAACAUGUUUACAAAUUUGCAUCGUGUACUAGUAUAUACACGUUUAAAGUCUUUAGCUUUAAUGCACAUUUUAAAGGUAAACAAUUAAAAUGUGCAAUAUGGAAACUUGCGCAGAUGACAGAGUGCAAGAUUUUGUCUUGUCUAUAUUAUAAAGUCUUUAUUUUUGUGGUUUGAAUGGAGUCUCUGCAAGAUUUUGAGCCACAAGGAAUAAGAGGUUCUCCUUUUGUACCUUCACUGAGCUCUUAUGUGCGCAGCUAGUGGGAAGGGCUAGUGCCGUUUCUCUGCUUUCAGCUGCCUAUCUCAACUAAUACCCUCGCUCUAAAGUGUCCAAUUAAUUUGCUGCUGGCUAUGGUUAUGUUUAUUAUAUUAAGGAAUUUUGAUGGGCGUGAAAUAUAAUCAGAUUCGAGAACUAUUUUGAUUAAAUUAGUGUAAUUUUAUUUUUAAAUUAUAAUAACAAAUAUUUAUCAAAUAUUUUAAAACCAUAACUUAACUUUUAAACUACAAUUGAUACACCUGUACAGGAAACAGGCCCUUGAUAUGCUGCCUUCCUCCUUUCGGUUGGAUUAAGGCCAAAAUUUGGAUGCGAUGCUUCAGCUUAUGGUGGAGUUUUUUAAAGCCGAAAUCAUGACAGUUAUUUAUGUUUUUUUAGAAUGGUUUUGCUCGACAGUGGCAUUAGCUUUGGAUUGAGUGCGACUCAAUACUAGUUAAUUUUCCUUGGUCUUCAGAACAGAUGGCUUCUCCCUCGUUGCUCUCUCGAUGUUAGACAGAAUAAAUUGCAUUCAGAAGAUGCUUCUGCUUUACUCCUAAACAAAUUCAAAUAUUUUCUCUUACAAAAAAUAUGUUUUAUUUGAUUAAUAAUUAUAUUGUAAAAAUUUGAACAAUAGUGAAAAAAAAUUUAUUAAUCAUUUCUUACUUAAAUAAUUAAAAAAAAUUGCGUUCUUUAUUUAAUUUAUCUAAAUUCAUGAGGAAUAAACCUUUUAAAAUUGAGAGAGAAUGAUGUGUUGAUGCAUUUUACAAACUAUAAAAAUAUAAUGAGCUAUUAAACAAAACUACAUGAAUGUAAAGAACAUUCGCCUAUCCUUAAAUCUUAAUUUCUUUUUGAGGGAUAAGACUUAGUCCUAUCUGAUAUUGAGGUGUUGUACCUUUUAAUUAUAGUUGUUGUGGAAAAAAAAAAGUAAUUAUAAAAUAAAAUUUUAUAAUAUAUAGUAAAUAUGAAUUUAAAUAAUAAUUUUUAUAAAACUAAUAAUUAUAUUGUAAGUUUUUCAUCAUAUAAUUGCGGGAUCAAAUCAAUAUAAAUUUCAAGUUACCGCAAAUAAUGUUUACCAAAUAUUUUAAUAUUAUUAUUUUAAAACUACAGCUGCAUAAUUUUAAUACUAAACAAGCCAUUACUAUCCAAACAUAUAUUUAUAGAUAGGGAUGAUGAUUUAUAAAAACAGGGUUUAAAGGAAAAUAGAAGAUAAUUAUUAUUAUUUUUUUGUUAAAAUCAUCAUUAGUUAUGUUAUACACGGCUUUUCAAUAAUUUGGUUGUUAUUUUAUUUACAAGUUUUUUUACCCCCUUGUCUUUAUGCAAGAAAAGUAAGCUAAACUUUCACAUUAAACAGUGCUUCAACAGACUUCGACAAAGGUUUCUGUACGACAGCCGCACCACCCCAAUACGUUAUGGUGGACUGCUAAUCACAUAAUCAUUAAUCAAAUGGUAGAUUUGGUAGGUCCCUUGAUGGCGUCCACCAGUAUAAUGUUGGUUGAUUUGGUAGGUCCCUUGAUGGCAUCCACCAAUAUAAUGUUGGUGGCAUACUGGCAUUGCAAAAUUUAAAAUUAAAAAACAAAAAAAUUAUAGAUCGCAAUCCCAUCACAAGGCUCGUUAGAUUUGUCAUUUGACAAAUUUUUAUUGGACAGGAAGACCUCCUCAAUCUACUGAAAUGGUGUGCUUAUCUUACAGAAAUUUUUCUCAUCAUCUUUUGUCGUGAGUUGUGAUCCAUUUGAUUAAAGUUAUGAUUUCUUGAACUCCAACCAGUGAGAAAAAUAAAUAAAUAAAUAAUAAACAAUAAACUUUACACUUCAAUUUUUCAUCUCAUAAAAAAAUAUAUUUAAAAAUGUGACCUUUUGUUGACCCCAGACGGGCUUGGGAUGGUUAUUAUCUUCAUUUGUUUUGAUUUCCACAUUGUUUGCCUCAUUUGUUUUAAUAAACAAUAAACGUUUUUAUUUUUCUCUAAAAUUUGAACUCGUGUAGCCAGUCAAAUAAAGUUGCUUGGAACCAAUCACUCAGCCAGGUCACUUUUGCUUCACAUCAUUAAUUAUGUGUAAUCUAAAGUAUGAAAUGGCACCUGAGUAACAAAUUAAAAAGUUAUAUCUUAUUGCAUCAUAUACUACAUUAACCACCUCCUGCCAUUAAUACAGAUGUAAAUUCCUGAAAAGAUGAAGAAUAACAUGCUCAAUUUAGCCAAGGCAUCCCCGACCCGAUUCUCCUAAUUGUGCCCCCCCAAUGUUUGGUAGCAGUAAGCCAGACAUCAUCUAAGAAAUGAAAUUAAACUUCUACAGAUUCAGGAAAUUAAACUCCAAAUAGCACAGUUAAGGAUAACUUCCCACCCAAUUUUUAUAAGAUGAUACUAUAGAGGAACCGUAUUAUUGGAUACAUUCUGGUGGAGAUACUCCAAAACAGAUUAGCUAAGCCUUCCGCGACGUGGUUUCCGUUGUACAUCACAUGUUUAGUACCAGUUCUUUUCCCAUGAAGCACAAGCUUGAUCUUCAAAAUCAAAUUAAAUUUCUAUCGCCUCUGGAAAUUAAGCUGCUUAAUUGCUACGGCGAAGAGAAGUGCAAAGAGCCCUGGAAAGCAAGUAAGGACACCCGCAACUGCUGCCAGAAAAUCAUGUUUAAAAUCAAAAUAAUCUCUUAGAAAAUGUUUUACUGUUUCACCGCUUUCCAUUUUAUCCUCCAUAUCUCCAAACUGGGAAGCAAUCAAUCCAUACAAGGUCCAAGCUAUAGGGUUUGCCCAAUAGUACCAUCUCCACCAUACAGGAAUCCUCUGUGGUUUGACAAGUAGAAAGAUGAGGAAAGGACGAAUAACAAAAAUUCCAUAAGCAAGAAAAUCUAGCAUAUACAAUAGAAAUAGCAGGAUGGUACUCACGGGUCUUGGGAUUAUAAACCCGCUGAAGAUGUUCCAUAUCCCAUAAAAUAAAGUCGAAACAAUGGCAGCAAUGUGGUGGUUUGGUGUUAUAGCCACAGUCAACAUGCCAUAGAAGGUGAAGAACAACAAUGUGACGUACAUGAAGAAUAUAUACCAAAAGAACUUUGCGGCUGUCCAGUCAAAUUCCAUCAUAGCAUAGACUAUAGAACUGUACACUAGUGACUGGACAAAUAUAUAAGGAAUCUCAAUCAUAACCUGCAGGAAAGAAAAAUUAAUAAUCAGGAUGAAACACAUUUCUUAUAACAUUUAAUAUGGACAUGUAACUUGUCAAACGAUUACUUGUGCUAACGCCCAUGGAAUGCCCGAGUACAUGCCAGCAGCUUUUUCUCUGUAAAAGACCGUCCUUUCAACGGAUACUAUUGGCUGCACUGAUGAACAAUAUUGAACGCCCAGGAACAUAAUAGCAGUAAACAUGGAACCCAUUGCAUUUAACAGAUCUUGCCUCUUUUCCCUAAAAUUUGAAAAGUGAAAAUUAAGAUUAAAAGGCAGAUGAAACAACAAGACUUACGAACAUCAUCUAAAUAUAAACUGUUCCAGACAACUAGUUAUCACUUACGUUUUACCGCCCAAGUCCCAAAAAAUUGACCCAAGCAACAAUGCUAUAAAGGUUGUAAAAAAGAAUCUAACAGCAGUGUAUGCUGGAUUUCGCCAGUAUGACCAGUGUUGUUUCCAUAAGCAAGCCAGAAAUUGGGUGAAAGCUGACUGAGAGUACUGAGCAGCAAAAUGGAGGUCCUUUGAGCCUGGAGCAGGCUUGCUUAAAUCUUCAAUAAGUGAUUUGUUUCUCCUGACACAUUCAUCUUUGAGUUAAACAAAUGUGUUGGCAUUGUUGAAUGGAUUUUGGUCCAUUGGCUAUGCUACCUAGUAGUACAUCACAAACAUACCUGUAUAACUCUGAGCGUUUGUAAAUAUCAGAAAAAUCAACCCCCAAAGCAACUUCUUGCGAUGGAGCCGACACUUCCAACAUCCAAGUUGCAGGAUUAUAACCAUCUUUAAUUUUCUCAACUCCAGGAAUUGCCUUAUAAAAACAAAUAAACAUGCAUCAGCUAGUAUCAUGAUGUAAAUUAUGUAAGUGCGAUAUUGCAGUUAGAUUUCCAUUGUAUUAUGAAAAUGUGCUUCAGAACAUACUUCAAAAUAGCUGAUAAGAUGGCAAGAAUGGCGCCCCAAUGGCCCGACAUAAAUUUCAUAUCCCCCUCGCUUCAUUAGGAAUAGCUGCAACGCGUUUUUGAAUAAUUGUAAUCAAUAGAUGGGAGAAAACGAACUUUUUGAUAAUUUGAUCAAGAUUUAACCUUUCUUACCUCAUCAAAAGCUUCAAAUAUGUCAAUGCUUGGUUGAUGGAUGGUGCACACAACAGUCCUUCCAGUGUCUACUGUGUUUCGAACAGUUCUCAUAACGAUUGCAGCAGCCCUUGCAUCUAGCCCUGAGGUUGGCUCAUCCAUAAAUAUGAUUGAUGGGUUAGCCACCAGCUCAACUGCAAUGGUAAGUCUCUUGCGCUGCUCUGUUGACAGACCACUUACACCAGGCAAACCAACUAGUGAUUGUUUCAGUGGUUUCAGCUCCACAAGCUCCAUGACUUCCCCAAUAAACAUCUGCAAAUUAAGGGUAAAACUAAAAAUUAGUAUGACCAUUUCCAAUAAUGUAGUUAGGGAAUCAAACUUUUCUAUUCUUUCUGACUCUGUUUAACUUGUUUUAGCUCUCAAUGACCCAACUCUCCAGGUGAUUUCAGUACCAACCUUUCGGGUUUCAGAAUCAAUUUCAGGUGGUAAACGGAGCCAGGCUGAAUAGAGCAAGGACUCGUAUACAGUAACAAACGGAGAGUGGAUGUCAUUCUGCUCACAGUAUCCUGAAAUGCGAGCAAAAGUUUCUUGCUUCUUUGGGUAACCUGAUACUUUUAUGUUCCCAGUAAUAUAACCGCCCGUUUUCCUGCCUGCCAGCACAUCCAUCAAAGUGGUUUUACCAGCACCACUAACGCCCAUUAAGGCAGUUAGUACACCUGGCCGGAAGGCACCGCUCACACCAUUCAAAAGCACUAAUUUGUCAUCAGAAACACCUUGAAGUUUCAUUUGCUGCAAAGUAAAAUCGAACCAAUUGGUCAUCACACCUGGACUACAUUGUAAUGAAUGAAGAUAUUAUCGAACUUUCUAAAUAUUGCCUAAUAAUUUUUCAAAUUAAUAUUACCUGUGGCAUAUCAACAGAGUACACAACCUCAUCAAAUGUAAGGGAAUGAGGUUCAAAUGGAAGAACCAUUCCUCUUUUCUUUGGAUGACUGCCCUCUGCUUCUGUCAAGGUUAAGGAGUGGGAAGAGGAGUUUCUCUCCCUAAUGUCAUUCCCACUCUCUGCAUGUUUAAAAUAAUUUAUUAUGAUAAGACGAUGUUAAAGAGAUAUCUCACUCUUGCUCAAAUGUAUCGAACUAGUUUUGUCAUAGAUGCGUGUUUAACGCCUAGAACUACCUCCAUGGGUCGACAACUGAACAGUUCCUCCAAUUGUGCUAUCUUGCUCAUUACUUUCAGAUUCCUCUGUUAAAAUAGCCCGAGGCUUCUCUAAUCCUGUAAAUAUGUUUUGCCAGAAAUUCGAACGUAAACUCAUUGCCAUAGAAGUAAUUCAAACGAAGAUGGUAAUAAUACUCACGGUUAAGAAAAGUAAGAGCCAAAGUGAAACCAAGGUUGAACAGCAAUACAAAACCAAACAAAGCCCCCAAUCCAAGCCAAAACCAAUAUGCAUGUGCGAAGAACCCACGAGACUUCAAAACUUGGACUCCAAGUGAUUCAAUUGAGUUUGGAGUAAACUAUGAUAUAAAAUACACACAUCAGAUAUCAGUAAGCUGCUAAUAAAUAAUUAAACAAUCAUGGAUAAGGGUGGAAGAAUUACCUUUUUCCAACUGUGCCCAAGAAAUUCAUUUGCCACUAUUGCAUUCUGUGCGUACGACAAUGGAGAACACCAGUAAGCCCAUUUCCACCAUUUUUUGAUGUCCUCUGCAUUAUGAAACAAGGAAACGGCAAUAUUAUAGUUUAAUUUUGAUAAAAGAAGCUAAUUUUGUCUCAUUUACUAGUAUAUUUUCUGUACCUCGAGAAAGGACAAAUCCACCCAAUGAGAAAAGCACGAGUAAUGCGAAUGAACCAAAUGUGUUAGCAACAACCAUGUUCCUGCCUGUUGCUGCAAUUAAUCGGAACAAUGCAGAUGCCAUCUGGUUAGCAGCCAAAAGCAGAAAAUACUGCUUAAAAAACCUGCAACAACAAAAUCAUCACAUCAACUUGUUGGAUAAAUAUAUCCUGCAGAAAAAAUGUCAUUGGUUACAUGUCAAUUUGGACCCUUUUCUUUCUGCUUACCUUCCAGCAUUGGGAUCCAACCCAAUUACAUAAUAUGUUAAGAAUACCCAAACAGCAACCUCCAGGAAAGAGAUAGGGAUCUUGAGGAUCCAUGAGGGUAUAGCAUAAGCCCACGGAGGAAAGAAACGGAAAUCUCUUUGCUUGUAGAAGACAGGAAGCUUGGCUAUGGUCAUAGAAAUCUCUGAAAAUCCAUUGAACAUAACCAUCACAGUGGCGAAGAACAAGGCACCAGCGUAAAUUCCACCAUCAGUAACUGAAUCUUUGUGCAUCUUUGUCCUGAAGAAGAGUGUCAUAUAGACCAAUGCGACAGAUGCAAUCUAAUGACGGGAAACAUAAUCAAUAAACCAAUAUAACAUAAAGAAAUGAUUAGAACAACUCAAAAUUAAGUUGAUACUCACUUGUAUGAGCUUGAAAAUGUAGACAAAUGAGUUCCUCUUCAUCAGCAAAAGUUCUCUUGAGAUGCAAGCUUUCAAUAACUCCCUCCUGCCAGCACCAUACACUUCUGUGGUCAAAGCAGCUCGAUGGCUCUUGCUCUUAUCAAAUGGAGUCUGAAGCUCAUCAGAAAUUUUCUGUCCCACAUGGAAUGAUUGGAAUCCCUCGGUGAAUUCCUGGACUGUAACAAACCUGUAUGGCCUCUCUUUAUGUACCCAAUACUGCUUUUGAUCUUUCUUUGAUGUCACCUGCAAUAUAUUAUUUUUAAAGAUAAGCCACAACAUUUUUAUUAAAAUAUUAAGAAAAAGACAUAUCAUAGCAAGAGCUCUAUUAGAACAUACUUCUUGCAAGAAGUCAGCCACGCCUUUCCUUUUGGGGCAUUUAAAGCCCAUGGAUUCAAAAAACUCUAGCACCAGUUCACGGGGUCCCUGGUACACAAUCUGGCCAUCAGAUAGAAGGAUAAUAUCAUCAAAUAAAUUAUAAGUUUCUGGUGCUGGCUGUAGGAGUGAUAUCACAGCAGUGCCACAAUUGAUGUGAAUAUUUUGCUUGAAACAAUUAACAAUCUGGAACGUCGUCGAGCUGUCCAAACCAGUAGAAAUCUCAUCCAUAAAUAGUGCCAACGCUGGACCAACCAUCAUUUCACCUAUAAUUUGAAAUACAAAUUGUCAUUUAUUUCAACAAAUCAUUGCAAACAAUAGAAAUGAACUUAUAGAGUUAUGUACUUACCAGUUGUGACACGCUUCCUUUGUCCUCCUGAUAUACCUCUUAUCAUUUCAUCGCCAACUACAGUAUCUGCACAGACAUCCAGUCCGAGAACCUACAUAUUUAUAUUAAAAAUCAUUCAAACAAGUGACUUUCUUGAGAAAAAUCCACAAUCGUUUCACAAUUGUUUAUAGAGUGAUUCGUAAAAAUGACACCUUUAGAUAAUAAUCAGUGAUCACGUUGGCUUCUUGGCCUUCAGUUGCUAUUGCCUGCAGAGACAAGAGAAUUGACAGAGAACUACAAGAUAAUCAAUCAUGAAGAGUUCAAAUCCAUCUCCAUAAGGUUGAUUUCAAAUUUUUUUUUUUUUUCCAAUUGAGAAAAAUGUAAAAUGAUAGUAUUUUAAGCUAUAGGAAAACCUGAUUGAAGCGAAGCUUAAAUAAAAAAACCCAUCUUUCACUAAACUCUAUUCUAUUAAUUUUUAAACACCAAACAUGUUUUGUACGAACUUCUGCUUUUCUCACCUUCAUGUAGACAUCAAUAUCAGGAUCGGGCUUAAUACCUGCUGCCUUUUCUCUUCUUGCCAACUCAUUUAACAUUUCUGCACUUCCCAAAAAUAAAGGCCUUUAAUGCUUAUACCACAUCAAAAAAUAUAUACUACAGUCUGAAUUCUAUGGUUUAACAAGAAGCUACCAUAACGGGUUCCAACCCCCUGGCAUCUAGCAGAGAAGGCCAAGGUUUCCCUCACAGUCAUUUCACCGAUAUGGUUAUCAUGUUGGCUGAUAUAAGCAGCUGUUCUCUCAGGCACAAACUCAUCCAUGUUGUGCCCAUUGUAUGUCACCCUACCAGAAACCUAUAGAGAGAUAUUUUCAUUCUCGAAGUUGAGAGAAAACCAAAGAGUGAAAAGCAAAAGAGUGAACUUUACAAUGCUCAAAGCCAAACCCAUCCAAGAGCUUAAUUUUAACAAAGUGAAAAACAGCACCUUGAGACUAGAAUCAAGUUUCCCGGCCAAAGCCAACAAAAGUGUAGUCUUUCCAGAAGCUGGAGGACCCAAAAGCAAUGUCAACCUGCAGCAAAAGAAACGAGCACAAUUUGUGGUGACUACCAACAUAUUGAAAUAAGUACAAAUAAAUUAGGAGACCAUAGAUUAUUUAACUCUCACCUGCCAGGCUUUAUGAAUCCGCUGACAUCCUUGAGGAUUGUCAAAUGUUGCUUUCUACUUGGAAGAAUGUGGAGAUAGUUCAAGAAACCCUUCAAAAAUUCACAGAUUAUUAAACUUUGAGCCGAGAAAUGAAAAAAGAUAGUAAAAUUUUUAAAAAUUAAUGACCUUUUAUUUGAAGAGUAAUGCUACCUCAAAGAUGCUGGUAUAGAAUUUAGUGAACGAUGGCAAGGCUUUACUUGCUAUAUACGCUUCUGCUUCAAUAUUCAAAUGUUCAUACCGAACUUCAACUUUGGGAAGGUCAAUUCCAACUCUGAGAAAAAUUAAAUCACAGAAAAAUUGGAAGUCAUAACUUAGAAAGACAACAAACACAUAAAAAACAAAAACAUGAGCUUUCUCUGAUACAACUUGUUGGAAUCAGGCAAAGUUAUUUCAUCUCUAAACCAGGGAAAAUUUGGAAGUCAAAGAGACAACACACAAACAUAAAUAACAAGAACUUAAAGCUAUCGGGUCCGGCUCUGAUACAAAUUAUAAGAACGAAAGAAAAAUUAUUUCCUCUAGGUCUAUCAAUUAACUUUUAUCCAUAGCUACUGCCUAGUGCCUAGCAGUGUUUACCAAACACCCAUGAGCUACUGCUAACUACUAACUUUUGCUGCACGGUUACAGUAUAUCUUAGCACUAAAUAGAACGUAAGAUUGGAUGACAAAAUCAUUGAUAGCAUGAAAUAGACAUACGAAUAUUAAUUGCACAAGUGAAUUCAAUUAAGGCCCAAAAUGGGUCUAGUCCAUUGUGAGCUCUUAAAAAUUUUGAUUAAAAUAUCCUAAUAUUUAAUGGAUUGGAGUUGAGUGUAGAAAUGAUAGAAAUCUCUACGGGAACAGAGUCAGAGAAAUUUUCUUCUGAUGAAGAGAGAGGGUAUAAUUUUAUAUUUAAUUUUUAUUUAACGAAGGGAUAAGAAUAAUUUAAUACACAAUAGCUUAUUUAAGAAUGGAUGAGAAUAGGUAAAAUUCUCAUCCUCUCUUCAAUUCUAAUUUCUAUUUUUAUUUUUCAUUUCUUCUAAAAGUUUCAGCAUGUACAUUUGAAUUUUAAAUUGUAAUGGCAUGGAUAUAUAAAAAGAAUUAUCAUAAUAUCUUAUAAAAAUAAUAUAAAUAAUACAACUAAUAUAGACAUUUGAAGCUUGACAAAGAUACUUUUGUUGAUGACUUAUACCGUGUGAUUUUUAUGGAUGUAUGUAACUUUGAAACUCUACUUUAGCUCAAUUUAUAAAUUAUCUUGUAAUAUUGAUGACAUUCAGUUAGUUUGAUGAAAAAGAUUUUAAUUACUUUAUUUUUUUUUAUAUUUUUGUGUUGAUAAUACGAUUUCAUACUUUUACUUUUAUAAGAUUAAAUCAAUUUUGAAAAAUAAAAUUAUCAGUUAUUCAGGGAUCAAGUACCCUCAAGAAUCCCUAUUACCUCCUCUCAAGUAAUUUUGAAGAGAAGGGUAAAAAAAUUUAAAUAGAGUAUUAAAGAUAGGUAUGGGAUAUCAAUCUGCUCCCUUCCCCAUUUUCAUUCCUAGUUGAAUCCAGUGUUGUUUGAGUAAAAUUAAAGAAGUUGAUUUAUCACAAAGGCUUCAUUUGGGAUUGAGAUUGAAACUCAAUAAGUUGUUUAUUUUAUAAUUUAUGACAAAAAUAAUGUUUGGUAAAUUUUGUAAAAGUUGUUUAUUUCAUAAUUUUCUCCAUUUUGACAGUAGUUUUUAAAAGUGGGUAUAAGGUUGCUUUUGAUAGGUAGCUUAUUAAAUAAGCUAUCAUACCUUUUUAAAGUUCCUAUUAUAACUUUAAUAUUUAAAAAAUAAUUAUGUCUUACUUUUCCAUACACCAUAGUAUUAAACCAUUAUUAAUCAUAUUACCACCGCAAUCAAAUUAUCGCUACAACUACUAUAUAUUCUCUAUAGUAUCAAAGUUUUGAUUUAGAAAGUUCAUAUUUUUUAUAUUUUACUUGUAUUUUCUAUUAUAAGAUUAAAAAUGGUUCACAUAUAAUUAUGUAAAUUUUUUUGAACUUUGAACAAUUUCACAUGAAAAUUAACCAUAACUUUUAAAAUUAAUUUCAUAACCAUGGUUUUUAAUAUUCAAUCAGUUUAUAUAUUUUUUUUUUCUAUAGUUAUGAUGUUUAUUGCAUCAAGUUUAAUAUAAAUGUAAUGCAUAUUACUUUUUUAUUUUAUUUGAAUUAUGUAUUAGUAUGAAUUUUUAUAAUAUUUUAUAUAAAAAAUUUACUGAGUUCUUUUUUCACUUUAUGUAAUUGUAGGUGUUUUUAAAAGAAAAAGGUAUGUCCAAAUAUUAUUAAAUAUGCUCCGAAAAAAAGAUAAUUUAAAGUUUUAAACUUAUGUCUAGUUUGGUCAUUAUAUAAUGAACAAUACAUUUGUUGUAAAAUUUACCAAAAGCAUGUGCACUGUUUUUCAAACUCACAUCAACUACAAUAACAUAAUUUACCAAAAACUAAACUGCUUUUUUAAUCAACUGCUUAUUGUUUGAGCACAGUAAAAACAGUUUAUUUAAUCAACAAUCGCAAUCCCAAACUAGCUUAAAGACUCUUAUGAUUUUUCAGAAGAGUUGGACUAUUGACACCCCUUCAUUAAUCUUAUAAAACCCCUAUUAUAUUACAAUUAUAUUUAAAAACAAAUAUAAGUAGGACUAACCCCAUUUUCAUUUUAUUUCUCUCUUCAAUAUUAUUUUGCUUGCAAAAUAUAAAUUUUUUAUUAUAAUUAAAAUAAUAUGAAUUUAAGAAGUAAUCCUCUAAGUCAAAAGAAUAUUCUUAUAAUAUACAUAGCAACAAAAUUAGGACGCAACAUAGUGGGAAAAUAAAUGAAAAAAAUAUAUCUCACUACAAAUAAUUUUUUAAGGAUUCUCAAACUAAUUGUUGCAUCCAAAGUUUAUAGGUACAAUAAAACUGUAUUAGACGCAUAAAAUAUUCUUUAUUUUCUAAAGUUUUUCUUACUUUUUCUUUAGAAAUCAAAUAAUAAAGAAAGUUUGAUGAGAAAAACAAUUAUUAAGACUGAAAAAGAUGAAAUUAGAAAUUGUAAGAUCUAUAAAUGAAGAUAGUGUUUAUUUUAAAAAAAUGGUAUUUUUAUCAUUAAGUGAAAUAUAAUUAAAAGAGGUGUGCUAAUAGUUCGACUUUUUCAGAAUUUAAAUAAUAUCAAUGCAAAAAGUUGAUUGCAGAUAACUUGUGGUUUGGUUCAGUUUUCAGUUUUGACUAAUUGAAAAGAUUGAAUAAAAAUGGAAUCGAACCGGAACCACAUAGUUCGCUAUUUCGAUUUAUCUUCUUAUUUUUAUUUUCUUUUACUAAAAUAGUGACACAAAGUUUGAUAUUUCGUUUCUAAAAAUUUUGUGUCGAAAACCAAAAUGAAUUUUGGGUUUUAAUAAAAAAAAAUUUGGAAGCUAAAUGUAACUGAUGAAAACUAUAUCGGUGGUUUUUUUUAAUUCGGUUUGGUUUUGCCUAACCCUAAAUAUAUGCUCUUUUUUUUUUUUUUUUUUUUUGCCCUUUAUACAAAAAUUAGGAUUCCCUUGCACUACUAUUCUCUCGUAUUACAAUAAAGUUCAAAUUUUGUUACUUCUUAGUUUAUACUGUUGUUUGAACUCCCCUUACUAGAACAAAUUCCUGACUAAAGCUGCAGAAAAAAAAAAAGAAAAAAGAAAUCUGUAUGUUACCUCUCAAUGCGAUUCUUGAGCUUUAACAAGAACUUCUCAUUAUCAACUUCAGGGACCGUCACUAAUUUAUUGAUCAACCUUUGUCUUUCUUGCGGUCCAAGAUUAGAAACGUCAACUUCAAAAGCUUCUCCUCGUGAAGUAGUAAGUAGCCCUUUCUUCAAACGAUUAUAAGUGGGCAAUUUCUCAAUAGCAGCCCAUUUUAAAGCCUCCUCGUCAUCUUCUUCCCUGGAAGACCUCGAAAAUGCACCCAUAGAGCUUGUUCUCCAUCUAGAAAUACUCCUUGGCAGACUAGUACUGGCCAUGUAGAUAUCAUUAUUGCCCUCCAUUGCAACUCAAACUGAUCAAUCAGUACUGCUGAAACCAACCAAAUGGUCCAAAACCCACAAGUUAUAUUUUUCUUUCUUUCGUUGAAUUCAAUAGAGAGAAAUUCAAGCACAGAAAUAUUGUGUGUUAAUAAUUAGUUAAUUUGACAGAGCAGUGUCCUCUCUUACUGUUAAUGGAGUGAUACAUCAACUUAGUAUAUAUUUAUAUAUACUUCAUCUAACAGCAUAAAUGGACCGCCAUACGGCAGUGGUGGCUAUGAGAUUCCUCAAGGGUUGGCAUAAUCAUGUAAACCAUUUUGCAUAAUUUUUAUAUUUUUUUUGAAUAUGUAGCUUUUUAACACGUUUUUAAUAUAUUGUCUAGAAACUUUGUAGCACUACCUACUUAAACUCUUAUCAAUUUCAUUUAAAAUGUAGGUAGUACAUUUGAAAAGUAUAAUGUAGUUCUAUUGAAUAAAACGUAGGUCACUACAAUAUAAUUAAUCAAAUAAUUAUUCGUGUCAGAAAUUUUAAACCCGACACGAAUAUCAAACAAGCAACCUGAACCAAAAAUUUGUAAUCGUGUCAAGUUUAACCAAUCCAGAGACAAAUUUAUUUUGUGUUCGUGGCAGGUUGGUGAGUCGUCAAAAAUUGCCACCUCUAACCAGACUUACAAAUUUCAGUUGAGGCCAAGGAGCAGAAUUGCGCGGUGUUGCAGCAGCCUCAUUGUGUCCUGGGUUAACAUUGUUGAAGUCGUUGUUAAUAUCGUACUAUUUUGGGGAGCAGAAUCAAUCUUAUCUUUUGUCAACAAUCGUGAUCAAUUUACUCGAAAUAAUGUUUCUCGAACUCUUGUAAAAAGUCAGAAGUGUCAUUACAAUAAUUAAUUUUUCUAAUUUCAAAUUUUCUACUCAUAUAUUCUAGAAAAACGUAUUUGUAUAUAAUCUUUUUUAGAAAAUUACAUGCGUCAGCCAUACAAAAAUGAUGUUAUGACAUUGUGCAUUUAUUUUAGAACACCACUAUACAAGUGAUGGUUAUAUUAAAUUUAAUUACACAUAUCAUACAUGCAUUAAUUGGUUCAGGGCCAACAUUAGAAUUUUUGGAGUCUUAGGCCAAUUUUUUUGUGAGCCGUGAUUUUAUUCUGCAACUUCAAUACACAAAGAAGUAUAAAAUGUCUCAAAAUUUGUUACAUAUUUAGCUAUUUAAUUUCAACAACAAUUAAGAAGAUCUUUAAAAUUUCUAAAACAAAACAAAAAAAAAUAGUGAAGAAUAUACCUUUUUUACUUCCAUUAGAACCAUUACAAAAAUAAACAAUCAAAUAAGGAAAAAAGGACACCUACAACCCCAACGUUUGGGGAAAUGGUCACAAAGACCCUAAGUUUUAAAAAAUGUACACCAAGACCUUUUUUUUGCCUAUAAUACCCUUUAACUAUAGUAAUUAGAAAAUUGACUUUAAAGGUUUUUUAUUAACACAAAUUUAAUAUAAAUAAUAUAGUCUAUCUAGUAGACUAAUAAUAUUAAAUUAUUUUUGACAUUUAAAUAAUAUUAAAAAUUUAAAUUAUUAUAUUUAUUUUAAUAAUAUAUUUGUAAUCUUAUAAAGAUUUUAAAUAAAUCUUUGGGUUGAAUAAAAUUUUACAAUUAAAAAAAUCUCCCUAUUAAUAUAUUAAAAUUAACUUUUACAUAAUAUUCAAAAUAAUUUUAAUUUAUUUAUUUUAAUAUAAUGCUUCUAUCUAUUACUAAAAAUUACUUUAAUAUAACAAAAUAGGUCUAAUAGAUUGAAAAAUAUUAAAAUAUUUUAAAUAUUAAAAUUAUUUUGAAAUGUAUAUAUUAUUAUAUUUAUUUUAACGCUAUAUUUCCAUUUAUUAUAAAUUUUUGGAGUUUUUUUUAAGAUUUAUAGAGUCAAAGGGUAUUAUGGUAAAAAAAGUGUCUUGGUAUCCCUUAUUGAAAACUUGGGGAUCUUUAUUUUAAUAUUAAUUUUCUAUCUAUAUUUCCAUUUAUGGUCAAAAAAGCCUCUUUUUGCCUAUAAUACCCUUUGAUUAUAAUAAGUAGAAAAUUGACUUUAAAGGUUUUUAAUUAACACAAAUUUAAUAUAAAUAAUAUAGUCUAUCUAGUAGACUAACAAUAUUAAAUUAUUUGUGAAAUUUAAAAUAAUAUUAAAAUUUUAAAUUAUUAUAUUUAUUUUAAUAAUAUAUUUAUAAUAUUAUAAAGAUUUUAAAUAAAUCUUUGGGUUAAAUAAAAAUUUUACAAUUAAAAAAAUCUCCCUAUUAAUAAUAUUAAAAUUAACUUGUACAUAGUAUUCAAAAUAAUUUUAAUUUUAAUUAAUUUAUUUUAAUCUUAUGUUCCUAUCUAUUAUUAAAAAUUACUUUAAUAUAAAACAAUAUGUCUAAUAAAUUGAAAAAUAUUAAAAUAUUUUUAAAUAUUAAAAUUAUUUUGAAAUGUAUAUAUUAUUACAUUUAUUUUAAUGUUAUAUUUCCAUUUAUUAAAAUUUUUUAGGGUUAUUAUUUUGGGGAUUUAUAGAGUCGCAGGGUAUUAUAAUCAAAAAAGGUCUCGGUGUCUCUUAUUGAAAACUUGGGGGUCUUUAUGAAAAUUUUCCUAAACCUUGGGGGUGUAUGUAACGCCAGUUAUGUGCUUCCCUUUUUUAUCCUUAUUAAAUUGGUUAGAAUAGUUAAUAUUGGGUAUUUGUGUGUGAGUAAAACUUAUCAAUUUGUUUUAAAUAAGUUACGUAGGUUAUUAGCUUUUAUUAAAAAAUGAAUUUUCUUAAAACUAUCGUUUUCUUGCUUUCUAUUUUUUUUAAAAAGUAUUUAUUAAUUACCAAAAAUAGUUCAGAGGAAGCCUUCUUUUAUUUUUUACACCGUUAUAAAAUCCUAAAAAAAAGAAAGAAAGAAACAUAAGUCUUUGGAGAAGGAAAAAAAUGUUUUAUAACUUCUUUGUUUAGUGUUUGCCUUAAGGACACAGGUGAACUCAUUGGUUUGUUCUGAGGUAUUGAGUUGAUUGCUGCAGAUCGAGAUAAGUAGAUUGAUGCAUGAUGUGCUUUAUAAUAAAUGCAAUAUAUGUUAUAAGAAUUAUGUUUAAAUGGAAUUUUUUACAAAAUUGAUUUCUAAAAUAUUUAAAUGAAUUUUGUAAAAUAAAAACACUUUUAAAUGAAUUUAUAUAAAUAUAUUUUAAAAUGAUUUUUCUUAAGAAAUAAGUUUUCUUAAACAAAAUGUUUUCUUAAAAAUUUUUCUAAAAGAAUUAAAUGAUCAAAAAAAGGUUCUUAAAUGUUUUAGAAGACCUUAAAUGCUAUUUAUGAAAGGAUGUAAGGUGGAUUCAAAAAUGUUUUGACUUAUAGUCUGUAGUAACGUAUAAGAUGCAAAUGUUAUGAUUUUAUGUAAUGCUAUGGCUAGCUUGCUGGUAUGAUGAUGAUCUUGUACAUAAUGAUGUUAUGAACAAUGCAGGGUGUAGUACCCUGAACGAUGAAUAAUGUGGGGUAUAGUACCCUAAAUGAUGAAUGAUGAUAGUUAUGAGGCAUGAGCUACCAAAUGUUUAUGUUUUAAUAUGUUUUAAUGAUUUUAUAUGAAUCCAUCAAUUAUGCUAAAUGAAGAUGUUAUUAUAAGAUGAUAUAAAAUGUUUAAAUGUAUAAUGACAAAUGUUUUCAAAUAUUGUGCAUGGAUUUGCUUACCGAGUUGACGGCUCACCCUCGUCUCCAAUAUUUUGUAGAUUAAUUAGAGAUGUGGCUUGGCUACUUAGAUGGAGAUUUUUUUUGGGUGGAUUUUUGGAGUUGCAGUAAAGAUUAAAUUUAGCUAGACUUUUUAUUUUGGAUUAGAGAUUUUUUUUAGAGACUUUAUUUCAGAUGUUUUACCUAAGGAUUCAGUUGGAGUAUGAAUAAUGAUUGUCUAUCUUGAGGUUUAUUAAUAAGAAUAAUUGAUGUGAGGUUUCAUUCCAAUUUUACCCAUGUGCUUUCAUUUUAAUUAUAUUUUUAUUUUUUAUAACAAUCAUUUUUUAAAUAAGUGAGGUUAAUUGCAUAGUGGGGACUACUUAGCGAAACUAAGGGGUCAAAUAUCACCCUCAAUGAAAAAGUAUUAGAAAAUUUUAUGGAUUUUAAAAACUAAUUUAAAAUCAGAAAAGAAUGAAUAUCUAAUUAAAGUUAAUUUGGGAAAUAUGAGCGCUUUGAAAAUUUAAAUUUCAACAAUAAUGAUAUAAGAAUCUCAAAUCUCAAUUGGGCGAGGCUAUUUGAACCCAUUAAUUUACUCUUUGAACCCAUCAUUCAACAAAUUUUUUAAUCAUUGAUUUAUCCUUAAAUAAAAUUACAUAAAAGAACAAUAGGAUCUAAACAAAUAAAAACUAUAAUUUAAUUAUACCCAUUUUUUUUUAUAAACCAUAUCUACUCUUUCUCUAAUGCAUAUAGAUCCAUUAAUGAAAAAAAAAUGUAAAAUAGUUAAUGGAAGAGUUCCCAAAACAAAGAACUAUAAUUCUCUCCGCAGGUUUUUGCCUGAGAAAGAACUUGAUGUUGCUUUUUUUUUUUUUUCUCUUUUUUCUUCUCUUCUUCUUUACAUAAACUUCAAAUUUUGGUAAUCAAGAAACAAAGCAAAGAACAAUUACAGGCACAACUACUAGAUUUCUUAUAUGUCAUGUUCUCACCCUACAUUAUGAAGACGUUAUUUUAUAUUAAAAUUCUUUCGGUAAAGCCAACAGUAUUAUUAUUAUAUAUGAAACAAAACCACAAGGGCAAGAGAAAAACAAAAAAGUUCAAUUUGUCCUUGGUUUUAAGAAGAUUGCCCCGUUCACGCUUUAAUCUCUUGUCAAUUAAUUAAAAAUAAAUUGAACUCUACAGGAAGUUAGAUAAAGAAAUUACCUAUUUUAGAGAGGUUACAGAGAUUGACCAAGUGAUUAACAUAUACCAUUUCCCCCCUUGCUGUUUUUAUAAUGGUCAAAAACCCUCCUGAUAGCAUAAAUUUACAAUAUUACCCUUAUUUUCAACUAAUCUUUUAUUUAUAUUUAUUAUAAAUUAAAUAAAAUCACAUGAAUAGAAACUAAAUAAAAAAUCAAGCAUUAAAAAUAAGAAAUAUAUAUUUUGAUAUGAGCAAAAAAAUUAAUAAUAAAAUUUUUUUCUUGUACUUAUUUAUUUUGUGAAAAUUUUCUUAUAAUAAAAAUAUAAGAAAAAUAUUAUAAAAUGAUAAAAAAAAUUAUUAUAAGAAAACUUGAAUGACAAAUAAAAAUUUAUUAUAAGAUAAAUAAUAAAAUAUUUUGCCUAUACUUUUUACAUUUAAUUUUAAAAUAUUACAAAAUAUUUAUUAUAAGAAAAUGUUCACAAAAUAAAUAAUUACAAGAAAAAAAAAUUUAUUAUUAAUUUUUUUACUCACAUCAAAACAUAUAUUUCUUGUUUUUAAUACUUAAUUUUUUUUAUUUAGUUUCUAUUCAUGUGAUUUAUUUAAUAAAUGUAAAUAAAAGAGUAAUUGAAAAUAAGGGUAAUAUUGUUAACUUAUGCUGUCAUGGGGGUUUUUGGCUAUUAUAAAAACAGUAGGGAGGUAAAUGGUAUAUGUUGAUUACUGUAAGGGGGAAAGUGGCAAUCUCCCUAUUUUAGUUAAGGUUAUUUUUUAGAUUUUAUAGGGUGUAUAUAGUAAAAAUCUAAUAUUUGAAUUUUAAUGGUGGGUUUAUUGAGAAAACAUAUUUAAUUAGUAAAAUUAUGGGUUUAAAUAGCCUCACCCCUCUCUGUUAUUCUCAACUAUUAUUCUAGUAUUUGAGUCCAAUAGAUGUGACAACUUAAAUAUAAUUACCAUAUUAAGUUAAGCUUGAUUUGAUAUAACUUUUCAAAUAAAGCUUGUUUAAGUAGAUUUUUUAUUGUUAGAGAUUUUACAAGUAGAUUUUUUAAUAAGUAGAUUUUAAAAAUUAUGUUAAGAAAUAAAUGAAAUAAAAUAAUUAAAUAAGUAAAAGAUUAUAACAUAUGCACUUUAUUUCUUUAAUUAAGUGUAUUAUUUUUCUCCUUUAGCAUAAAAUAUAUUUUCAAAGUCACUAGACUUAUUACAAUUUCUCAUUGGCAAAAAUUGACACAACUUGAUUUCUCGAUAUGAAUAAAUAGAUAUAUAUUAUAAAAUUUUAUAGGUUUAAUAAAUGGUUCGUGUUUGGAAUAAUUUAAGUUUGUCAUGACAUAAAAUAGAGCCAAUUCGAAUGCGAUUGAAUGGCCAUGUAGUCAUAGUUUAUUUUAACACUCGGGUCUGGUAUCAGCUUAAUUUGUAUUAAGCUUUUAAAAAAAAAGUGGGACCCGAUUGAGAGAGGGAGGAGCAGCUGACCCGUUGACCCAUUUUUUACCAGAAACCCCGACACUUUUGACCCAAAACCGACCCGCUCGUACUCCCACUUUCGACCACCCCACUGGCGAAGGAAGGUACCAAUGGAAAGCUCUUAAGCCGGCCUUCGUUUCAGACACAUCCACGUCGCCGGUAACCGGAAAGAAGGCCGCCAAACUAAGCCACAAAAUACCGCGAAGAAUCCAUGAUCGCCAUUGAUUUCACCGGAUUUUGGCCAAGCCACUUGCUGGGUUUUACUCCUCACAUCAUCACCUUCCAUUUCCGAUCAUCCACAGCUACCGGGGGAGCCAAUUUGCUGUCGAUCGGCCGUCGGAGGAUUCACGGAUUUGGGAGCUUGAUCCGGCGUUGGUGCUCACGCCGGCACCAUUGAACUCAGCUCGGGCAGAAGUGUCUAACCCGAACCUCCCGGUUGCCGCUCUUGAAUUUCGAUCACCGUUGACGGGCAAGGGCAUUUAGGUAGUUUUAGACUCUGAGGGUAAUUUCGUAAAUUCAAAUUUUGUGGAUAUUUUGGCAAUCUGAAUUCAGUUUAGUUUGGUAAUUUAGGAUUAUGAGGGUAAUUUGGUAAUUUAAAAUUUUAAGGGUAUUUUAGUACUUUAGGAAUGUAGGGAUAUUUUGGUAAUUUUAUAUGAAUGGUUUAUUGCAAAUAAAUGUCAUUUCAAAGUUGUUAGUUGCACUUUGCAUUUACACAAAGUAAUUAUGUCGUUUUCUUGAUGUAAGAGGAAUCGCGAUUGAGAAUUGAUCUGCGGACGUGAACGAUAUUCGAGUUUGAGCACCGUCACUAUGAGUGAAAUAUACAAAACCUAUUUUUAUAGUUUAUUAUGAUAGUAAAGUAUGUUUGUGAAAUAAAUAUUUUAAUACUCGAAUUUAAUGAUUUUCUCGAAAUAGAUUUUAUAUACGUAUUGGUAUAUUAUUAAAAAGUGUAUGGUUAAUGGUUUUUUCCGUAUCGACUUUGAAUAAAACGUGAUAGUAUUUUAAAAAUAAGAAAAGUGGAUUCAAAUGGGUUAAUAAAAAGAAAAGUAUGAUUCAAAGUAUGGUUAAAAAGUCAAAGAGCUGGGUUGGGAGUGGUGAUAAGGAAUGAUAAGGGAGAUGUGGUUGCUGCAGCCAUUAAGCCCUCAAGUUUCAACGGAGAUGUGCCUUUUGCAGAAGCUGAAGCAAUUGAAUGGGGAAUGCAAGUGGCAAAAAAGGCAGGCAUCACUGCAGUCAUUUUGGAAUCAGACUGUCAAGCGGCCAUUGAUUUGGCAAACAACAGAAAGGAUAGCAAAACUGAGAUAUUUUGGGUGAUAUCAGAAAUCAAAGAGAGACGAAAAGAUUUCUAGGAAAUCAGAUUUCAACACACCCUUAGGUCUUGUAAUGCUAAUGCCCAUACCUUGGCUAAGAUAGCAUUAACAGGUUCAGAAUCUGUUGUAUGGCUAGAAAAUAUACCAUCACAAGUUAUGUGUUUACUCUCUUUUCCGUAAUGAAGUCUUUUUCCUUAAAAAAAAAAGUAUGGUUAAAAAGUAUAUGAAUAUGAGUAUAAAGAUUAUUUUUAAAAUUAUUGGACAGUACUCUUUCCCUCCAGAUAUAGUUAUACAUAUGAAAUGAGAUGCCUUUGGGGCCCAUCUGACUAAAUAUAGAGACUUUGAACCGUGUGUGUUGGGCGCUUAUACCUUUUGGGGGCAUAUGCAUGCAAUAUGAUGAUAACAGUGAUACAUAUACUGAGAUACAAGGUUUUUGGGACUCGUCUGAGUAUACACAGAGGCUUUAGGUGUGUAUUUGGACACAUUUUGUCAUUUGAGGACUAGAUUAUGCAUGCAUAGAUUUGAUGAGGUAUGAGAUAACCGGUGUAGUUUUGAACAAAAUGGUAUCCAAAUAGUAUAUCAUUGCACAAUUUGUGGAGAUCCAAGUAUGAGAUAUGAGAUGACAUUUCCCUGUCUAUUUGUAUAGCUUCAGACAUGAUGGUACCCAAAUAGUAUGUUAUUGCACCGUCCGUAGAGGUCUGGGUGUGACAAGAUUAUUACCCUAGGUACUUGUUUAGUGAUAGUUUUGGCAUUUACUAUUUGAUAUUAUAAGUGUUACGAUUUCUUUGAUUUUAUGCAGCAUUAUGUAUUGUUGUUAUAUCAGUACAUGGUUUAAUUUUAAUUAGUUUAUAUAAGUUCUUAUGAUAUUUGAUGAAAUUGUUUAGCAAAAAGAUUUAAUUUAUUUUAAGUAAGAUUAUUUUCAAAAAAUAUUAUCCACUCAUUGAGUUAACUGAGUUUUAUACUCACCCGUUUUAUUACAUUUCGCUCUCCCCUGAUAGGAUAUUUGCAAUUACAACAAUCAACCUAGCAAUGAUAGUUAUUUUGAAAUUAUAGCAGUGAUAGUGCUAGAAGUCGAGAUGUUUUUGUUGAGAUAUUUUAGAUUAUAUAAUUUUGUUAUAUUUUGUGAUUAUGGAUAAUCUACUGUAUUUUGAUAUUAGAUGUUUGGAUGAUAUUUGGUAUUUCAAUUAAGGAAAUUGGUUGUAAAUGUUGAUUGAAUAUUGAAUCCUUUUGGGAGUGUUCGUUUUAUAAAUUUGCGGGUUGAGAAUAUUAGAUUGAUACGGGAGACUUUGCUCGAUUUUCAGUAGAAUUCUCAUUAAUAAGUUUAAUAUCAAUAUAGUUAAUCGCAACCAAAUAGACUCGCCCCAAAUGAUUCAGGACAAGUCGUGUCAAAGAUAUUUUACACAUUUCAAUAUUUUAAAAAAAAUUUCAACAUCUAUUCCCAAAAGUCUAAAAUUUAAAGUUUGCUAGUAGAAACAAAAUAACUUAUUUAAUUUUCAAAGACUCUACUCCACAUAAUAAUAAAAGCCUUAAAAAGAACAAAUUAUAUAAACACAUAUGACCAUUAGAUAAGCCUUACCAAACAGCCAACUAAUCAUUACUAUUUAUUAAAUUAGGAUCAACAUUAAAACGAUAUUUAACGUCAAAUAUAAAAACUGCAAAACCACUCAUUGGUUGAGCCGGUAAGUAGCGGAAACCUUAUUUUUUUGUUCUUGAUGUCAAGGGUUUGAGUUUUUAUUCGUGUAUGUAGGAGCACACAUUUCUUCUUCUGUUUUCGAGUGGAUUUUUGGACCAGACUUUGAUACAGACAUUGAGUUAAAUCGUGACAAGCAUCGAGAUGGACUUUAGAUUUCAAGGUAAACUUCAACUUUUAUAACAUUACGAUGGGUUCUGGCAGGCACUGGGCUGGAAAAUUUUUGCUGGAUUUCAAGUCCCAACAAGAUUUUUGAUCCAUUUAUCAGCAUCUGAAAAAAAAAAAAAUUCUAAACGCAAGUACGAGACUAAUUAUAAUUUAAAAGUUCUACAUCUGGGUAAAAAUGAAGAAUUAAGUAUGUGUGUUUUGCUAUUUAUGGAAAGCAAUUUGGGUUACAGGCUCACAGCACAUUCGAUUCAUUCUCUCCGCAGCUAUUGCUUCUUAAAUCUUGGUUGCUGAUCUUAUUAAUAAUGAAAUAGGAUAUUGGAAAGAUCGAUUUAUUAGACAAAACUUCAUGAUGGAGGAGGAUACAAUAAUGUCAACUGUGCGGCCUGACUUAUUUAAUUUUUUUUAACAAAGGAAAUCAAUAAUUUAGAUGCAAUUGGAAGAGCAAGAAUGUGGAUUUUCACAUGCUAAGUUACAAACUUGUUGAUUUGACUUAGUUAAACAUGAUCCUUUUUAGUCACAUUAAUUAAUCACAGAUUUCUUUUAUUUAUUUUCUGCACACUACUAUUUGCAUUAUGAAGAAAGAAACAACAUUUGAAUAUCGAACAAAUAACAACCGCAGGCAAAAAGAGUAAACUUAUAAAAUGCAGAAAGGCUAGAUGUGCUGUCCCCUAUUAAAAAGAACUUGAUGUUAUUGCUAUAUGAAAACUGGGGGAAAAAGGUACCAACAGGUAAACUCAGGAAACUGAAAGACCGGGAUUAGUUAAGGCAUCUGGGACCCGAUUCCUCCGUGUGCCUUAGAAUGUUUGAUAGCAGUACAUGUUCCAUUAAGCCAGACUUGAUCUUCAAAGCCAAAUCAAAUUCCUAUCGCCUCUGGAAAUUAAAUUGCUUAAUUCCUAGGGGAAAGAGAAUUCCAAAGAGCGCUGCAAAGGCAAUAAGAACACCUGCGACUGCUCCCAAAAAGCUAUGUUUGAAACCAUAAUACUCUCUAAGAAAAUGUUUCACUGUUUCACCAGUUUCUAUUUUGUCCUCCACAUCCCCAUAUUGCGAAGCAAUCAAUCCAUACAGGGUCCAAGCUAUAGGGUUUGCCCAGUAGUACCAUCUCCACCAUUUUGGAAUCCUCUGUUGUUUGACAAGUUGAAAGAUGAGAAAAGAAUUAGUAGCAAAAUAUCUGUAAGUUAGAAAAAUCUAGCAUAUAAAAUUGAAAUGGGAAGACAAUUAAUACUUACGGGUCUUGGGAUAAUAAACCCGGAAAAGAGGAGCCACAAUCCAAAAAAUAAAGUCGAAACAAUGGAAGCAAUGUGGUGGGUUGGUGUCACAGCCACAGCCGUCAUGCCAUAUAAGGUGAAGAACAAUAAUGCGAAGUACAUGUAGAAUAUAUACCAAAAGAACUUUGCAGCUGUCCAGUCAAAUGACAUCAUAGCAUACACUAUAGAACUGUAAAUUAAUGACUGAACAAACACGUAAGGAAUCUCAAUCAUAAUCUGCAGGAAAGAAAAUAAAAAAUCAACAAUGAAACACAUUUCUUAUAACAUUUCAAAUAUACGUUUAAUGUGUCAAACGAUUACUUGUGCUAAAGCCCAUGGAAUGCCCGAAAACAUGCCGGCGGCUACUUCUCUGUAAAAGACCAUCCUUUCAACAAAUACUACUGGCUGCACUGAUAUACAAUAUUCAAAGCCGAGGAAGAUAAGUGCAGUAAACAUGGAACCCAUUGCAUUAGACAGAUCUUGCCUCUUUUCCCUAUAAAUUGAAAAGUGAGAAUUAAGAACGAAGGCAGAUGAAACAAGAAGAAUUAUGAAUAACAUUUAAAUAUAAGCAGACAUCUAGCUGUAACUCACGUUUUACCACCCAAGUCCCAAAAAAUUGAACCCAGCAACAAUGCUAUAAAAGCAGUAAAAAGGAAUCUAACAGCAGUGUAUGCUGGAUUUCGCCAGUAUGACCAGUGUUGCUUCCAUAAGCAAGCCAUAAAUUGGGAGAAAGCUGACUGAGAGUACUGGGUAGCAAAAUGGAGGUCCUUUGAACCUGGAGCAGGCUUGCUUAAAUCUUCAAUGAGUAAUUUGUUUCUCCUGAUACAUAUCCAUACAUCAACGUUAAUUUUCAGUUAAACAAAUGCGUUGGCAGUGUUGAAUGGAUUUUGUUCUAUAGGCUAUGUUGCCUAGCAGCAAAUCAUAAACAUACCUAUACAACUCUGAGCGUUUGUAAAUAUCACAAAAAUCAACCCCCAAAGCUACUUCUUGCGAUGAUGCCGAAACUUCCAGCAUCCAAGUUGCUGGAUUAUAACCAUCUUUAAUUUUCUCGACUCCAGGAAUUGCCUUGAAAAUGCAAAUACACAUGCAUUAACUAGUUUCAGAGUGAUAUUUAAGUAAGAAGAAUGAUAUUCAAGUUAGACUUCCGUUGUAAUAUGAAAGUGUGCAUCGGGACAUACUUCAAAAUAGCUGAUAAGAUGGCAAGAAUGGUGACCCAGUGGCCCAACAUAAAUUUCACGUCCCCCGCGCUUCAUUAGGAAUAGCUGCAAUGCAUUGUUGAACCACUGUAAUCAGGAGACAGUGGAGAAAAAUAAUUUUAUGCAAUUUCAAUCAAGAUUUCUUUCUUACCUCAUCAAAUGCUUCAAAUAUGUCAAUGCUUGGUUGAUGAAUGGUGCACACUACCGUUCUUCCAGUGUCCACUGUGUUUCUAACAGUUCUCAUAACAAUUGCAGCAGCCCUCGCAUCCAGCCCUGAGGUUGGCUCAUCCAUAAAUAUGAUGGACGGGUUAGCCACCAGCUCAACCGCGAUGGUAAGUCUCUUACGCUGCUCUGUUGACAGACCGUUUACACCAGGCAAACCAACCAGUGAUUGUCUCAAUGGUUUCAGCUCCACAAGCUCCAUGACUUCCUCAAUAAACAUCUGUAAUUGAACGGUAAAACUAAAAAUUGGUAUGACCAUUACCAAGAAUGUAUUUUGGGAAUCAACACUCCAGGUGAUUUCAGUACCAACCUUUCUGGUUUCAGAAUUAACUUCAGGUGGUAAACGUAGCCAGGCCGAAUAGAACAAGGACUCAUAUACAGUAACAAAAGGAGAGUGGAUGUCAUUUUGCUCACAGUAUCCUGAAAUACGAGCAAACGUUUCUUGCUUCUUUGGGUAACCAGAUAUUCUUAUAUCCCCAGUAAUAUAUCCACCCGUUUUCCUGCCAGCCAAUACAUCCAUCAAAGUAGUUUUACCAGCACCACUGACACCCAUUAAAGCAGUUAGUACACCAGGCCGAAAAGCACCGCUCACACCAUUCAAAAGCACUAAUUUAUCUUCAGGAACUCCUUGAAGUUUCAUUUGCUGCAAAGUAAAAUCAAAUUAAUUGUUGAUCAUGCCAGGACAUACGUUGUAAUAAAACAAUAUAUUAUUGAACUCUCUAAAUAUUACCUAAUUAACUUUUAAAUUAAUAUUACCUGUGGCAUGUCAACGGAGUAUACAACCUCAUCAAAGGUAAGGGAAUAAGGUUCAAAUGGAAGAACCAUUCCUCUUUUCUUUGGAUGACUGGCCUCUGCUUCUGUAAGGGAUGAGGACUGGAAAGACGAGUUUCUUUCCCUAUUGUCAUUUCCACUCUCUACAUGUUUAAAAUAAUUUUUAGCAUAAGAAGAAAGUUAAAAGAUAACUCGUUCUUUCUCAAAUGAAAUAGUUUUAUAACAUAAGCAUGUCUUGUAACUAGAACUACCUCCACAGUUUGAUAACUGAACAGUUCCUCCAAUUCUGUUAUCUUGCUCAUCACUUUCAAAUUCCUCUGUUAUUACAGCCCGAGGCUUCUCAAACUCUACAACAUAUUUUUGCAUGAAAUUAGGACAUAAAUUGACUGCUUUAGGAGUAAUAUAAGUGAACAAGGUAAAGGUACACACGGUUAAGGAAAGUAAGAGCCAAGGCGAAACCAACGUUCAACAGUAGUAUGAAACCAAACAAAGCCCCUAAUCCAAGCCAAUACCAAUAUGCAUGGGCGAAGAACUCACGAGACUCCAAAACUUGAACUCCAAGCGAUUCAGUUGAAGUUGGAGUAAACUAUCAGAUGAAAAAUCACAGACAUGAGUAUGUCACUAACCAAAAAAAAAAAAAAAACUCAAAUCUUUCAAAUAAUUACCUUUUUCCAACUGUGCCCAAGAAAUUCAUUUGCCAUAAUUCCAUUCUGUGCAUACAUCACAGGAGAACUCCAGUAAGCCCAUUUCCACCAUUUUUUAACUUCCUCUGCAGUAUGAAACAAAGAAAUUGUUAAAUUAUGAUAAAAGAAGCUAAUAUAGUCUCUUUUACUUGUACACUAUUUGUACCUCGUGAAAGGACGAAGCCUCCCAAAGCCAAAAGCACGAGUACUGCAAAUGAACCAAAAGUGUAAGCAACAACCAGGUUCCUGCCUGUUGCUCCAAUGAAUCUAAACAAUCCAGAAAUCAUCUGGUUAAAAGCCAAGAGGAGCAAGUACUGCUUAAAAAACCUGCAACAAGAAAAUCAUUAUUUAAACUAGAUGGAUAAAGAUAACGUACAAUAAAAACUUCAGUAGUUACUAGAGAAUUUUGUUUGUUUUCUUUCUACCUUCCUGCAUUGGGAUCAUACCCAAUUACAUAAUAUGACAAGAAUACCCAAACAGCCGGCUCCAGAAACGAGAUAGGGAUCUUGAGGAUCCAUGAGGGAAUAGCAUAUGCCCAUGGAGGAAAGAAUUUGAAAUCUCUUUGCUUAUAGAAGACAGGAAGCUUUACUAUGGUCAUAGAAAUCUCAGCAAAUCCACUGAACAAGGGCAUCACAAUGGUGAAGAACAAGGCACCAGCAUAAAUUCCACCAUCAGUUACUGAAUCUUUGUGCAUCUUUGUUCUGAAGAAGAGUGUCAUAUAGACCAAUGUGAUAGAUCCGAU
rnacentral:lncRNA from 1 species